rnacentral:lncRNA from 1 species
UUUUUUGAAGCGUAGAGUAAAUAAUCUGUUACGAUAAUCUAAAAAGAACAGAGCCAAGCAACAUAAGAAACCGACGUUGUUCUGCAAAAGAUAUUGGAAAAAGGUAUAUUUGAUCGCUAUCUAAUGACACUGUUUUAUUGUUGCAUAUUUAAAUUGAUACCAUUGGUCAAAGCUUGACAACUCAAAAAAAAAAAAAACUGGCAGUUACUCACGAACGGCGUACUCAUUCAGAAUUUUAAUGAAACGGAACCUUCUUUGCAGCACCUUGCUUUGCAUUGUGAAAAGUGUAAGAAAUUAAACAGGAAUUCAUGUUGCUCUGUGUACAAUCAAUUGUACAUCCGGUUACUGCAAAACCGGUUUCCUUUCGUGUGAUUAAUUACUUUCGGUUUGAAGUUAAACUUUCUUUUCAAUUUACUGUUUGACUCAAAUCCCUCAAUGCCCAACCGAGCUACCUACUCCCCGGCGAGGCGAGCAUGGUGUCCGUGGACUUGAUCAGGUCUCCUAGGAAAAAUUCAUCGGCGGUAGUUAAAAUGGCCGGAAAAUUUUGUCACGCAUGAGACAUUCGACGCAUUCGUGAUCUAUGCAUGGUAGUACAUUAGAUCCGUUCAGACCGUUACAUCUUACCAAGAUUGCAAAGAUGGAGAAGCAAUGUCAAUAAUCACUGCUUCCUCCGUUACACGAUGUAAUACUUUCUAGCAUUACCUAAAUUUAUAUAAAUAUUAAUAAAUCUAGACAUAUAUACAAAAUAUAUAUAUUUAUUGAUUAAUGGAUAAAUCUAGAUAACGGAGAAAGAGAGGGAGUACGUACUACAAGAGGAGCGAACAUGUAUACACUUACUUUAUAAAUGAUAUUCCCUUUGUUUUUAAUAUAUAGCGUCGCUGAUUUUUUAAGAUAUAUUUGAUCAUUUAUUUUAUUAAAAAAAUUUAUAUAAUCAUUAUUUUUUUUAUUAUGAUCUGAUUUAUUAAAUGUUUUUAAGUAUGACUUACAAUAUUUUAUAUUUGCACAAAAAAUUUACAUAAGACGAGUGGUCAAACGUUUAUAAAAAAAUCAACGGCGUCAUGUAUUAAAAAACGGAGAUAGUAGUAUUAUAUUUCUACACUCUACAGACAUGUUAAUUUGGAGCUUAAAAAUUCUGGUCAAUCCCACCUAUGCAGAGCUUUUGUUUCCUAUGAAAUUCUAGCAAAAUUUACAUGCGUGCUUGCAGAAAUGACAUAACUUCCGCCAAAACAUGCUUGACUAGUUGACUUGAAUUGUUCAAUGUGGCAACACGCUUGCCGGUCAUUCAUGAGCACCGUGAACCUUCGCAUGUUUUUUGAGUCAAUGCAUGCGUACAGUCUACUGCUUUGAUCGGUUCAAAUUUUAACCAAACUUUUAAUUUUAGUGUGAACUAAACAUACCCUCUUUUAUAUUUCUCUCUUUUCUUUUCCAAUGCAAAAUUCUGUGUUCUCUUGACCAGAGUAACACUAAUAGGUCUUUCUCUCUCCAAAUUUUUCAGAGAUCGACGGAGGUAGCUAGCGAGAUGGCGAGAUCACCUCACCUCAGUACCUCACUUUGCGUGAGUGGAACAAACUGACUGUUAUAGCUGUAGGCAGCAGGAGACGUCUCAUUGUUUCCUGUAUACAGCAUUACUUGCUUCCAAAAUUUAAAUUUAAAAUUGAUUUUAAUUUUUUUAUCAAAGUUUAUUUUCCAGUAUUGAUAUUUAAGUCGUAAGAGAACACACACAUAUAUGUAUAUAUAUAUACAUAUACAUAUAUAUAUAUAUAUAUAUAUAUAUAUAUAUAUAUACAUAUAUUACUCACAAAUUAUUUUUUAUGUCGUACGGUGUAUUAUCCAUAUUUAGCUAAACUAUGGAACCCACAGCCGACUGAAACGAUCAAGAGCAAUGUAAUAGACAAUUAAAUUUUAAAAUAUACAUUGUUAUCCUCGAUCUUGCAUAUAUGCAUUUAAAAAUUUUACGAAGAUAUACAUUUCCCGCUAUUUAGGAACGUGACACCGCGUCCUUAGCAUAACUCGAAGGCGCGAGACUGACUGGAGGGGCGGUGCCGCAGUGCAAACCGACCAGUCUCUCGCAGGGUUCAACUUUUCGUUUACCGUGUGUUUGUAUCGAGCGGUGCCGAUAUUCGAACUUUGGAAUAAAAUUUAGUUAAAUUUGAACAAAUAUUACCAAAAUUAAAAAAAUACUAGAAGUUUUGGCCGAAAUAAUAUCGUAUUGAAGGGGUUAGAAAUGACCGAAAUCUCCCAAAUUAAUUUCAGUCCCAAAUGUCGAACCUGGUCUGUAGUACACUCGUAUUCCCUCCGUCCCAAAAUAAGUGCAGUUUUGCACUGUUCAUGUGUCACGUUUAACCGUUCAUCUUAUUUGUAAUUUUUUUUAUGAUUAAUAUUUUUAUUGUUAUUAGAUGAUAAAAUAUAAAUAGUACUUUGUAUGUGACUAAUUUAUUUUAAUUUUCUCAUAAAUUUUUUAAAUAAGACGGAUGGUCAAACGUUAGACACGGAUUCUCAUGGCUGCACUUAUUUUUGGGACAAAGGUAGUACUGCGGGAUCUCGGCGCGACAGCGACCACACCGGAACAAUAUCACCGUGUAACACGUUGCAAUGAGGAGGUCGGGUACAGUUGCAUGUUGUUGUCUUGAAAGCUGCUACUUUGAUAGAAAUAUUUGGAUUAAAUAUACAAUAACCGAAGGUAUGGAUUUCUUGUGGUAAAAAGCACCUUUUCCAAUACCAUGAUAUUACCGUAUCUAUCUACAUUGUUCACGUUGUCAACAAUAGAACACAAACACACACACGAAUACACGGAACACAAAAGUGGAGGGGCUAUAAACUUUUAUUGCUGUCUUCUCUCUGUUACAGGUUAACUUUUCCCUCAACCCCUCUACUGUAUUUAUACCCAUGAUAGAAUAGAGUGCUAUAAGAAUACAUACAUGUAUAUUUAUAUAUUUUGUAUAAGCCUACUUCAUCCCUAAGGAUAGUGAAGAAUAAAAGGAGGAGGCAGGAGGGUACUAUGACCAUCAUGAUCACGGCGCCGACCUCACGGUCACUACAAAUCCGAUUUUUUCGGGAGAUAAGUUUCGUAACACUAUCUAUCUAUUACUUCCUCCGAUUCAUAUUAUAACUUACUUUAAUUUUUUCUAAUCAAACGUUGUUAUAGAUCGAAUUAGUUUCAUUAAAUAUAACAUUGAAUAUAUUUUGAUAAUAUAUUUGUUUCAUAUUGGAAAUGCUAAUAUAUUUUUCUAUAGAAGUGACAUAUAAUAUGAGAAACGAAAGUAGUAUAUUAUUAAAAAUAGCUUUGAAAGUAAGCACCGCAUUAAUUCUGAAGGCUAGAAAUUAUCACAUUAAUCAAAUAAAAAGAAAAAAAAGAUCUUAAGAAUUAAAUUAUGGUAAGUCCAAACUACAAUGAUACAUAUUGAUUGAUAUAAUUGUAUACAAAACAUAAUUAAAUAAAUAGAAAUAGAAGCUGUGAGUUGUAUAUAAAAUUUAAGCAAAUCCAGACCUAAUAGAAAAAUAGAAGCUAAGUGUGGUAUAUAAAAUCAAAUAUACCCCUACAUAUAAUGGUAUGAAUAUAAAAAAUUAGAGUUGUAUAUUAAGUCUAACUCCACAUGCAUUAUAUAGCUCCGCGUAAAACUGAAUGAGGCAAUCUUGUAGUUACCUAAUUAUGAAAAGGUAUAAAUGCGUGAUUAGAACUAUAUCUCAAAGAUCGUAAGAAUAUCCAAACUGGGAUAAAAAUGGUCGGAAACAAUAUCAUUAUUUUAUUAUUUCUAUGAAAACAGUCGGAAAAUUUCAUAGUUUUGAAUUUAACUAUCUAGUAUUAACUUCAAUGUAACAGAAUUGAGAAAAACUAUUUUUUUAGAAACAAUAAUAGUCGAUAAAAAUAUUAUUAUGAUAUUAGUUUACAGAAAGUUAUCGGCGUGGUCAGAAAAUUUUCGUACCACCCUCACCCCUUCCCAAAACGAUAUAUAUGUCCAGGAGUUUCUGACUUUUGGGUCUACGAGCCUUGAGGAGAGAAGAAUAUCAAGUGCUACUGUACUAUCAAUGUUAAAAAAUACAUCCAAAAAGUUGCAAAAGAAAUAUGAAAAAAUUCGGAGAUGUGUAGGUAUGAAAAAUAUUAAAAAAUAUAAAAAAAAUCAAAUCAAAAUACUAUGUAGGUAGGGAAAAAAAGAUAAAUCACAGUUGAUUGGUAAAGUGACAUGCUUGAACACUGUUGGAGCACAAAUUUAUUAUUAUUUUUCUCCUACAUCAUAUUUUAAACUGAUUUUUUUGUGUGAUGCUACAUGUCUUAGAGCUACACAUCUCUGAUUUUUUUUUACAUUUUUUUGCAACUUUUUGGAUGUAUUUUCUGACGUUGGUAGCACGGUAGCACCCGAUAUUCUCUCGAGCAUUGAGCAAAGCAACCAAGCAAGCGGCAGCAGAGCGCGAGUCAUGCGACCCACACCGCCCAAAUCCUCGGAACGCAAAGCUCCCCGCUACUACUCUACUCUCCUACUAGUCGUCUACUACUCGGCCAGGUGAGGUGCCCAACCACCGCCGUGGUAGCGAGCGCGCGACAUGGCGGCGGCGGAGGUGAGGCACCGGACGGUGGAGGUGGCAAGCGGGGUGCGCCUGCACGUGGCGGAGGCGGGCCCGGAGGACGGGCCCGCCGUGCUGCUCGUCCACGGCUUCCCGGAGCUCUGGUACUCGUGGCGCCACCAGAUGCGCGCCCUCGCCGCGCGGGGGUUCCGCGCCGUGGCGCCCGACCUCCGCGGCUACGGCGACUCCGACGCCCCGCCGGGCCGGGACUCCUACACCGUGCUCCACCUCGUGGGCGACCUCGUCGCGCUCAUCGCCGACGUCGGCCAGCCCCGGGUGUUCGUGGCGGCGCACGACUGGGGCGCCGCCGUGGCGUGGCAACUGUGCCUGCUCCGCCCCGACCUCGUCACGGCGUUCGUCGCCCUCAGCGUCGAGUACCACCCGCGGAACCCCACGAGGAGCCCCGUACAAACCCUCAGGGCCGUGUGCGGGGACGGCCACUACAUCUGCUUCUUCCAGGUGAACAGCAACCAUUUAAUCCCUUUUCUGAAUUUUUGUACGACGCAGGCAGAACAAUGAAAUUAUUGAGGUCCCCUAGCAAUUAAGAUUGAUGGGUUGGGUUGCAAGUUAGUACUCGUAGUAGAAAAAUCAGAGCAAUUAUGAAGCUAUGUUCUUCUGUCCUAGCAACAUUGAUGGUUGUUGUUCCACGCAACUUAAAAGUGGUGAACAGCUGCUGUCUGCUGGAACGAUUUUACAAUCUUUGUUAGGACAAUUAGGCGAGUGUUUGUCGGUGACGCUUGUGCGCAGCGGCCUUCCGGGGAUGACCACUACAUCGCUGUCUGCAGCGGCCUUCCCCCAAUGCUUCCCUUCUGGAGCAGCGGCCUUCCACGAGCGGCUCUGCUCCAGUCUGCUCAAGGUUCAGAGGGAGUGCUGUCGCGGGUUCGACACAGUCGUGACCCUUGGCGCUUGGUCCAUUUGGAAGGAGAAGAACAGCGGCGUUUUCAACAAUUGCACACAGUCCUGGCUGACGUUGUUGCAGCUAUGGCGCAAGAGGACGCCCUCUGGCAGCUUGCUCAUCCCUCGUCGCCCGCGCUUCCUAGAUACUUCCUCCGUUUCAAGUUAUAAGACUUUCUGGCAUUGCCCACAUUCAUAUAUAUGUUAAUAAAUCUAGACAUAUAUAUGUGCCAAGAUUCAUUAACAUAUAUAUGAAUGUGGGCAAUGCUAGAAAGUCUUAUAACUUGAAACGGAGGUAGUAGCAUUCUUGGUUGCUAGGUCGUCACGUUGUGAGCAUGACUGCAUGAGAGUAGGCUCAAGUCCUUGUUUUCCAUUUCCUUCUUUUUUUUUCCCUUCCUUUUCUCCCCGCCCCCUCCCUCUCAUCUUUGUUUGGUCAUUCCUGUAAAUUUUAUUCCUCUUAAUACAAAGGUGAGCAAUCCUUUUGAGUAUUUCCAAAAAAAAACCCCAUUACUUGUAGUUGUAGGUGUUCUUGACUAUUGAGACUUCAGAAGGGUUAGAUUUGAAUUCUUUGCUCAAUUGAAAUAGAUUACAACGAAUAGAUUAGUUAAUUACAACGAAUGUUGAAUGACCUCAACAUCCUAGGUAGGGAAAUCGGAAUGUAUCCCUAUUGCAUUGCCAAGUUACUGGGUUCUUAAGGGUCCAAAGAAUUAUUGCUUCGAAGUAACCAUGUUGUUCUCUGAAGACUGGCCAUCCUUUGAACUAUGUUCUUCUCAUGAUCCUAUUGGGUAAUAUGCUUGGUAGCUCUAAAUUCCAAUAUUAUGCCGAGCUUAACAUAACAGUAACUCCUGCUUGGAGAGCUAUAACUAUUCUUUUUUUAUGUGGAGCUAUAAAUAGUUUAUUCAGAAGCAUGAGAGUAUAGUCGAUCUUGAAGAACAUUGAUGACUCCUGUCUCAGAUAUUAAUAGCCUUAUCUUGACAUUCUCUUUACCCUUUUGGAUAUUGAAUACAGCAGUCCAUACUGUUUAUUCAGAGGGAAAGGGUAUCUGGAGUUUUAAUCAGCUGUUUAUCCUUGAUAACAAUCUGUCAUCCUAACAUCGUUUUAUAUUUUGUUUGUUGGAAAUAAUUAUGCUUACAAAUUACCGAAUUAUGUGUGCAGAAACCUGGAGUGGCCGAAGCUGAAUUUGGUAGAGGUGAUAUAAAGUGUCUCUUGAAGAAAUUCUAUGGAAUGCGCAAGGCAGCACCUCUGAUUAUACCCCCAGGCAAGACUUUAUUUGACUCAAUUGAUUCAGAUGGUACUUGCCCUGCAUGGCUGUCAGAAGAAGACAUUUCCUACUAUGCCGAGAAAUUUGAGAAGACUGGAUUUACUGGAGGAUUGAACUACUACAGAUGCAUAGACUUGUAAUUCUCUUGGUUAUACAGUUCAUUGUUUUAUUCAUCCUUCAUUGCUGUUAAGUGAGGAAAGCAACAUGAUAUUGUUUAGCAUUGUACAGGGAAAGUCAUUCGAAAUGCUGGCUCUAACUCCACUGAAACAUGUUCUUUUCAAACAACAGUAAAUUUGAUAUAUAUGGCUGAACUACAUUUCCAUUGGUGCCGGUGUCUUCAAGAAUUUAAAAUGAAAGAAGGCUUUUACCUGAGCUAUUUUAGUCAUUUAUGAUGUCACCCUCAGUAGUUUUCUGUUCAUGCAGGAACUGGGAGCUGACUGCACCAUGGACUGGAGUUCCAAUAAAAGUUCCGACAAAAUUCAUCGUUGGAGAUCAGGACCUUACGUACAACAUUCCAGGUGUAAAAGAUUACAUCCACAAGGGUGGUCUAAAGGCAUGUGUGCCAAAUCUCGAAGAUGUGGUUAUCAUGGAGGGUGUUGCCCAUUUCAUCAACCAGGAGAAGCCUGAUGAGGUCUCCGACCAUAUUUGCGGGUUCUUUAGCAAGUUCUGAUAUGUGCAAAAUCUCUUGGAGCCUGCUUGCUAAUUGUACUGUAAAAACUAGAACCAUUAUGCCAGUACUGAUAUCUUCCAAAUAUAUUGUGAAUUUCAAAAUCAAGCAGUUUCUGUUCACAUGGCCGAUAGUGUGUCAUAACCAGUUUGGAUUGUGGACUAAAGGCGAUGAAGAUUGAAGAAUGGCUCUCCUAGGCUCCUAUAAAGCUAUGUGAUGUUAUAAGUUUUUUUUUUUCGUUGGGGAAGCUAAAUAUUCCAGAAAAUUUGAAGGAAUCCUGAAUUUGCUGGGAUUAAUUUCAACUCAAAUUGAAUUGUGUUAUGUCCAUUUAAAACUAGUAAUGUAUUAUUUCAUGUGAAAUAUAGCACAGAAUAAUAAACGUAAGACAUCACCAGGGUUCCAUACGCUGACCUUCUCAUUUACCUCUUAGCUUAUUAACUAUAGUCAAAAUUUAAAUUUUCAGAAUGUAAUUUUGGAGUUGAUUUUAGGUUUUUUUUCCAUCGUAGUAUUGAUUAUUAAUCGUUAAUUAUAUAGAUAAUAUAUAAAAAUUUUACUCACAAAUUAUUUUGGUUGCAUUGUUUAUUCUAAAGAGCUGAUAUUUUCUCCACUUAGAACUAUACUCUCCGUUCCAGAAAAAAAUUAACUUCUGAAUUUUCUAAAAUCUAUAAAUUUAAAGCUAUGCUCAGAUUUAUACUCCCUCUGUUUCUAAAUAUUUGACACCAUUGACUUUUUAGCAUAUGUUUGACCGUUCGUCUUAUUCAAAAAAUUUUUGUGAAAUAUAUAAAACUAUAUAUAUACAUAUAAGUAUAUUUAACAAUGAAUCAAAUGACAGGAAAAGAAUUAAUAAUUACUUAAAUUUUUUGAAUAAGACGAAUGGUCAAACAUAUUUAAAAAAAUCAACGGCAUCAAAUAUUUAGAAACCGAGAGAGUAAUUAAAAGUUGGUCUUUUUUUUACCGAGCGAGUAAAAAGCACUAGAAGCACAAUCUGGGAUGGGAUUCUCGGCAGAAACUGUCACUGACAUGUGGUCCCAUUCUCUCCUAAGCGAUUCCUGGCUGUAUACUGGGGCCACGUCGAGCACCACCUACACGGGAGGAAACCGAGCGCCAGCGCCGGCAAACGGAGAAUCCCGGCGGAGAUGCCGAACCCCAAGCCACCGGCCGGUCGCGCCGGCGGAAACCACGACGGGGCUCUGCCUCUGGCCGGUUUCGCCCCGUACAACCAGAUGCCUCCCCCAAACUGGCUGACACACCGAUGCCGAGCGGCCGGCGCGCGCGGCUACAAAGGCAGAGCAGGCAGAGGACGGGCUGGAUUUUCAAACGCUCGCCGCGGCGCGCGCCGAUCGAUCGAUCGAUCGAGGAGGAGCCCUCUACGAGAUGGCGGCGGCGGCGGUGCGGCACCGCGAGGUGGAGGUGGCGAGCGGGGUGCGGCUGCACGUGGCGGAGUCGGGACCGGAGGGCGGGCCCGUGGCGCUGCUCGUGCACGGCUUCCCGGAGCUCUGGUACUCGUGGCGCCACCAGAUGCGCGCGCUCGCCGCGCGGGGGUUCCGCGCCGUGGCGCCCGACCUCCGCGGCUACGGCGACUCCGACGCGCCGCAGGGCAGGGACUCCUACACCGUCCUCCACCUCGUCGGCGACCUCGUCGCCCUCAUCGCCGACCUCGGCCGGCCCCAGGUUGGUUUACGUUUACGGUUUACCAUCCUUAUUAGCAGUUAGUAGCAUUAGCAGCAUCAGUCCCCAUUGUUUGUUUGAUUGCUCGAGGGUGAUUUGGUUGGUGCUCUCAAGGUGUUCGUCGCGGGGCACGACUGGGGCGCCGUCGUGGCGUGGCAGCUGUGCCUGCUCCGGGCGGACCUGGUGACGGCGCAUGUCAGCCUCAGCGUGGAGUACCAGCCGAGGCAUCCCCGGAUGAGCGUGCUCCAGGCCGUCAGGGUUCUCUGCGGGGACGAUCACUACGUGUGCCGCUUCCAGGUGAGCAAGGCAGAAAGAACGCGUGCAGUUACCUGUCGAAAUUCAAAUUUGGACGGUCAAUUCAAAUUUUGGAUUUGAAUCAUAAAUUCAUAAUUCAAAUCCUUGUGGCCACCACUGCCUGCAGUGAUCUGAAUUCUGAAGCAUCAGCUAUUGAUGUUUUUGUUGGAAACGAUUACGCUUAUAGGAAUUUUGAUGCAUAUGCAGAAACCCGGAGUGGCUGAAGCUGAAUUUGCUCGACUCGAUUUAAACCAUCUGUUUAAAAUGGUGUUUGGAAUGCGCAAACCGGCAACUAUUAUUCUACCCCAGGACAAGACAUUCUUUGAUGCAAUUGAUUCAGAUGGUACUUGCCCUCCAUGGCUAUCAGAGGAAGACAUUUCCUACUACGCUGACAAAUUCGGCAAAACAGGGUUCACAGGAGGAUUCAACUACUACAGAUGCAUUGACCUGUAUGUCUCACUCUCAUGGUUUCCCGUUCACUGCUUCGUUCAUGCCGUUCAUCGUCAGCCAAAUGUAUUGUUCUUGCAGGGAUUGGGAGCUGACUGCACCAUGGACUGGGGCUCUGAUAAAUGUUCCGAUAAAAUUCAUCGUCGGUGACCUGGAUCUCACAUACAACACACCAGGUGUGAAGGAUUACAUUCACAAGGGUGGAUUCAAAGCCAAUGUGCCGAAUCUGGAGGAUGUGGUUGUCCUGGAGGGAGUUGGCCACUUCAUCAACCAGGAGAAGCCUGAUGAGGUUUCUGAACACAUCUGUGAGUUCUUUAGCAAGUUUCUGAUGUAAACGAAAUCUGGUGGAGUCUAGUACAUGUCUGUAUGUCGACUACAGACAUGAAUUCCACGGUACUAAAAAUCUCCAAAUAAAAUAUCAUGGCCACUUUUUUACAGUAAAAUUUGUGUGAAUUCUUUGAAUCGUGAUACUUCUUUAGACAACGACAGGCCCAUGGUGUAACGUAGCGAUGAAAACGGUCGGAAAACGUCUCAACCAUUUUCAUGACCAUAAUUUUUUUUUCAAAACGGAAUCGAAAAUAGUAAAUCUAGAAACGAAAACGAUAUUGAAAAUAUCGGAAAACCUGAAACCAACUAUACUGACGGAAACAUAUCGGUACCCAUCGAAAGCCGAUAAUAAAUAUUGGAAACACUAAACUGUAAAAUCGCACACUUAACUUUGCAUAACUAUACUCCGCUUUCUUGUUUGAUAAAACUGAAACAGUUUAGUUGAGUUUUAGCUUCAAAAGAGAUAAAGCUGAAACUAUAGCCCUGCUAAACGUUCCUGUAGAUGAAUAGCUUUAGCUUUGUGAAAUGAAAAUUGCAUCAUUAGGCGGUUAAUCAACCCCAAUGCACAAGAGAAGAAUUAAAAGAUAUUGCCGGCACGAAAGUAAUUUACUAAUAAUAGUUUAUAGACACGGGGAGUCGAAAAAAAAAAGACACGGGUCAACAUACAGAUAUGAGAAUUACGAGAUCAAAUCAAUGAGCGCUAAUACAGUACAAGAAUUGAUCAAACGGCAUGGAUGUUCAGCUUGGCGAGGCGGCGCGCGGCGAGCACGGCGUCCCUGCGCUCCCUGCGCUGGGCGACCUCCAGUUGGUGGGCCGCGUCGCAGGCCGGCGAGCAGAGCACCGAGCGGCGCAUGUGUUUGGGCACCUCGCCGCCGCAGUGUACGCACGCGGUCGGUGAGCUCCUCCUCAGCACGGGCAGCAGCAGCAGCACAGCCACCACCUCGCCGUCGUCGCCCUCCUCCUCCUCGACAGCCACGGGGUCGCCCAGGACGCUCUCCAUGUAAGGGAACCACGGCUCGUCGCCGGUGCAGCGGACGCAGUGGCGGCCGUCGUGGCUUCGGACGAUGCGGAGGACGCAGUCGGCGGCGCAGGUGUGGUGGUGGUGGCAGAGCGCGGUGGAGAAGGCCAUGAAGCAGUACAUGCAGUAGGCGUCCCUGGGGUGCUCCUCGGCGAAGUCGUUGGCGUUGAUGAGACCGAUGACGAAGUCGGUGAUGGGCAGGUCGGGGCGGCGAGGGUAGUGCGCGGGGAUGACGGGCUUGCCGGUGGCGGCGUCGACACCGGCGAUGGGGAUGACGAUGUGGGAGCCGAGCGGGACGAAGUGGUGGUCAUCGCAGCAGUGGGAGCAGAAGGCGUGGACGCACCUGACGCAGUAGUGGUCUCGCCGGCACGUCUGCGACAGGUCCUCCAACUGUAGCUUGUGCUUCGCCAUGGUGACGACCCCUGGAUGGAGAGGCGGAGGCUGCCACUGCCACAUCUCGAUCUUUUUCGGUUGCACUUGCACUAAUUGCUUGCGGAUUGCCAUAGUUCGACGCACGUACGCUUGUCUUCUGGUGACGGGUGGACAGGUGGUAUAUAUAUAUGUCCACACGAGACGUACAACCGCGCCGAUUCAGAUUCCGAUUCCGAACUCGAUCAGGCCGGCCGGUCGCCUACUCGCCUCCCAAUCGGAUUCCGAUUUCCUUUUCAUUUUUUACGUGUCCCUAACAUUUUUUUAUUACUAGAAAAAAAUGCCUGUGCGUUGCGACGAGUGAAGUUUAUUUUAAUCUUAUUAUUAUUGUUAUAUGGUUUAGUUAAUACGAAAUUCAAUGUGAGAGUUCGCUUGGAUAUAUAUAUUUUUAGAAAAUUAUUAGGUGCAGUUAGUAGUCCGAUCGUCUUAGUUAGCAUGCGAGUUUUUUUAAACAGAUUUCUUAUAUGAUUCCUUCUGUAUUAUCAAAAGUGAACGAUGUUAAAACCGACUUAAAUACGGAUAUGUAUUUCCAAAAGCAAACGAACUUAAAAAUCGACUCAUACACAGAUGACGUACUAAAAAUAACAGCAAAAACAUUUUCAAUUUUUAUAAUACUACAAAAGAUGCCCGUGCGUUGCAACGGGUAAAGACUUUUUGUAGUGAUAUAUUAAGAGCUAAGUAAUAAAUUGAAAUAUUGGGAUUACUAUACACUAUAAUUGAAAAAGUUAAUAAAAAUCUUAACAUUGGGAUCGCUAUAGAUUAUAAUUAAAAAAAGUUAAUGAAAAUAUUUCCUGGGUUUUCGGCCGAAAGCAUUCCUUCUUUUUCAGCCCUAGGCUAGUCCGCUCCUCCCUCCAUUUAUAGAUAGCUGACUGGGCCGCCUGGCACGUCAUGACCCAAGCCCGGCCGUGCCUGGGCCAAGGCUAGUCAGGCCGGCACGGCCCGACCGACACGGUGGGCCAUGCCGUGCCAGUCCACAGUCGGCGGGCCAUGCCGUGCCAGUCCACGAGUGGCAUACACGGCCCAUGCACGGUGUUGAUGCGAAAAACAUACACUGGCCUGGAAGAUCUGCUUAACUUCCGUGCAGGUCCAAAACCUUGCUUUUAGGUUCGUGAGCGUGCCAGUUGAUUUGAUCCUACAAUCAACAAGAAAAAAAGACAAGAAAAAUCACGGUUAAAUCCAUAAAAGAUAGCCAAUCGGCUAGCUGCCGAUGACAUAUCAUUUAUCUUUGAGCCGAUGUCAUAUUGGGAUCGAUCAGCAGUCAUAAGUAAAUAAGAUAAGACUAAAUCUACUCGAUCUGUUGUAGAUAUUAACUGUUGUAGAUAUUAACGAUAUAUAAUCCUUCUGUUGAUGUAUAUUUAAACCAAUUGAUUGGGAUAGAUCGGUCGUCAUGCCGAGACAGUAUAAAUCACUUAGAUCGAAGUAUACAUUAACACAAAGAUUAUAAACGUUUAUAGCAUAGCCGAUCAGAUAGAUCUAGCAUGUAUCGGCUAAUACUCCGAUACCACUCUAUAUUACAGAUAGAAUAUAUCAAACAAGAAGCCUAAUAUAUUUUAAUGCAAUAAGAUCUUAAUAUAAAGGGCGGAUUUAGCAUAUCAAUCAAGCAUAUAGGACGUAAAGUAGCUAAAUCAGGUAAGAUCAGCUGAAACCCCGAUGCUAUCUCUCUCUCAAUGAUCAUAAAGCAAGCCAGAUGUUACAAUUAUAGAUAUUACUUAAUAGAUCGAACUCAACCGAUGAGCAUCAAGCAUAAAGAUAAGUAUAAGAUCUAGGCAAGAUGAUAAAAACUAUAAGAGAUGAUAAAUACAUGAUAUAAUCUAGAUUAAUAGCAAAACAUAACACUAUCGGUCACUUCCUAACGAUAAGAACCAGCCGAUAACAAGUUAUAUAGUGCAACUAACAAAGAUUACAAUGUGUAUAUGAUAACUCGACGAAUUACUUAAACAAGAUUAGAGUGUCGUAAAGAUGGAAGCACUAAUCCCGAUAACGCAAGCUGCCAUGACAAGCUUACCUCUAGUUAAAGAUCGAAUCGAUGCAGCUCAACCCGAAAGCAAGAACUCGUCGAAAUAGAACAAAAAAAAAGGGUGGCGAUGCGCCGAUAUUAUAUUGAACUGUUGUUAAUUGAUUACAUGGGUUCGGAUUCUAUUUAUACCCGAAAUACAAAAUAUGUCCUUGCCGGACACGACCCCUAUCUCUAACAAACUCUAAGAUAUCAUAAGUCUUUGCGACAGACUUUUGCCCAAACUUAUCUCUAAGAAAAUUACACGAGACAUCCUAAUUAAUAGAUACAAUUGCCUAUCUGAUAGCUUUAUCUCUAUCGUGGCAAUCCUCAUGAAGCAUAUUGAUCGAUUCUAGAAACAGCUCUGAAACCAUCGUCAUUGGAAUCGGCUGCAUCACCUCUAUCGGCUGUCCUCUGUCCGAUCCAUAUCAGCCGAUGCAGAUUCCAGCCGAUGCAUACUCUGUUCUUCGAAUUCAUCUCUUUGCUGAAUCCGCCUCGAUCCCAACAUCAAACCUGGUUCAUAUCUUACUAAAUUUGGUCGUAAACACACGGCCCAAUACUACUCGGGCCGUGCCGGGCCGGCCCGAAGGCACGAUGGUCCAUCGUGCUUCUCCACAUAAAAAGUCUAUUUUUCAUCCCUCAACUCUGUGGCUGUGUUCAAAUGGCUGGAAAAUAAGUCUAUUUUGUAUUCCUCUUUUCUUUGGGUUGCCUUAUAUGGUUAUAUAAGUCUAUUUUGCGUCCCUAUAUUUUUUUAUUUGAUCGGGCCAUGCCGGGCCGACCCAUCGUGUCGAGGAUGUAGCCCAGGCAUGGCCCGGCUGUCGGGCCGGGCCAGCACGGGCACGACCCAGUCGGGCUGUGCCGUGCUUGGGUCGGGCUGUGGGCCUCGGGCCAUAUGGCCAUCUAUACCUCCAUUUGGUUUGCUUCUCUUCGACCCUACCAUCUUCAACUUUCCAAAUAUGACUAUCAUCUUCAACCUCCCGAAGAUAAUCUCGUGCCCGUGCCCGUACGUUUGCCGGAGCAAAUAUCCCCAUCAAAUCCAGCCGAAUCUUUCUCGGUUAGCCAAAAUUGGUCGAGGGUUUUUGAUCGAUAUCCCCUCGAUGUACUCUUUCCGUUUUCCCCAAAAUCAGAGCGUAAAACUCGAGAUAAAAAUGACCGGGGAAGAUUGCCGUCAUCAUUAGCAACUGUAAAGCAGAUAUUAAAUCCGGCAAUUAAAGACGAAUCGAAGGGAAAAUCAUGGAGAAAAUGAUGAGAGAGGAGUGGGGAAUCGGUUUUUGCAAUCAAAUUGGAGGAGAAAUCACAUGAUCGAUAUGGCGGCGGCACGGCGCUAGGGUUCACCUUGGAAGGCAUGCGGCGAACAGAUGGGAUUAUAAACCGGAUGAGAAAAAGAAAAAGCGCACGGAAGAAAAAACUGGCGACAAAAAAGAUUGACGAAAAAAACUAAAUGCGCCCAGGAGGCGCGCAGUGGACAGAUCAGAUUAAUAAAACGGGACAAAAAAAAAACCUAAAGCCUUAGCAUGUGCGCAUAAAAAACUCUUUUGCGUGCAAAGAACAACAGAAAAAAUACUGGUGCCAAAAAAACAACGGACUUUUUUUUACUGGGAGAUUUUUUUUCCUUUUUCUACAUGAGUCGGACAAGAGAUGAUUUUUUUCUUUUUUUUUUACUGACGACGACGGAAGCUUUUUUUUAUCGCUUGUUAAUUCGGACUUUUUUUUUUACCUUUUUUGAGUCGGACUUUUUUUUCCCUUUUUACAGAAGACGGGAAUUUCUUGUUUUUAAGUAGAGAUAUAGAUUAAAAUCGAAACAUAAAAUUAAAACCGUUUCAAACACGAAUGACAUACCAUAAUUCUGACAAAAACAUCUUAGUAGAGACUAGAGAUUGGCCCGCGUGCGUUGUCUGUGUAAGUCGUGCAACGCCCCCGCCGAUGCUCAUAAAGUCAUGUCCCACGCUCAUUAGCGUUGAUGUUAAUGAUAGUGCGUAUCAUUAUUUGUUUAUAAUAUAAUAAAUAAAUUAUGCGCCUAGCACCCAUACAAAAUCAUCUAUUUUUAAUAUGAUUUUACUUAGAAUUUGUUAAAUAGCUAUCUCAUUGUUUUAAGACUUUGAAAGACCAAAAUUUAUUUUCCCUAAUGUUCUAAUUUAUAAUUUUUAAAAUUUACGUCAGUUGCUACCCCUUACAUCUUUGUCACCUCUCCUUUAAUUGCUUGCUCCAUCUAUCACUCUUUCUAUUCAUUCUCCUUAUAACUUUUAAAAAUUAGAGCUAAUAGUUUUUAGAGUUUAUUGUCUCGUUAGAUUUCAUUUUUAUGAUUUUUAGAAGUUCCCUCGAACGCUGACAUGUCCCGUGCUCAUUAGCGUCAAUGUUAAAUAUAGUGCACAUCAUUAAUUUUUUUACAAUAUAAUAAAUAAAUGAUACAGUAAAAAAGUUUUUGCAAAUGAGUUCAUAAUUCUUGUAUCUCUCUCUAUCCCUUGCCCUCCCUCCCCACGCUGUCAGCCGAUUAAUCCCUCACCACGCCAUUGGUUAGGCAUCACCACCCACGCUGUCAGUCCUCUAACCCUUUUUUGAGAGGAGUUUUGGUGAUUAAUGACAACGGUUGUUGGAACUAAUCUUUGCUGUGAGUUUGUCCAGGCAUCAAGCAAUAAGGUUGAUGGCUCAUAUGUAAGGAUCAACUGAUAGGAUUGUGGAUGGAUGACAAGAAAGAUGAUACCUCACACAUUAGAAAUCAAAGAGAGUCAAAUGUUGAUAUAUAAUGAGAAUGCUUGGUGAGAUCCCAUCAUGAAUUGAUGGACAUGUUUGUCACGCGCCGAUUUUCUAUUGCAAUUAAUUAAGAUAAUUAAUGAGGGAAUUAAAAUCUCUUUUAAAAAUCAUGGCUACAAAUAUUUUUGUAAUAUUAUUUUCCAUGCCCUAUAGUACUCUCUGAAAUUUCUCAUGAAUUUUCAGAGCUCAAGAAGUAAUUUUAAUAAAACAAACUUCAUUUAAUUAAUUAAAUAAAAAGAAAACAAACUAAAAUUCUCCUUCCUUGUUCUUGGGCUGUUUCCGGCCCAAGUCUGCCUUUCCUCCCUCAGCUCACUCGCUCAUCCUUAUCUCUUCUCUCACAGGCCGAGCCCCUCUCCUCUCCCUCCGACAGCCCAUGCCUCCUUGGCCCGUUCGCCCCCCCCUCUCCCUCAAAGUCCACACCGCCUCCUUCCUCUCUCCCUAUCGCCGAAAGGUGGGACCGUGGGCCCGAGGGGCGCUGAUAUGCGAUCAGCCGCGCGCGCGCGGUUAGUCGCCCCCCUCUAGUCUCCCUCAUAUGUACUAUAUACAUCAUAUGUAUAUACUAUAUAUACACACAUACGUGUAUAUGUGUGUGUCUAUAUAUAUAUAUAGGACACUCAUAUGGGGCACCAUGGUAUGAAAUACACAAACUAACCUAAAUUUUUCAAAUUGUGAGUAUAUAUCUAGUUAUAAGUAUUCGAUUUAUACCUAUACCUAGAAACAAAACAACUCAAAUUUAACUUUAUUUCACAAUCCAAUAUUACAUACCUAACUAAUUAUAUAUUUGGAUGCUAUAUACCUAGAAUCAAAUUCUAAUAAAAACAUGUUUAAAUUCAGUUCAAACUUGCUUUGAACUAGUUAGUAAAGUAGUUAAUGUUAAUACCUAAACAUUUUAAAAAGUUUUAUACUCAUUUGAAUUGGGUAUAUACACAAUUUGAAUCAUGGAGCCCGGGCACCAUGGAGCACCAAACAAAUUUACUAUAUAUAUAUAUAUAUAUAUAUAUAUAUAUAUAUAUAUAUAUAUAUAUAUAUAUAUAUAUAUAUGUAUGUAUGUAUGUAUGUAUUUAUAUACAUACAUAAUAAAAAAAACUAGAAAAUACAUCACGUAUACAAACUUUCUAUACGUACUAAUACAAACUUUGUAUUCAUACAUCUUAAAAAAAAACCAGAACAGAAGAGAAAUUGGAAAAAAAGGAAAAAAAACCCAAAAAAAACCAGAAAAAAUCGGAAAACCCGCUCCUCCCUCCUCCUCCCACGUGGCGCGUCCGCCGCCCCCUCACUGCGCGUGACUGAUAGCCAAAUAGCAAUCUCGCUGUGGGCCCCACCUGUCAGCUUCUUCUUCUACCUCCCGUCACCCCGUCACAUGGUCGACGCCCACGUCAAUGCCCUUCACGCGCGCUGCCGCCCACAUCCUCGUCCAAAUCACAUAGCACCGAGUCCCCUCCACUCAUCUACAUCUCUCGCCCCUCUUCCCCCACUCUCCCGCAAAAACUGUCGCCAACUCGAGCCACCACUACCCCACGUCGAUGCCCCACUCCGCUGGUCGUUGUUACCUCAUCCCGACCUCCUCGCCGCCUCCCCGCUCUAUAAAAAGCUUCCCCGUUCUCCCCUUCACCUUUUCCCCAACUCUCACGAGCUCUCCGCGCCCUCUCCCAUGGGGAAAUGGGAGAGAGGAGGAAGAAAGGAGGGGGUGAGAAUGACAUGUGGGGUCCAUGUAGGGAUGGCAAUUUCCCCCACGGGGCCGAGUCACCUGCGGGGACCCGACCCUACGAGGGCGAGGGUGGGUUAAGUUUCUGACCCGCGGGGGAGGCAGGGGCGGGGCUCCGCAUUUUUGCGGGGAGGGGACGGGGGAGACAGUUCACCCGCGAGUGACCCGCGAGGCCCCGGGGGGUGUAUAUUAACCCUUUAAAUGUAGCUCAUAGGAGGCCCAAAAGAGCCCAACCCAAUAAAAUAGAGAUAAAAUGAAAAGGAACCCUAGCCUUAUCCUCACCAGUGUCUUCCCAACUCCCCUCCCGGCUCCCGUACGCAUCACCCACAGGCGGAGGCGGCGCUAGGGGCAAGGGCACACGAGCACACGGCGCACUUCUCUGGAUCUCGCCGGCACCGGUCGCCCUCUCCCCUCCCCUCCAGCCUUCCGAGUCCUGUCCUCUCCAAUAUCCCUCUCCGGCUCUCCCUCAGGUCUGCCGACGAGGCGACGAAGCACAGGCGCACGGGCGCGGUGAGGGCACCGUCGAGUGGCGAGGGCACGCCGGUCGGCGAGGGUGUGGCGCACAGGCGUGGCAGCCGGCGAGGGGACUGACGCGGCGUCCGGUGAGCAGCGAGGGGACAGGUGCGCAUGGAUCGAAUGAUGGAUCAAUGUGUUCUUGGCUUCUUUCUGAAUUUUUUGAUGCUAUUUAUUUUUUAUGGUGUUAAUUAUGUACAAUAUUUGUUCUUGCCGAAUUGAUGAUUGUCUUAUAAUUUUUGUGUUGAUUGGAUGGAGAUGCUACCCAAUGCGGGGCUCCGGAGGGAUCGGGGACGGGGCCAGAUUUGUCCCCGCAUCUCCAAUCGGGGCCGGGGGCGGGGGAUGAAGUCGGGGGUCAGGUGUGGGGCCGUUCCAGCCCAACCCGGCCCCGCCCCGCCCCGUUGCCAUCCCUAGGUCCACGUGGGCCCCACCAUUUUUAAAAUAUUUUUGUGUAACUGGUAUGCGGGCCCACGGUUUUUAUUAUUUUCCAAAUCAAAUUGCCACGUAAGUGCCACGUUAGAUGAAGACCAAGUUAAAUUAGCCACGUAGGUGCCACGUUAGCUGAAACCGCCGUUAAAACCGCCUUAGGACUUAUUUUGCACCGAUUUUAACAGUUGAGGGACCCAUUAUAUCUGGUUUUCCGGUUGAAGGACGAAAAUCGGAUUCGUUGACAAGUUAAGGGACCUUAGAUGAAUUUUUCCCCAUGAAGAUUGGCAUGCUUGUUUCUUGGCCUGUUUGAGGCCUCUUUUUAAUUUUUUUAAAUACACAUAGGUUAUACCUAUGUUUUCAAAAUUAUUUGGUAUACAUAUGAAUACUCUUGAAUUGAUAUGGGCAUACCCUGCUUACGCGGGCUUCAUCAAACGUAUAUAUUUACGUCCUCCCCACAAGGCCGUACCGAGGAGGUUGAGGGUAUCAUGUGGUUUUGAGGUUGAGGAGAGAAGCAUCCCUAACUACGCGUUUAUGAAACUGCCAAAUGGCAUCCCAUCAACAUAAGCUGUAUCAGCCAAAUCCAACAGAUAAGCAUAACUAUAUAAGACCCUCCCUUUCUAGUCCUUUCUUGCCAAUCAACAAAAUAAAUUUAAACCCCUCUCUUGCUAGGUAAAAAUGACUAAUCAAAGAAUAUUCAAAAUUGAUUAGGAAAGACAAAGGAAUAAGAGUCUGACAAAAUUAUGAAAUAAGAGAAAAUGAGAAGAAUAUAUUUAGCGAUAAUUGCAGCAACAACACCAAAAAAUUAUGCAUUACAAUGACAAUAUAUAAUCCUAAAAUAUCAUUAAGAUAUAAAAUGCUAUUAAACGCUUUUGAAAUAUGAGAGAUGAUGGUUAGUGUGUUGUUUAUUAUUGAUGUAAAAUAAAAAUUAUUUUAAAUUAAGUAUAAAGAAUAAAUAAUAAAAUCACGCAUAUUUAAAAAAUAUAUUAAAGAAACUAUAUGAUUUAUAAAAAGAAACCCUCUAUUAUUAAUUUUUUAUUUUAAAUGCAUUUAGAUUUUCUUAACAAAAUGUUUUAAAUAAUAUAAAUAACAAAAAUAUACAGUGAUUCUGCUGAUACAAAACUAAAAAAGAUAAACAGUCUAAUAUUUUGAGAGAUUAAGUAAGAUUUUAUGAGUAAACCAGUUAUUGUUGACAAUGAUAUUGUUGGACAUCAACUUAUUUGUAAAUAGUUGGUAUAUUCUUACUACUUAUAGUUGCAAAUAAUCUUUUUUCAACGAAUGUUACUUUAGUAAAAAUUUCUCUAAGCUUUUCUUCUUUUGUUACCCUAUUUAUAAUUUGAUGUUAUUACUAAAAUUAUCGUUACUUCCUUUAAGUUUUGUGCUAAGCGGUAAAUAAUUAUCUUUUUUGUAAGCUAAAUAAUAUAACUAUUAAAAAAAAUGUUGUUCAUAACAUACGGAAAGAUAGAGAGAGAUUACAAUAAACACUUAUAUCUAUAUAUUCCUUAUCAAUCUUGUAGUCUUAUUAUUUAUUUUUCUGCUUUAAAAUUAUUUAACUAUUAGUUUUGUAAUUUUAUAUAGUUUAUGAAUUUGGAAAAAUUAUAUUUAAAAUAUUGCUAUAAAAUUACAAACCGCCAUGAUAUGGGAGAUUGUUUUCUCAACCAUUGUCAAUACUGAGGAUCUUAAAGCUCCGAAGGAUGGUUAUGGAGAAGUAGUUAUCAAAAUUAUUUGCAAUAAUAUUAAGAGAUAUAUUUUUUUCAUAAUAUGUAUCCCCGCCACCACUCAUAACAUAUAAUGAGGAGCGUGAACACACCACCACUUGUAAUAACGGAUCUUCUUGUCUGCAAUGAAAAAACAAAUUUAUUACUGAAUCAUUUAUUGCAACAAUUAAGAAUCAUAAAAUUCCUUCACCAAAUCACUAAAGUAGCUCACCAUAUUGAGUGGAAUAUGCUUAUGUUAUAUGAUAGGUCUAUCUAAUAUAGCUGAAAAUAUGGGACCAAAGCACACCAGAUCAUUAAAUUAGUUUGGCACAUAAGUUUUCAAAAAUAAUCUAGAAAAAACAUAAGAUAGAAAAAUCAUAAAAAUAGGAAAAAAAUUUAUAGGUAAAACAGAGGAUUGAAAACAAUGGAAUAUGAGUGUGGAAAAUAUCACUAACUCACCGAGCCGAACUAUAAAAAUAGUAAUGCAUAAACUCUUCUUUUCCCGUUGUUUUCUUGACGAGCCGAAAAAACAGUAAUGCACAAACUCUUCGUCGACGUUCGAUAUCGCGACUACAGUAUUUUGCAUAGUAUGGGGAUUGUUGGUACCAGGGUAUAUGCCAGAUUGAGAUAAAAGAGAUGGAGACAAGAAUUUUUAUACAGGUUCGGACCCCUUAUCUAGCAGGUAAUAGCCCUACUCCUGUUGGCCGAAUCCAGUGUUGCUCUUAUUCGUCAUAAUCAUACUAGUAAAAUAUUUGGAAUAACCCAUCUAGCUAUCGUCGACUUGGCGGCAUGGAUAACCAACACGUAGUCGACUACAGGGUAGUCUUCCUCCUCGAGUCUGCACUUGGCGAGAUUAGACAUAGUGCUAGAUCCCUCUUGUUGGCCUCCGUAGACAUCAUAUUGGGUUUGUCUAGACUUAUCUCUAAUAUCGAUAUCCGGUGGCUUGCCUUGGCGUGUGUUGGCUUGUGUAUUGGUCUAUGUUGAUCUUGGUCUUGUGGAAUGUUCCCUCUCCUUCUAGUGUUCUAUUUAUACCCAUAGGUGUUUCCUUGUCCAAGUAGAACUAGAUAGAACAAUAUGAAUAUAAUCCGGAUAACCCCGACACCCAUCUUUUCCCGUUGUUUUCUUUACGAGCCGAACAACAGCAGGCCACAACGCUUUGGCUGCGCCACCUAGCUUCCUCCCCUCAACUCCGACUAUAGGCUGGACGUUGGCUUCAAUCCCCAUCACCACCGGCCUUCGCGGCGCAGCCUCCUCGAUGCCGAUGACAGUGCUGCCCAGCUUCCUUAGCACCACACAACCUUUUUCUCCUCCUUUCUGACUCCGGCGCCAAGCUCGCUGCCGUCAACCUCCAGCACGACAUCCACUCCACGCCGGACGCCAGCCUCAAUCCCAUCACCGUCGACCUCCACGCGCGGCCUCCUCGACGUCGCUGACUGCGCCGUCCAGUCUCCUCGAUGCCUCCUCCACAUGUUUUUCAAGUUCUUCAGGUCAGUUCAUUCGUUGACGCAAGCACCUCCAGUUCAGUCCGUUCUUCACUGAUAGUGUUUGAUUGCCUCGUUCCAACGCGAAGAAAACCAAAAAAAGGGUCGGAGUGGAUUGAUUCUUCCCCGUGCUUUUCCCAUGGAAUUAACAGUGUAGGAAAUCUUCCUGCGAUUUUCCUUUGAUUGGUUUUUGUGGUCUGAAUGGUAGGAAAAGGAAAAAAAAAAUCUAUCAAUAGUAUUCCUUCAAAAAUCUCAUGAAACUAUUGUAAUCUGAAUGAGUCCAACGACAUAUAGCCGAUUGUUCAAAACCCUAUCAACAUCGGAUGGUAUCGGCAUCAGCUAGCAUUGCUAUAUCGGCUUAUUGGCCCAUCGACUAUUUGAUCUUCAAUUUAUGCAUCUUAUCAGUUGUAGGAUCAAAGUGACUUAAACAAAACAAGACUAAAACACUAAGUAAAGGACCUAAACAUUACAUAAAAAGCACCUAAAUAUGUGCGUCAUGAUUUAACUUGAAAUUAAAGACUUGAACAUGUCAAUUUAGAGUAUGUAUGGCCAAGAAGUGAACAUCCGAAGUUAUAUUCUGUUUAAGUGGAUAUUUUCGUAUUGUUAAAUUAUUUUUGCAACUAUACAAUUAUGCGUAAAACCACGUGCACAAACACGUGAAUGUACACUGGAGGAAGACGACAACCGACAUCGGCAGCACGGGACCGGAGGUCACCGACACACAGUGGCACGACAGCGUAGUAAGAUGAGGACAAUAGGAGGGAGAGAUUAGAAAGCGGAUCCUCACCAUGAAGAUGACGACGAAGCGGAGACAGAGGGAUUGGCGACGAGGUUUUGAUGGCAGUGAGCUCAAGAUAGCGACGAUGCUUUGGAUUGACGGCGAGAAGGCGGCUCUGGUGAUCUUCGGGCUUGACGAGGAGGUGGAUGACAAAGGACUCGGUGCUGCGGACUUGACGACGAUGAUGGGCAGCAGUUCGUCUUGGCAGGAACAACGGCCGGAGGGAGACAAUGGUGAUGGGAGCGACGUUUUGGGGUCUUCAGGCAGCGAGGAGAUGACGACGACGGAGAUGGAGAGGUGGCUGUCUCGGGUUGACGGCGAGGAGGGAGCUCCGCUGCUUGCCGAAUUUGGUGAAGGUGUGGACGCAGUGCCAUCUCUAGAGCAGGGCCAUAAGGGCGACGGCCAAGGGCCCAGCCCAAACGAGGGCCCCAAUCCUGGUAUAUAUACUGUAUAGAUAUUGAUAGAGUUUAAUCUUGUCAUUAAUUAGAAUAUAUGCAUGGUUCUAUUUUGUUUACAUGUAGUAUAUGUCACUGCAUAUUUAGUUUGGCUCCAGCUCAUUGGCGAGAUGCCGACGUGCCGUGCGAUGCGGUGGUGCGAGAAUGGAGCAAACAACGUUCAUGAAGACCAAGCUCAACUGCAUGUGGAGUGCUGCGAGAAGUAGCCGAAUUGCAAGCAAGACAAGGUCAGUAUGAGCCGAGUGAAUCGGUCCUAGCUGUACAUGAGAUUUAGUUGUUGCUAGUGAUUAGCCGCAUAUGCUGCGAUUAGUGGUAAUCAUGUAUUGGGAUUUCUUGGCAAAUAAGUAGGAUUAGUUAGUUACUUAGUGCAUGGGCAUCCCACGUCUGUGUGCAUGGCGUGAGUUGUGGCUGAGUGGGUUUGGCCAUUGUAAUCUCUUUGUAUGUACUGAGUCUAUAUAAACAAGAAAACGAUGUGAGCUAGUGGCCACAUCAACCAAAAGCCUGUGUGUUUUGUUCAGUUCUUGUGUGUUUGUGUCCACCGAGUAAAUACAAGUGUUUAUGUUAGUGCUAGUGAUUAGUACUUAAACAUUCAGAGAGGAGAGAUUCCCAACAGAUAUAAUGCCCAACAGCUUGGCAUGCCUGAUAUUAUCUAUUAUGUUCUCUCGCAUAGCAAAGCUCCUACUCCCGAAGACACAGCAUCAGCACUAGCGAUCUCCACAACUCCCAAACGCCGAUGCCUCGUGUCGCAGGCUCUCCGGACCUUUCAUUAUAGUUGAGGGAUGAAGUGAAUAAUUCAAGUCAUCAAACAAACAUAAUGAAACAUCCGACGCCUCGAGAGGAGAAUAUUGGAGACAUUGCUGGGCCUUUAGCCUGCCAAUCAACUUUAGCCUGAGAUGUGCCCGUCAAACCACUUGAAGGCGAUGACCAGAUAUGUUACACAUUCAGGAGACUUGACAAAAAUGGCUAAAGAUCUACAACAUCUCAAAUAUUCUUAACUCAUACUCAUGUGAAUCUAGUUCCAGGAUAUGCACUAGAUUCACACUUUCAUCUUAAGCAUGGACAUACAUAGCAAACACAAUAAGAUGAAAGCAAUUAAAAUUUACAACUACUUUAGAGAUACAUGGGCCAACCGGCCAAAUAAAUAUAUAGAACAGCGGAAGCUUGACUACCCAAUCCUCAAGCACACCGACUAGGGGUUUACCCCAUUAAGUUCAAGCCCUAGCAGAAGCAGACGAUUACCCGCAUCACUCAAAAGACUAAGUCUAACACCUAUAAGCAAAUAGUUAAUCCAAUAGCAAGAGUCAGUACAUUAUUAAAUAAUGUACUGGCAAGCACCAAGAUAAGCCUAACACCCUACUUGCAAGACAUAUAAUCAAGGAAGGCAUAAUAUGGUUCUUUUUAGCAUAAAGCAAGUUUUACUUGCAUAAAACACUUUCAAAUCAAAUUUACUUUCAAAUAAAUUUCAGCAAGCUAGUACUUAGCAUACGGGCAUCAAAGUAGGCAUUAUGUAUAAAUAUGCACCUCAUUGCCAUCCAUGGCAGCAAGGAGAUCAUUAUCAAAUCUCAUCACAAUUUGAAGGUAAAUUUCAGCAUUUAGAAGAAUAAACACAAGUCUAUACUCAAUACAUAUCCACACGCCGCUCAUGACCGCGAGCACGGCUAAUCGAUUAGUUUUUACUCUGCAGAGUUUGUACACUUUACCCACAUGAUGCGAAAUAAUAAUCAUGCAAAAGCAUGGCACGCGAUACAUAAGUACCCGAUUUAUUACCCACAACAAAGCUUUUCCAAAAUUCAUGAUUUAACCUUACACCAGCACGAUAUGUGUUCCUCCAUCCUAGUCAUACUGGAAAUAUGACCUAAAACCGUUAAGUGACGGGCCCACGCCUUAAACUUAACGUCGUGGUGGCAGACACAAUGGGAACCCACCACGUGGCACAAUACCAUUGUAUUGGACAUGCUUAGUCACCAAAACUACCACAUCGGGGUAAAUAGGAAGCUCCUCUAAAUUAUUCGAACUCAUAGACACCGGCCUACCAGAAUGUAAGUCUAAACCAUAAAUAAUUUACUAAGCUUGGGCUAUCCCAUACUAGCACAUGUGGUUGUAUUGUAUACGAAAUGAACUGACAUUGAGUGAAGUCCUUAGGUCGGUUUGGACGCACUCUCCCUCUAUCGGUACAUAACUAAUCACCACAUGUGCACCACUUGAGGCCCAAACCUAAAAUCCAUGUUUUCCAUCAUUUUAUUUGUCAAAUACUUGAUUUAUUCAUCUCUGUCCAGAAUCUUAAUAAAAUCAUUUUUCAUGUUAAUAUGAGCCCAAGUGAUAAGUAAAACCAUUCUAAGCUUGGCUAAGCAAUAUAGUAAACUAGUGUAACUCAUAUUCCAAGUAGUAACAGGAUAUGAUUCCUAAGGUUAGGAAUGAGGGAUAUGGAUAUAUGCGGGAUUAAGGUGAUAAUGCAAAUAAUAGGAGUUUGUCUAACAAGUUUAACAAAAUUUUAAUGUAUUAGUGUACAAUCGACAUGUAAGAUUUGCAAACAUUUUCAAUAACCUCCAAAACAUAGGUUCAAAGUGAUCAAAGAGAGAGGGAGGUGGGACUUGCCUUUUAACUAGAAAAAGUCAGCACCAAAAUCACUUCUUCAUCGUUUAAGCAAUCAUCUAUAUAAAGUACACAUUAUGCAAUUAAACAUUGAAAUAUGCGAAAAAUUCAAAAUGCUCUAAAAUGCAUGAUUUGUGCACAGUGAAUAGGUACCGGUCUAAUAUGAAUUUAGGUGCAAGAAUUUCUAUUUUAUCUCUUUUUAUUUGUGAGUUAUGAAUUUUAGAAGUUUGCUCGGUAUAGGAUAGUAUUUACCUAGGUAGUGUUAUAAAAUAUUUUUAUGAAGUGAUUCUUACUAACUUUGACUCCACAGAUAUGUAGGGAUGUGUUUUCUAAGACUAACACUUUUGGUUUCACAAUUUUUGGAGUUAUAACGUGUUCUAGGUGUAUAGUAUUCUAUAUGUGCAUGACGUUAGAGUUGCAUGUUCAGAACAUGUUACCUCUUAAUUAAGUUGAGUAUAAUGAAUAAUUUUGUUAAAUAUUUCACUUUUAUUUUACAAGUUUAGGGCUUUCAUUAUCUUGGUUCACAUUUUAUAACUGUGGAGAUUAUGGAUACCCCAUACCCACAUGGCAUGUAUAUCCGACUGGGUACAGAGGUACCAUAUGUAGAUAGAAUAUCUUUAAAGGGCUCGGGUUAAAUUCCUAACUUGUGUAUUAAGGAAAUAUCCGGGAUCCUAGUCGGUUAUGAUUGUAUUCUAUCUUUACUUGCCUAUUCCAUUAGGAAUAUGGGCUGUAUGCUGUAAUACGGACUCCUUACACUAUAUAAGGAGGGGUCCGGGUGCCUCUUGGGGCAUAACUUUUCUCCCAGAUCAUACGAUCAAUAACAAACUCGGCGGAUCAAUCCCCGGACAUGAGUAGGGUAUUACUUCUCAUUGAGAGGGCCUAAACCUAUAUAAAAUUCAUUGUCUCCAAACCCAUCCACUUUUCCUGCUUGAUAGCCACCCCUUUUCGUAUUGCCGAAAUCUUGUUUCGACAGUUGGUGCGCCAGGUAGGGGUUGCGUCAAGCUUCUCGCUGAUUAGUGCGAUGGGAUUCGUCUCCGGCAUCGAUGACUUCGUCUUCCCUCUCGGGCAGGCGUUCCGGUUCAGCAGCCUCGACUUCAUCACCGACAACUUCGGCAGGAUCUCUCUCCUUGACUCUGAUUCAAACUAGUCAGGAAGAGACGAGGUCUCCGCCCCGUUCGGUCUCCCGAACUCGGCCGAGAUCUACUCCAAGAUCAUCUGAUCCGAGUUGGCUUCAAACCACUCAAACGUGAUCUCAUCUACUCCAACAUGACCUAAUCAAGAUGAUGGGGCCAAUCGAUCGAUCCUGAUGAAGCUCCCCGAUGAUUUGGCUGCGGUCUUCACCACAAGGAUGUCCUCUCCCCGUAGGUCUAGAUGGGAUCCGGCCUCGGCUCCGAUCCAAUCUAGCUUCAGGGAAGUCGGUGUCAUACUUCAGCCUCUCGGGACGGUUUCAACGGAAGAAUUGGAUGGCUACCUCAGCUCUCCUGGUGUCGACUCACGGCCAACGGAGAUCCUCGACUACGACGACUUCGGCUACAACUACGACUUCAGCAACCUCGACGACUUUGACGAAGCCUAUGAAGACAAUUAUACGCCUCUCUUUUUCGGUGUUUUCAUGGCUGAUAACGAGACAGUGGAGCAGCGUCAAGCCCGUGAAGCAGAAGAACAACGCACAUGACAGGAAGCCGAGCGUCGCCGACUAGAAGAGGAGUGAUAAGCACAAGAGCGAGACCGGCUGCAGCGUGAGCAGCAGGAACGCGAGCGGGCUGCGAAGGAGGCUGAGGACUGGCGACAACGCGCCUUGGAGGCUGGACGGCGAGCACGCGAACUCAUCGGACAACAAGACGUUGAGGGGACAGCGGUUUUUCGCACCCCACAGCAGAACGCGGUAGCAGCGAUCACCCUUCUAGAUACUCUACUUCAGGAAGACACGCCCAACCACGUCGUCAACAUCUUAAACCAGACAAAGACCAUGAUCGCCGCCUCGGUCCCAGUUAACUCCGCAAGCAUCCACACGCCGACUGGCAGCCGAGUUCCACCUCUUCGAUCUCAAGAUUAUCAUCAACCAAGCUUCAGCGUUGCCUUCUCAGGGUCCAAUCGUAGGUGAAUGGAUCAUGUUGAACGAUCUGUUCACUCGCCUGCCGACAGACAUAGGGAGCGCCGAGCUGAACAGCCUCGCUCUCCACGUCGCAGGCAGCCCGUCGAUCUUCGCGAGACACUCAACCGGCGUCGCACAGAAAGAGGCUAUAUUCCACACUGUUCACCAGAUUGCUACGACGACGAUGAAGAUGGAGUUGCAGCUUUCACAAGUGACCUGCGUCGAGUGGACUGGCCGGCCGGCUUCAAGCCGACUGGGAUCGUGAAGUAUGACGGCAAAACAAAUCCUGAGUCUUGGCUCACCGUCUACGGUCUCGCAAUUCGUGCAGCAGGAGGAGAUAGCAAGGCCAUGGCAAAUUACCUGUCAGUGGCUUUAGCGGAUUCUGCUCGAUCCUGGCUUCUCAGGUUACCCUGUGGUACGAUUGGAUCUUGGGCAGAGCUUCGCGAACACUUCAUCGCCAACUUUCAAGGCACCUUCGAAAGUCCUGGCACCCAGUGCGACAUCUACAACGUGAUCCAGAUGCCCGGUGAAUCCCUUCGAGAUUAUAUCCAACGCUUUUCUGAGCAACGCAAUAAGAUCUCUGACAUUACCGACGACGUCAUCAUAGCCGAUUUCACUAAGGGUGUUCGUCAUGAACUCUUAGUCGGCAAAUUCGGACGCAAGCCUCCAGGACAUUCAAGCAGAUGUUUGAAAAAGCCAAUGAGUACGCCAAAGCCGAUGAUGCCGUCACCGCGUCCAAGCAGUCGGGAAGCGAUUGGAAGCCCAAGAAAGAUGCGCCAGCAAUAGGGGGGAGCGGAAGUACCAACCAUAAGGAUCGCAAGCGUAAGCCCGAGGACCUUGUGGCAACUACAGCACCUUUUUCUCGAUAGAGAUCGCGCAUCAAUACUUUCGACAAGAUCAUGAAUGCUCAGUGCUCACAUCACCCGAAUUCAAAUCAUGCGGCCAAAGAUUGCUUCAUCUAUCAGCAGUUCGCAGAGCAAUACGCCAAGAAAGCACGGAAGCCGACUGAUGGAGAACAAAGCACUUCAAAAAAGAAGGAUGACGAAGAUGACGGACCGACUGGUUUCCAAGACUCUCGCAAGGAAUUCAACCAUACUUUCGGUGGACCCCAAGCUUACGAGUCCAAGCGGAAGCAAAAGCUAAUUGAAAGGGAGAUCAAUGCCGUCCAGCCCGAUACGCCCCAAUAUCUUCGGUGGUCAGAGACAGCAAUCAAGUUUGACCGCUCGGAUCAUCCUGACCGAGUGGUCCACCCGGGGCGGUACCCCCUGGUACUAGACCCAGUGGUUCGCAACGUCAAGCUCCGACGAUCCCUCAUUGAUGGUGGCAGUGCACUCAAUAUUCUUUUCGCCAAGACUCUGGACGAUAUACAAAUCCCUCGUACUGAGCUGAAGCCGAGUAGUGCGCCCUUUCACGGAGUCAUCCCCGGGCUGUCUUCUACUCCACUCGGCCAGAUCACUCUGCUGGUCACCUUCGGCACUCGGGAGAACUUUCGUACAGAGAAUAUAUGCUUCGAAGUUGCUGAUUUCAAGACGACUUAUCACGCUAUACUUGGACGCCCGGCGUUAGCCAAAUUCAUAGCAGUCCCACACUAUACCUACAUGAUGAUGAAGAUGCCAAGACCCCGAGGAGUCAUAUCUUUGCGGAGCAACAUCAAGCAAGCCGUCACCUGCGACAAGGAAAGCUGUGAGAUGGCCCAGACGCAUGAGAUUACACUUGUUCGGGAUGAGAUCCAACUGACUGCAUCAACUGCAACCGAAGGAGAAGUGCCUGCACCCAAGAUAUCAAAGACCGGAGAAAGCGACGCCAAGACCAAGAAAUUUCCCCUUGAUCCCUCUGAUCCUUCCAAAACUGCUGUAAUAGGCGCUGAGUUAGAUUGUAAAUAGGAAAGCGCGCUCAUCACCUUUCUUCAAGCUAAUAAAGAUACUUUUGCGUGGAAACCAUCUGAUAUGCCUGGUAUUCCUAGAUAGGUGAUUGAGCACUUCUUAAAUGUUAAAGAAGAUGCUAAACCCAUCAAGCAACGACUCCGUCGUUUCACACAAGACAGGAAGGCUUCAUCAAGGAAGAUUUACACCGUGACUGGCUGGCAAACCCAAUUUUGGUUUGGAAGAAGACAUGACAAUGGCAUAUAUGUGUUGAUUACACCGACCUCAACAAAUAUUGUCCUAAAGAUCCCUUUGGGUUGCCUCGCAUUGACCAGGUAGUUGACUCAACGGUUGGCUGCGAGUUACUCAGCUUUUUGGAUUGCUACUCGGGUUAUCAUCAGAUCAACCUAAAGGAAUCCGACUGCUUGAAGACCUCGUUUAUCACACCUUUUGGGGCCUAUUGCUACAUCACCAUGCCCUUUUGAUUAAAGAACGCGGGAGCAACCUAUCAACGCAUGAUCCAUAGAUGUUUUUCAACUCAGAUUGGUCGCAAUGUUGAAGCUUAUGUUGAUGAUGUAGUUGUCAAGACCAAGCAGAAGGAUGAUCUGAUCGCCGAUCUAGAAGAGACCUUUGCUAGCAUCCGUUUCUUCGGGAUAAAGUUGAAUCUUGAAAAGUGCACCUUCGGAGUACUGUCAGGGAAGCUGCUUGGCUUUAUGGUAUCCCGUAGGGGUUUACAAGCCAACCCGGAGAAAAUAAAUGCCAUCCUUAACAUGAAACCGCCAAGUUCUCAGAAAGAUUUUCAGAAACCGACUGGAUGUAUGGCGGCGCUCAGCCGGUUUGUCUCACGACUCGGCGAGCGGGGGAUGCCCUUUUUCAAGCUUUUGAAGAAGACCGACAAUUUCCAGUGGGGACCCGAGGCCCAGCAAGCCUUUGAAGAUUUCAAGAAACUUCUCACAACUCCGCCGGUCCUAGCAUCACCACAUCCGCAAGAGACGUUGUUAUUAUAUGUGUCGGCGACAUCUCAAGUUGUGAGCACGGUCAUGGUCGUCGAGCGAGAGGAGGAUGGCCACGUCCAAAAGGUUCAACGACCGAUUUACUUCAUUAGCGAGGUUUUGGCCGACUCCACGACAAGAUAUCCUCAUGUACAAAAGUUGUUAUAUGGUGUUUUAAUUACCGUUAGGAAAUUAUCCCAUUAUUUUCAAAGUCACUCGGUCACGGUGGUCAUAUCGUUUCCACUCGGAGAUAUACUUCAUAAUUGCGAGGCAAAUGGGCGGAUUGCAAAAUGGGCUUUGGAGUUGAUGUCUCUGGAUCUAUCCUUCAAGCCAUGUACUUCCAUCAAGUCCCAAGCUUUAGCGUAUUUCGUUGCCAAGUGGACGGAGUGUCAAGAAGACACGCCUGCGGAGAAGCUCGAGUAUUGGACUAUGCACUUUGACAGGUCGAAGAGGCCUUUAGGCACUGGAGUAGGGGUCGUUCUGAUUUCCCCGACUGGAGAAAGAUUAAGUUAUGUACUGUGGAUACACUUCUCUGCAUCACACAAUGUGGCGAAGUAUGAAGCGCUUCUUCAUGGACUAAGGAUUGCAUUAUCUCUAGGGAUUUGGCGUCUGAUAGUUCGCGGUGAUUCCCAGUUUGUUGUCAAUCAAGUUAUGAAAGAAUGGUCAUGUCUUGAUGAUAAUAUGGCUGCAUACCGACAAGAAGUACGUAAGCUGGAAGACAAGUUCGACGGCCUAGAGUUAACUCAUGUGCUUCGGCACGACAACGAAGCGGCCGACAGACUGGCCAACUUUGGUUCUAAGCGAGAAGCAGCUCCUUCAGAUGUUUUUGUUGAGCACCUUUAUGAGCCGACAGUACCAAGGAAAGAUGUAAUCGAGAUGACAAGUACCCAAGAAGUAAGCAUGAUUGACGCCGACUGGAGAGAGCCCUUCAUCAAAUUUUUGACUAAACAAAAGUUACCUCAAGACAAAUAUGAAGCCGAGCGGAUCUCUCGACACAAUAGGCUUUAUUUCAUGAUUGAGGAUGAUUUGUACAAGAGAAGUCCGUCAGGAAUUUUGCAAUGUUGUGUUUCUUUGGAAGAAGGAAGGCAAUUGUUACAAGACAUACAUUCUGGCAUUUGCGGGAACCACGCUGCAGCACGAACGAUUGUUGGCAAAGCUUAUCGACAAGGGUUUUUCUGGCCUACUGUGGUAUCUGAUGCUGAGAAAGUUGUGCGAACAUGUGAAGGUUGUCAGUUCUUUGCCAGACAGAUUCAUCUACCAGCUCAGGAGUUGCAAACUAUCCCUCCCUCCUGGCCUUUUGCGGUUUUGGGGCUUGAUAUGGUUGGUCCUUUCAAAAAGGUCACCGGUGGUUUCACUCAUCUUUUUGUAGCUGUGGAUAAGUUCUCCAAGUGGAUUGAAGCUAAACCAGUCGUCACAAUUACAGCUGACAAAGCUCGAGAUUUCUUCAUCAGCAUCGUUCACCGAUUUGGAGUACCUAAUCGUAUCAUUACGGAUAAUGGAACCCAAUUUACUGGCGAUGUGUUUAAGGAUUUUUGUGAAGACUUUGGUAUCAAGAUUUGUUAUGCAUCCGUAGCACAUCCUAUGAGCAAUGGGCAAGUUGAACGCGCCAAUGGUAUGGUACUUCAAGGCAUCAAAGCACGAGUUUUUGACCGACUGUGUCCCUACGACGGCAAGUGGGUUGAUCAGUUGCCGUCAGUACUUUGGUCUCUGCGCACUACACCCAGUCGGGCUACGGGGCAAUCGCCGUUCUUUUUAGUCUAUGGUGCGGAAGCAAUGUUGCCAAGUGAGCUAGAAUUUGAGUCCCUGCGCUUUCGCAAUUUCAAAGAGGAGCGCUACGGAGAAGACCGAGUGGAUGAUCUCAACCGACUGGAGGAAGCUCGCGAGGCAGCCUUGAUCCAGUCGGCUUGGUAUUUACAAGGGUUACGACGCUACCACAAUCGCAAUGUUCAAUCACGCGCAUUUUUAGUCGGAGACAUGGUCUUGAGGAAAAUUCAAUCUACACGAGAUCGGCAUAAGUUAUCCCCUUUAUGGGAAGGACUGUUCAAAAUCUCUGAAGUUACUCGGCCAGGUUCUUAUCGACUCAAGCGUGAAGAUGGUUCAGAUGUCGACAAUUCUUAGAACAUCGAGCAUCUUCGUCGUUUUUAUGCUUAGACAUUAUUUGUGUAUACUUUUUCCUCUUUGACUGCCAACAUCAAGUUGUUUCUUGAAGUUACCAGUCGGGGGCUAUCAUAAUAAUACUGGAGUAUGAUUUUUAUCAAUUCAAUUUGUUUACUUGAUUUAUCAUUGUCUUGUUUGAUUUUUUGGCUUAGUUAAUGAGGACUUAGAUUUUUUUGACAACUUUUGCAGGUUCUAAGCUCAAUAAGGUUUGACAAAAACGUUUAAGAAAUCAGCGACUAAAUUUAAAUUAUCAAGCACAGCAUAAAUUUAUCAGUAUUGUACAGAUUGAGCCUCCAUCAUCAAAGAUUACAUCAUAUGGAAUCAACCAGACUCAGUUUUCUCAUCAUCAGACCCAGUCUGACCAAGAUUGGUAUCUUGAAAUCUCUCUACAAUGUCUGCAGCAAUUUUGUCAGCAGCCUUUUGGGCAUCAUUAAUGAUGUCAACGGCAUCUUCUUCGCUUGUUCCAUCUGCAAAGCCAUCAAUGGCAUCAAUAUCGAUCUUCGGAUACAAGGACUUAGUCAUCGCUAGAGCCAUGGUUGCUCCCAUGCUUCCAGCCUCCAUGAUAUUCUUGAAACAUGUGUCCGGAGCAGCUCUCAAUUUGUCGAAGACUUCAACAGCAUCGAUUGUACUCGGGCCAUUGUUAUUGUAGAACAUGGCUUGGAUCAGCGGUGUAGCAGCAUUGGCGACUUCAUCUCUAGCCUCUUCAAGUUUUUUAAUCUUGGUAAUCAAGACAUCAAACUGAGCCUGUGAUUUAAUUUUGCGAUCUGCAUGAAGCAAUUGUGUUAGCAUUGAGGAUGCGGAGACAAGUCUAUUUCUGGACUUCCGAUUGCAAUUACCUUCGACAUCUUUGAUGGCCAAGUCUCUUUCCUUUGCGAGAUCACCCUUGUCCUUUUCGAGAGCUUUGAUUCGUUUCUCCAGCUCGGUGAUCUUGGCAGCUUGGACUAUUGUACAUCUUGGCGGUUAGCUGAGUACAAACACCAACUCAGAAUGAAUUGAGCAAGGACAGAUGUUACCUUUUGACGAACCAGUCAACUCGAAGUUGCUAUCUUGAAGCUCAACAAUCCGAUCCCUGAGAUCGUGUUCAGUUUUCCUGGCUAGUUACCUAGUUUCAUGGAGUUGAGCUCUGAUUUCUUCCAGAGUUCCAAGAUGAGGGACCAGUUUCUCAAGGGUUGUGGUUUUUGCUUCGUUUCGAAGAUGAAUUCUCUGCAUUACAAGUUUACUCAUUUCAGUGGGUUUGCCGAUUGGAUAAGUAAAAAUAUAUGCAGGAUACUUACAUUUACAAGACGGGUAGCUUGAGUAAGUGUCCUUUUUAGCAGGGCUACUUCCUCGUCUUCUUUCUGCUUGUUGAUAACUAUGCCUUGCGACUGCAUUUCAUCAUCGCACCAUUUGACUAAGAUAGGUGGUCGGGAGUCUUCAGCCGAUCGGAUCCAAAGGAUUUCUUCUUUGUCGCCAAUUAUUGGGCCUUUACAUGCAUACAGAGAAUGAUAAAGCAAUCGGAGAACACUUUCAAAAUACAAAUAUGCUUGGAGGAUUGUUACCUAUUAUGAUUUUUGGCGGUGGACGAGCAGGCCCCUCUACCUUAUCAAAUGAGCUGGCUUUUGGACCAGCAUCGGUAUUAUUCAGGGGAGGGCUACUAGCUUGCUCCUCUGUCUUAGGGAUAUCCUUACUUUUGAUCGUUCCCCGGCCGAUCCCCAGUCGGGGGGUCUUGAUUAGCACUGGUUUCGAUGUCAGCCGACUAGUUUCCAGUCGGGGGCUCGUUUCUGGUCUCUACAUUGUCGGUUGCCGACUGACUGCCAGUCGGGCGGUUUUCUUCAGUUGGCCCGGCUUCAUCAGCAAUAGCAGAACCAGUCUCCUUAUUAGUUGGAUUGGGGUCUUUCCCAGAUGGAUCAAUGUCCGAUGGCUUCCUGAAGAUUGAAGAUGUGCUAUCAACAUUAUAGUGAAUGAUGCAUGUUUGAAAAUAAAGAAGAGAUUAUAAGCUGACUCAUACCUGGACGACUUUCUGAUUUUGGGUAUCGGACGACUGGAUGUCUUCUUCUUUGGUGGGUUAGCUGGUUUAGGCUGUUUUCCAGCCGCCUCUUUGCUGCCGGCUUUUUCGGCGUCAUCGCCCUCAUCGUUGCUUAGGACCAGUUUCCUCUUCCUGGAGCCUGUUUGAUUCGUUGGCUUUGGGUUGCUUGAUUGAGCAGAUGGUUGAAUUUUUGGACCCCCACUAGUCUGACCAGGUUGUCGGCGAGGAGAGCGGCGUUGAGCGGUUGGAGGGUCAGACUUCAUCAGAGAAAAUUCCUACAGAUGACAUUUCAAAUUUUCAGCCAGCAUUGCAAAAGAUGCGAAAGAUCAGAUGAUUCAAUACUUACCAGAGGAGGGGGUUGAAGGCAUGAUAAGGCACCAUUGGCAGUAUGUGCGAGUAAUCGACUACAAUGCCGGAUGAGAAAAUCUUAUACAUCCUGUCUUUCAUAAUCUUAAAUUCAAGAGACUCUGGAUCUUCGCGUUUGGGAUCACUCUUGCCAUCAAACUCAAAGGCAGUACGGGAUCUUUCCUUAAUAGGCGCCAGCCAGCUCUUGAUAAAGUGCCGAGUGAUUUGCUCCCCAUGCAGACCUUGUUCCUUGAGCUUCAGCAUGCGAUUUAGCAGAGUGAGGGCUUGAGCAGCUUCAUCUUCUAUUGGAAGCGAGUUCCAUGUAUCUUGAUAUGUUGGAGGAAGACAAGAGUACUCGGGAAGCGCUGGCUUAGGAUUUUGCAUAUAAAACCAAUUUGCAUGCCAACCCUUAUUGGAUGUUUUGAAAGGCAUGGAAAAAUAUUUCUGGCUCAAAGUGCCCCUCAGUUGAAAACCGGCUCCCCCAACAACACACUGCUUGCUCUUGUUUGGUUGGGGCUUCAGGAAGAAGAUGCAACGGAAUAGGGCAAAGUGCGGCCUAAUCCCUAGAAAGGCUUCACAAGCAUGAAUGAAGUUUGCAAUAUGAACAAUGGAGUUGGGGUUGAGAUGGUGCAAACUAAUCCCGUAGAAUUCAAGAAUCCCCCUGAAUAAUUUCGAAGUUGGGAGAGAAAAACCACCAUAGAAGAAAUGGGAGAAUACCACGACCUCAUGCAUGUCCGAGGUCGGGAAUGCUUCGCCACACGCCGGACGCCAGCCGAUGAUUUCCUUCGCCGGAAGAACACCGUGCUCCACCAUUUCCUUCAAGUUCUCUGUUACAUCGGUGGGUGCCCAUUGACUCUCAAAGCUUUCUCUCUCCUCCGCCAUGGAUGCGAGAUGGGUGAUGGGAUAUGGAGCAAGGGCGGCAGCGAAUGAAAGGAAAAUUGAAGCGGCAAUUGCGCAGAUGAUUUUCGCAAGCCCACGAAGCUUCGGGAGAGGUGGAUUGAUGUGGAUUUGCUAGCCCUAAUUUUCGCCGGCGUGGUUGCUACACUAUAGCGAAGGAUAGGGAGAGUGGAGGAGAUCUCGGCGGGGAAGACGAAGCGGCGUUUUGUUCAGCGGUUUUUUCGCUGGGGUAUCGGAAGAUGCUAAUGGGCCUGGGCCUUCUUAGUAUUUUCAGCCCAUUUUUAUUAUCGGCGUGGCUAGUUGUGAUCCUUAGGGAUUUUGGCGUAUAUUUUUUCUUUGGUAAAAAUUGCUCACGACAGAAUAGCCUAGUGCCGUUAAAAUCCUUUUUGACGCAGUUAGAUAAUUCUUGGGAAUUACUACGAUGCAAAUAAAAAGGUGCCCAACAGAAAAGUGUUAUACUAAUUUUGUUGGCCUUUUUAGGCUACAAAGUUGUUUGGGUUUUAUUAAGGUGACUAAUGGUCAUUCUCUCGGCAUGUUAUAUGCUUCAUUUGAUAAUGGCGUGGGUCGUAGCUUAGGCUAUUUAUACUUGCCAUUUAUCAUUUUUUAUACAACAUUUGAUAAAUCCUUUAAGAGUUUUACUCGGAUUUUUAAUCAUAUAUGUUGAUUAACAGAUCUUUAGAGUGUUUUCACUCGGAUCUACCUAUGCCUUUUGAGCAUACUCAAGCUAAAGCAGUCGGCUGAAUGUUUAUCAAGUGCCUCAUAUGCUUAGCUAUAUCAUUGCUUUGGUAAUUCAGUUAUAAAUUCACUCGGAUGGAUGUUUAAUAUACAACUAAUCACAUAGUCGGGGGCUACACCUAAUUAGGUGCAUCUAAUCGAUGCACCCGAUUUUUUUUUUUAUUUUAGCCCUUCACAGUCUUUGAUUCAAGUACUAGGUAGACCAAGGCAGGAAUAGUUGAAGCACUCGGAUUAUCAUCUUGAAGAUUCCAAGAGAAGAUUAUUUCGUCGACUGUAAAGGUCUCAGGGGCUACUGUGGAGAUUAUGGACACCCCAUACCCACAUGGCAUGUAUAUCCGACUGGGUAUAGGGGUACCAUAUGUAGAUAGAAUAUCUUUAAAGGGCUCGGGUUAAAUUCCUAACUUGUGUAUUAAGGAAAUACCCGGGAUCCUAGUCGGUUACGAUUGUAUUAUAUCUUUACUUGCCUAUUCCGUUAGGAAUAUGGGCUGUAUGUUGUAAUACGGGCUCCUCUCACUAUAUAAGGAGGCGUCCGGGUGUCUCUUGGGGCAUAACACACUCGGCGGAUCAAUCCCCGGAUAGGAGUAGGGUAUUACUUCUCAUUGAAAGGGCCUGAACCUGUAUAAAAUUCCUUGUCUCCAAACCCAUCCACUUUUCUUGCUUGAUAGCCACCCCGUUUUGUAUUGCCGAAAUCUUGUUUUGACAAUAACUUAGAGGUGUCCUAUGAGAAUGACUUUGUAAAUAUCAUCCUAGGAAUUAUUAUAUGAGUAAAGUGUACUAAGUUUUGGUGGAAGGGGAUGGAUCUAUGCCUUCACUGGUCUAACAAGUUUUAUUUGGGUUUCAUUAUAGCUAGAGUGUAUUUCUAUAUACAUUUAUAUGUAUAUGUAUUGCUUAAUCAAUACCAUAUGAUUAGCACCUAUCAUAUAAAUUUAAAGUUUAGAGCUAUAACCUGUACAGAAGGUGCUAUAUUUUAUUUUAGUAUGUUUAUAUUUUAUUUUAGUAUGUUGAAGCCCACUAUUUGCUGAUUCUAUAGAAACUUAGUUCACCCCAUUUGGACUAAAGAUGAAUUUUCUACAAAUUUUACAAAUUAAGGUAUGCUCUAUGUUGCUUAUUCCUUACACAAAUGUUUAGGGGUUUUUAUUAUACUGUAAGUAUGUAUUUUUAUUUUAUAACAUUGAAGUGCACAACUCUAUGAUUCUACAGAACUUGAGUUUACUCAAAAAGGAUCUAAGAUGAAUUUUAUAUAAACUUUUAAAGUUCAGCUUAUCUAAAACUAGUCAUUUUAAAGAUAAUAGUUUGAGGCAUUUGAUGCAAAGCAAGUAUACCUUUUUAUUUUAUUUUACAGGAGAGCAUAAGUUUAUGAUUCUGUGGAAUUUGAGUUUACCCCAAAAUAAGUUGAAGUGAAUUUUCCAUGUAUUUUAUAAGUCUGUGCUUGCUUUAUGUGUGAUUUAACUUAGAUGAAUUUUGGAGGUAUAAUUUGUACUGCGGGUGCAAGUUUUUAUUCCAUAAUAUUAAAGUUCAUAAAUUAGUGAGUUCACAGAAAUUGGUUUUAUCCUAAAAUGUUAACCCAGAGAUACAGUGGGAUGUUAACCAGUUGGUGUCCCAACUGGAUCAAGAAGAAACAAACUUAAACAUAAAUCAAGCAUCCAAGAUGUUCAUGGCUGAAUGAAAAGGUUUCCAAUUCUACAGUACACAUGCUAACUAAUUGCAACGAUUAGUGGAGAAAUAGGUAACAGUACAUAUAAGUAAUUUGUUACAAAAUACUUCCUGGAUACAGUAAUGGAAACCUACUUGCUUAACUAGAUGUCACAAGCUAAUGACAUAGAAAAGUCAAAUCAUUUUUGGGGCAAUAUAGUUGCUGGCGACUAAUCCUAACAGGAUUAACCAAAACAGAUAUUUCCAGAACCUAACAGAGCUUUGGCAUCUGUCAGUUUGUUCUUGCAGCUCCACUCGAUUCUGUUCGUUGUCCUUCAACUUAGCAGCAUUGUCCUCAAUCAGAACAUGGCACUUCUCAAUGUCGUCUUGAAGACGAUGAACCUGGUUUCUCUUCUCUUCCAACUCAUACUUCAAAGUACUAAUGAUUUCUUCGCCGGAUUGUCUGGCGCCAUUGAUUCAGUAUGCAACCAUAUCAUCGACAUACUGAAAAAGGAUGUCCUCCCAAAUCCAAACCUUGCAAUGAUACUUCGAAAUGUCUGAACUUACCUUCUUUGCGCAUUUGAGAAAACGCCUAUUGGGAUUCCGAGCUGUAUGGGAUGCGAAGGUUCGUAUUGGGUCCUCACACGCACACUUGAGCUGGGGCGGGGAUAAGCCAUAGAAGAAUGUAUGGACCUGCAAGAAUGUAGAAUAGAACUGGGUGGAUUGUUGGGUGGAUGGAGGAAGAUGCACUGUGCAUCGCCAUGGCUGCUCUACCAACAGAGUGCAGGAUGCUAGGGUGGAGAAUAGUCAAGAUAUUCAGGCUGCUAGGGUGCAGAGGAGUAAAGACGAGAGAGAGAAAUUCAUUCAAAAGUACAGAACGGUACAUUUAUGGGCCCGGUUGACUUGACAUAUAUGUUUGGUACACGGGGGUAGAAAAUGUGUGAAACAGCGAUAUACGAAGGAAUACGCCUGGUGUGUGGGACCAGGAGCACAAAUCUCAAAGAGAAACGGGCGGUGAUGCAUGUAGGGGAACGUCCCCUUAACCGAUCAGAAUAGUUUGCCGGCUAAUACUCUCUCCAUUCCAAAAUCUAAGUAUUUUUAGUAUAAUGACAAGUCAAAUAUUUUUAACUUUAACUAUUAAUAACAUAAAAAUAAACAAGAUCAUACAUGUUACUAUAUUUAUCAUUAAACAGACUAUCAUAAUAUAUAACUCUUUUUAUUUAAAAUAUCUUUUUAUAGAUAUUUUUAGUUAAAACAGAAUCUCUAAAGCCAUGGCAGAGUCUAAAAAUAUUUAUAUUUUGGGAGUGGGAGAGUACUCAUCAAAGCAGAAAAUAUAUAUGGCCUUGUUUAGUUCCAAAUUUUUUCUUCAAUUUUUCAAUUUUUUCAUCAUAUCAAAACUUUCCUACACACAAACUUCCAACUUUUCCGUCACAUCGUUUAAAUUUCAACCAAACUUCCAAUUUUGAUGUGAACUAAACACACACACUAUAUAUACAUAUAUACAUAUAUAUAUAUACAUAUAUAUAUAUAUAUGUAUAUACAUAUAUAUGUAUAUACACAUAUAUGUAUAUAUGUAUAUACAUAUAUAUAUAUGUGUGUAUAUAUAUGUAUAUACAUAUAUACACAUAUAUAUAUAUGUAUAUACAUAUAUACACAUAUAUAUAUAUAUAUAUAUGUAUAUACAUAUAGUGACAGACCGACAGUAUGCUACUAGAGCAGAAGUUCAGACUGAGAGAACAGUAAAGUGAGCUGCAAGGUGAAACAGACCGAAAAAAUCAUGCUUAAGCAUGCAGAGCUGUGCCUAUGGGCAAAAAAACAUUACAAAAUAUACACAGCAAAAGGAAUUCAUACGAGGCAGAAUCAGUGGGCUUUGUUCACUGUCAAAUGUUGAUGCACACAUUGCAAGGCCAAAAUACACACUCCUCUGAAUCUCUGAUGCAUCAAUCAGUUUGCGAAAAGAAAGGCAGGGAAGAGGGGGCAGCGGCCAUGCCAUACCGUAGCUGGCUAGGCAGGUACUCUGAGUGCCCUGGGGAGCAAAGUGGGCAGGGAAAGACGACAGCGGAGCGAGCAGGUGGUCCCGCCUCCGUCGAGAAGGCGCUUCUGGCACCAUCUGCACCGCUGGGCCGUCCUGCCACGGAUGGGGAUCAAUCUCGUGCUGGUGGCGCUGCUGUGGAGAAUGUCCGCGGCGAGUUCGGCGUCGGCGAUGCUCUCCCAGACGGACCAUAGCCAAUGACCACGCGAAAUCUGCACGCACAGACCCAUCCUUGAGUGGAACACGAGUGGGAGCAGAUGGUGAUGGUGGUCGUCGCAGUGGCAGUCCCCAUAGAGAAAGGCCUCGCGACACGUGGUGCAGAAUAGGUCCAGCAGCUGCUCAGGCUGAGCUGAGCAGCCAACUUCCAAGAGAGACAGAACCCACGGGUGCGCCGCCGCAGCAGCAGCGUGGUCAGCAUGCGCCCAGCAAGAUAUCGUACAGAGCGUGGCCAGCCUGCUGUAGAGACCAUCGAGCGAGGCAAUGUCGGAGCAGACCCUGCAGCGGGUGCCCGGUGAUGGCUGAAGCAAGUACGGCCGGCCAAGAAACGGAGACGGGAGCCGGUCACUCUGCACCCAUCACCAUUGGCAUUGCAAACAACACAUGAGCAAAAUUUUCAAUUCCUCCACAAGCACAAGCACAACUGCACAAGAAGAAGCAACAAGUCAAGCAUUUCAAUUACCUCGAUUCCUAGGAAGAUGGGCGCCAUCCUCUCGGCCCCUGUCAACCAUGCGCACCAGUCACCUCGGAACAUGCCGAGGACGAGCACCUCGUGAUCGUGGACGCCGCCACGGCCGAACGCGUCGCAGGACGGGCAGUAGUAGAGCAUGCCCACUCCUGCGGUCGCGUCGGCGACGGCGCUCAUGUCGUCGACGCAGACCACCGAUGAUAGCAUCCUCCUCCUCAGGCAUACUGAGCAGACGCCUCCCUCACCCUCAUCGGCCACCUGCCGCCGACGACAGACGACGCACCUCGCCACGAGCGCCUCCUCCUGAACGCCAUCCGCGCCAUCACCAUCCGGGCCCACCUCGCCACCGCCGCCAUGACCGCGCGCCGCCGCCGCGCCGGCCUCGCCCGCCUCGCCGUGGUCGCCUGCAGCGCCGCCGUCAUGCGUGCCCUCCGUGCCAUCCAAUCCGGUCUCCUUGGCCGCGGAUGAGGAACGUCUGCAAAAAACCAUUUCCAAUCAAGAACCAUUCUUUUGGUCAAGAAAUCUGGCAAGAAUCGAUUUCUUAAUGAAACCAUGGAAUUCAGUUCUCUUCUUACCUCGGGGAGCUGUCGGCCAACAAGAAAUCCGCCACCUCGCCACCGCCACCGGUCGCCGCGUCGCCGGCGCCGCUGCUCUUGCCGAGCUGGGCCACGGGUACCCCCAUCCUGAAAGAACGCAGGAGAGAUCGAAACAGGCGCGCGUCGGGAGGCGAACUCGAGGCGCCGGUGCGGAGGAGGAAGAAGAGGAGAGCCAAGAAAGGGGAGACGAAGGGCGCGCGUCGGGAGGCGAGUUCGUCUGAGACGAAGACGAAGCGGAGACAAGGAAGAUGGGCGCUUGUCAGUCAGUAUACAUGGCCAUAUGGGCCGCCCGGCCGUGCCUGGGCCGAGGCUUGUCGGGUCGGCACGGCCCGACGGACGCACCGGGCCGUGCCGUGCCAGCCCACGUGCCGCACUCACGGCCCAGGCACGGCCCAACACGCCUCGGGCCGUGCUGGGCCGGCCCCAAGGCACUACGGCCCAUCGCGCUUUACCUCAGCAUAAGUCUAAUUUUUCUCCCUCCUAUUGGGCUGUGACAUAUAUAGCUAAAAAAAGUCUAUUUUACCUCCCUCUUCUUUGGGCUGUGAUAUAUAAGGAAAAAGUACACCGAAGGUCCCUCAACUUGUCAUCGAGAUACAAAAUCGUCCCCUAAUUACAAAACCAGAUACGUGGCAUCCUCAACUUACAAACCAUUCACUCAGUGGUUUUAACCCCGGUUUUGUCCGACGUGGACGCUGAGUCAGCGGGACCCACAUGGGCCCCACAUGUCAGACAGACCACGCCGGCCAAGUCCCGGCCGCGCCGCUCGCCCUCACCGGCGCCGGUCCAUGAGGCUGAGGGUGCACCCAGCGUCGCGGAAGCGCACCAUCGCCUGCAGCGGUGGUGCGGGGUCUCCGCAGUGGCGGCGGGGAUGGCCGGCGGGAAGAAGCUGAGGCCGCUCGCCCGCGUCGGCUGAGUCCCGGCCGCGCCGCUCGCCCUCGCCGUCCCUCUCUGCUCUCUACUCUCGCAGGGCAUGGGGAUGCCGGUGCUAGGGCACCCACGGCGGCGCGCGCGGCCGGCGACGGUGGCUCCCGAGGCGACGCGAGCUUCCCCCAGGCGGCGCGCGGGCUCAGGGCAGCGCGAGCUCAAGACGUGGGUCUCCGACCGCCUCGCGGUCCAGCUCGUCGGUGGAGAUGAGGAGGGAGCGGGAGUGGCGGCGGGUGCGGGAGCAGCAGUCGCGGUGCGGGGAGGUGGCGGGCGGGACGGCGGCGGAGUGCGCCGCGGUUUGCUGCUGCUUCCCCUUCGCCGUCGUUGAGCUUGUCGUCCUCGCGGCCGUCCACGUCCCCGCCACGCCGUCUGUGGUGGGCGCCGCCGCGGUGUCCGCUCCACGAAGCGGAAGGAGAUGGGCGAGCUCCUCGCCCUGGACGUCGCCUCCCCAAGGUCGCUGGCCGUCGCGGCCACCAAGGCUAGGAAGGUAGAGGCCGAGUUCCCAGCCACGCCCAUGACCGAACACCUCGUCGACAUGGAGAAGCAGGUGUGGGCGAGCUUCUACAGCGCCGGCUUCUGGAGGAGCCCCUCGCAACGAGAGGACAGGAGGUGAUCGCCGCCGCCGCUCUCUUCUUCUUCUCCUCCUUCCCCACGGUUGUUGGUUUCUUGGCUUUCUCCUCCCUUUUCUUCAGAAAAGAGAAGACAAAUAACUCGAUCUUGUGAUUAAUUUAACCGCAAUUGACAAUUUUUUUUUUUUUUUGCAACUGGCUGUGUUCUUCUCUCCUUCCAAAAAAUUUGUCGAUUGGGAGGAAAGAUACCUGCUCGUGCUCAUUGAUGUCCUCUUCUUUGCCGUGCCGAUUAUCUCCAUUCCAUUGUGCUUUUGUUAUUUUGGUGCUCAUCGUUGGCGAUGCCGUCGUGCGUGGCAACGCCUAUAGCACGAGGCGGAUGACGCUCAGCCUGAUGGCGCCGUCGUUCUUGACGAGGCCCAGCAUGAGGCUCGCCGGCACCCCGUCGAUCAGCAGCACCAGCCAUCGGCCUCGUUGCCGGCGACAACCUCACCGUCCCGCUCAGCUGCGCCUGCCCCUCGCUGCCGCAGGUCGCCGUGGUGGUGGCUCGGCAGCGCCAUCGUUGAGCUCGCCGGCGAGGGCGAGCGGCACGGCCGGGACGCGGCCGGCGAGGGCGAGCGGCGCCGCCGGGACUCAGCCGGCGAGGGCGAGCGGCGUCGCUGGGACUCAGCCGGCAAGGGCGAGCGGCGCUACCGGGACUCGGCCAGCGUGGGCGAGCGGUGCGGUCUCCUCCCCGCCCGUCGCACGCCAUGCCAUGAGAGAAGAGAGAGACGAGGAAGGGAGAGGAGAGGGAAUAGAGAAAGCUGACGUGGAUUGUCUGAUAUGUGGGGCUCACGCAUUUGACCACUCCUCUUAUUUAAAAUUUUUUAAAAUUAUUAUUUAUUUUAUUUGUGACUUACUUUAUUAUUUCAAUACUUUAAGCACACCUUUUCGUUUUUUAUAUUUGCAAAAAAAAAUGAAUAAGACGAGUAGUCAAACGUUGCAAGAAAAACUAGAAAUCUCUUAUAUUGGAUGGAGGGAGUAGCAAAGAUUAGUUCCAACAACCGGUAGUCAUUAAUUACCAAAACUUCUUCUAACACACGGUUAUAGGACUUGCUCUUUCACUGGCCGGGGCGGUGAAGCCUAACCAACGGUGUGGUGAGGGAUUAAUCGGCCGACAGCAUGGGGAGGGAGGGCAAGCUAUAGAGAGAGACAGGAAAAUUAUCAACUCAUUUUCAAAAACUUUUUAACCGAAUCAUUUAUUUAUUAUAUUACAAAAAAUAAUGAUAUGCACUAUAUUUAACAUUCACGCUAAUGAACAGGGACAUGUCAGCGUUUGACGGAACUUCUAAAAAUCAUAAAAAUGAAAUCCAACGAGACAAUAAAUCUAAAAACGACAGGGUCUACUUUUUAAAAGUUCCAAGGAGAAUGAAUAGAAAGAGUGGUAGAUCGCGCAAGCAAAUAAAGGAGACGUGACAAACAUGUAAGGGGUAUAAAUUUUAAAAACUAUAAAAUUAAAAAUACAAGGAUAAUAAAGUUUGGUCUUUCAUAGUGUUAAAACAACGAGAUAGCUAUUUAACAAAUUUUAAGUAAAAUCAUAUUAAAAAUAGAUAAUUUUGUAUGGGUGCUAGCCGUGCAAUUGCACGGGCUACCUAGCUAGUUUAUUUAUUAUAUUAUAAACAAAAUAAUGAUAUGCACUAUUAUUAACAUCAACGCUAAUGAGCGCGGGACAUGACUUUGUGAGCAUCGGCGGGAGCGUUACACAGACAACGAACGCAGGCCAACUAAAGCGUCCUGGCAGGGGACACGUAAAAAAUGAAAAGGAAAUCGGAAUCCGAUUGGGAGGCGAGUAGGCGACCGGCCGGCCUGAUCGAGUUCGGAAUCGGAAUCUGAAUCGGCGCGGUUGUACGUCUCGUGUGGACAUAUAUAUAUACCACCUGUCCACCCGUCACCAGAAGACAAGCGUACGUGCGUCGAACUAUGGCAAUCCGCAAGCAAUUAGUGCAAGUGCAACCGAAAAAGAUCGAGAUGUGGCAGUGGCAGCCUCCGCCUCUCCAUCCAGGGGUCGUCACCAUGGCGAAGCACAAGCUACAGUUGGAGGACCUGUCGCAGACGUGCCGGCGAGACCACUACUGCGUCAGGUGCGUCCACGCCUUCUGCUCCCACUGCUGCGAUGACCACCACUUCGUCCCGCUCGGCUCCCACAUCGUCAUCCCCAUCGCCGGUGUCGACGCCGCCACCGGCAAGCCCGUCAUCCCCGCGCACUACCCUCGCCGCCCCGACCUGCCCAUCACCGACUUCGUCAUCGGUCUCAUCAACGCCAACGACUUCGCCGAGGAGCACCCCAGGGACGCCUACUGCAUGUACUGCUUCAUGGCCUUCUCCACCGCGCUCUGCCACCACCACCACACCUGCGCCGCCGACUGCGUCCUCCGCAUCGUCCGAAGCCACGACGGCCGCCACUGCGUCCGCUGCACCGGCGACGAGCCGUGGUUCCCUUACAUGGAGAGCGUCCUGGGCGACCCCGUGGCUGUCGAGGAGGAGGAGGGCGACGACGGCGAGGUGGUGGCUGUGCUGCUGCUGCUGCCCGUGCUGAGGAGGAGCUCACCGACCGCGUGCGUACACUGCGGCGGCGAGGUGCCCAAACACAUGCGCCGCUCGGUGCUCUGCUCGCCGGCCUGCGACGCGGCCCACCAACUGGAGGUCGCCCAGCGCAGGGAGCGCAGGGACGCCGUGCUCGCCGCGCGCCGCCUCGCCAAGCUGAACAUCCAUGCCGUUUGAUCAAUUCUUGUACUGUAUUAGCGCUCAUUGAUUUGAUCUCGUAAUUCUCAUAUCUGUAUGUUGACCCGUGUCUUUUUUUUUUCGACUCCCCGUGUCUAUAAACUAUUAUUAGUAAAUUACUUUCGUGCCGGCAAUAUCUUUUAAUUCUUCUCUUGUGCAUUGGGGUUGAUUAACCGCCUAAUGAUGCAAUUUUCAUUUCACAAAGCUAAAGCUAUUCAUCUACAGGAACGUUUAGCAGGGCUAUAGUUUCAGCUUUAUCUCUUUUGAAGCUAAAACUCAACUAAACUGUUUCAGUUUUAUCAAACAAGAAAGCGGAGCAAACUAAGUGAUAAAAAAGGAAAAUUUUUAUAUGCAUAUCUUUAACGAUUUAAAAGUUAAUAUAAAAAAGGGAGUAGCUAUAUUUAUGGCGCCAAAUUUUUCGUCAAAAAAUAGUCGGCAUGUAUUUACAUUAUAAGUCCCUAAAUUACAUUUGUAAUUUUAGUGUAUUUACAAUGUAAAUUCCAAAAUUACAUAUGUAAGUCCUAAAAUUACAUAUGUAAUUCUCAAAAUUACGUAUGUAAGUUGAUGUAAUUCCCAAAACUAUAAAUUUGUAAUGACACAGAUAUUUAGUUUUUAAGAUUACAUAUGUAAGCCCACCUAUCAUACUCCUAUUCCACUAUUCCUCUCUCUCUUCUCUCUCUCACCCUUCCUCUCUCUUCUCUCACUCUCUGUCUCACACGCGCACAGCGGCGAAGGAGGUGGCGAGCGGCGGCGGGGUGCGGCGGAGGAGGCGAGGCGAGGCGAGGCUGCGGCGGUGGAGGCGAGGCGAGGCUGCGGCGGAGGAGGCGAGACGAGGCGGCGGCGGCGGGAGCUCGCGCUGCUCAAGGCGAAGUGAGGUGGUGCCGGCGGGGGUGCGGCGGAGGAGGCGAGCGCGGCGGCAGAGGAGGCGAGCGCGGCGACGGAGGAGGCGAGGCAGCAGUGGCGGCAAGGCGGUUGGCCGGGGCGACGGACGAGGCGCGCGGCGUGGGCGGGGCUCGAGAGGAGAUGGCCACGGCGCGCGGGCGGCGGGGUUGAGAUGCCGUGGACCGGGUGCUGGCGGUGGUACUCGCCAUCGUAGCCGACGAUGCGGCGGGACCUCCUCGCGUGGUCCGCGUGGAGCCCGUCAUCCUCCUCAUCCGCCGCGCGGGGGAGGCCCGAGGAGGAGGUGGCAAUGGCGUGGCCCGAGUAGGAGACGAGGCUGCGGGCGGCGGGGAUGACUGGCUCGGGCGCGUCAUCGUCGGUAGUCGCGUAGCUCCGUGCGCCCACGCUGUCGCGUAGUCAUUCAGCUCCGCUAGCCGUCGCGACGAGCUCCCGCCGUGGAGGGCCGGCACCGCUCGUGCCAGCUGCUGCUCCGCGUGGCGCGCCGGAGAAGGCAACGAUGGCGAGGCAGUCGGAUCGCAUCCUGCUCCGAGCUCCGUCCGAGAGGGAAGAGGGAAGCCGCGCCGAGCUCCGUCCGCCCGCAUGCCACCGAGAUGGAGGGGAGAAGCCGCGCCGAGCUCCUCAUCCCCCGCCGUCACCGCCGCCGCGUCACGCGCUGCCGCCGCCGACCCGUGAGACUGUGCCGCGAGAGAGAGGAAGAGUGAGAGAGAGUGAGUGAGAGAAAGAGAGGAGAGAGUAGUGACAGGUGGGUACCACAAUUUUUUUAUAAAUAGAAUGCUGAUUGGACUACCACGUGUACGCCACGUAGACCAAAACCACCGCGGAUUGGGUCGAGGGGGUAAUUCGUCCGGUAUUCAUAGUUGGGGGUGAAAAAUGUCUGGUUUUGUGGUUCGGGGGUGGGGGGUAAUUCGGAUGACCGCGAUAGUUCGGGGGGUAAUUUGUACUUUUUCCUAGAUAAUAUGAAAGAGCAUACUACGGAUACAUAUGGCGUUCAUCGUGCAAUAUAUUCCUUUUGAUUCAUAGAUCACAACAUGUGUUACACGCGUAUGGUUACUAGUAGGGUUAAUUUGAUUCAUGUCAUUACAAAUAUGGCAUAUUAGAAAAAUAUCAUUACAAUUCACGUUAUUGAUUAGAUUCCACUGAAAAAUUUUAAAUUUGGAACCAUGCCACUUCCUUCAUUGUUUCCGUACUAAUCCCUCACGUCCUCACCCUCACCUAGGGGUGGACAGAAAGCUCGUGGCUCGUAUGCUCGCUCGGCUCGUGACAAGCUCGGAUCGGCUCGGCUCGUUUGAUUUUCCUAACGAACCGAGCUGGAAGUUUAGCUCGUUAGAGAUAACGAGCCAGCUCGAGCUAGCUCGCGAGCCUUAACGAGAUAGGCUGCCAGACCACAAACCCCUUAGGCCCAUUUAUUUAGAAGGCCCAAUAGACCAAAAACCAAAACCCUAGCUUCCCUUCCCCUUUCCCUGGUGGUGGCGGCUGAGCUCCCCGUCUCCCCCACACGCCGGCGCCACGCGACGCGGCCCACGCGGCCACGCCCAACGCCGCCGCUCUGCGCCUCCACCCUAGCAACCGACGCCGCCACCUAACCCCAGCGCCCGACGCCGCCGAUCCGUCGCUCUCCGCCUCUCCCUACCCCCACGCCCGACGCCGUCGGCGAGCUCAAGCUCGUCCCACGCGCCGCCGCCACUCUCCGCCCCUCCCCUUGUGCCUGACGCCGCCGGCAAGCUCGAGCUCGUCCCCUCCGCCGCCAAGUUCCUCCCCGUGGUCGCCGCCUCGCCGGCGAGCUCGAGCUCGUCCCCUCCACCGCCAAGCUCCUCCCCGUGGUCGCCGGCGAGCUGUCAAGGUGCCGGCGAGGUUGAGCUGCUUCCGUGCCUCCGUGGUCACCGGCUGCCCCCAAAGCUCACGAGCCUAACGAGCUGGCUCGAGCUUUCAAACGAGCCGAGCCGAGCUGGGUUUUUUGCUCGUUAGGAUAACGAGCCGAGCCGAGCUAGCUUGUUAGGAUAACGAGCCAGAGGUCUGGCCAAGCCGAGCCGAGCCAAGCCGGCUGGCCCAACUCGACAUCCACCACCCCUACCCUCACCGUCAGUCCGUCACGUGAGCGCGCGGGGAGAACGCUCGCCAGCGCCGGCACCGGCAAGCAUCGAGAGGACGAGGCGGCGCAGGCGAGCGGUGAGAGGACGGGGAGAUGGAGAGACGGUGCCGGCGAGCGGCGAGGACGAGGCGGCAGCCGCACCCUCUCACCACGCCCUCUCCACAACUGUCCUCGCCGCCGAAGCCGCCACCGUCGCAGCCGGCUGGAACCCUUCAGCGUGUUGGAUAGUAUAGGAAGAGGGGAAUAAUGCAAAUAUUGGAUACAUUGUAUUGAGCCUCAGGGGGCCGAUAUAUAUAGGAGUACAUGGGGAAGAGAUAAGGAAGGAUUACAGAUAUGGAAGGAAUCCAAACAAACCAAUCCUAUCCUAAUAUGACUCUAACUACCAUAUACUCUAACAUCCCCCGCAGUCCAAGCGUGAGCAGCGCGGACACUUGGACUGGAGAAUAAACCGGCAAGAGUGCUCAACACGGAUGAUAGCCCUUUGUGCCAUGGUCGACGUAGCCAAAGCGAAGGAGCCGAGAGAGCCGUGGUCGAUGAAGCCGUGCGCAGAAUAGCCGUGGUCGAUGUAGCCGAAGUCGGGAAGCUGAUGUCGAGGUAGCCGAGCCGCAGGGAGCGCAUGGGGCGCCGUAGAGUGGUCGUGGAUGGACUAGAGGGCGUCGUGGACCAAGGUGCGUGAGGACACGCAGGAGACGAAGACGGGGACGCGAUCACGACGGUCGUUGAGGAAGAUGACGUCGAAGAGCCGAUGUAGUCGAACCGUGAAGGACAAGACGUCACACCAGGUUUGCCAGACCCGGGGACAACUCGGGACGAACAUGCGCGCCGGUGUUGCCAAUACCGCGCGGGCGAGAUAGAGGACCACCAUGAAUCAUACACCAAUGUCGGAGAAGACCAGCAGAGAAGGCCUCCGGGACGGUCGCGGCGCGAGAACGGCGUAGAGGGAGAAUUGCCGGAGCAGCACGCAGUUGCCGGAGAAGAGCGAAGUGUAGUCGAGGAAGAUACAGCAACGCUGGCGAUGAGUCAUGCUGGACGAAGUAGAAGGCGAAGUAGCGGGACCAACGGCCUGGACGGCGACGUCGGUAGCCUUGUAGAGGUAGCUGCACCACCGGCCUAGAGUGGCGACAGUGGCAGCUUGGAGAUGCGGCGGCGAUGCUCGAAGUAGAGGAAGAAGACCCUGAGCGGCUGACGAUGACCAGUGCGGACGACGAGGUUGUCGAUGCGUGAACGGCGAUGAAGACGACGAAAGCGGCGAAGCUGCGGUCCGAGAGGACAACACAGCUGCAGCUCCAUGUCGAUGCAGCGACGAGAAGUCCACCGGUGAUGUAGCCAUGCUUAGGAGGGCACCUCUCAGCACUGCAACAACCAGUGGAGGCGUGGACCACAGGCGGCGGCACUGUGGCCCGAGGGGGCGACGCAGCGGCAAUCCAAAGCUUGAUGGUGUAGACGCGUGCUCGAUGACGAUUGGUUGUAGAAGUCGACGAGGCGGUGGGCGACGCAAACCGAUCUCUGAUCGGAAAAGGAAAAUAACAGCAGCAAGCAGCAGCGCAGUACGGUAGCACAUCCUCUGUUCCUCCAUGGUCCCGAUCCAUAGACCAAGUCCAGCAGCCUUGCAGCCUCAGCCGUGCCAGCAGGAAGCCAUGACCAAGUCAACGAGGAGAUUAAAUCCUUCACUUGGCCACAGCCUAUUCACCUUCUCCCGAAUAUCCAUCCACACACAUGCAGACAGACAGAGAUAAGGGAGGGAGAGGAGCUGUGCGCCUGUGCUGGGAGACGCAUUGUGGGGAGGUAGCAGCGGCUGGACGUGGAGUCGGCGUUGACGACGAACCGGCAGCCUGCCCCCAAGCAGCGUCGGAGACGGUGGGGAGGGCCCAGAUUCGAUCUGCAUGUAGGUAGCCGAUGGUUUGGUAGCUGCUGCAUGUUUAUGAAGAUGAACGACGACGCAGAACGCUAGAGAUUGAUCUCUCCAGCACGAUGGAACAGCGACGAACAAAACGUCCACCGGAGGUGAUCGAGAUCAGUCCCUCGCAGCGGUGGAACAAGACGAUGAAAAAAAAAACGAAAAACGGUGGCCGCCCCCAGGAGCGAGAUCACCUCCGGGGGCGACGGCAGCGGAAGUGGUGAGCGGCGGCCGUAGGUCGUCCGCUCUGAUACUAUGUUGGAUAGUAUAGGAAGAGGGGAAUAAUGCGAAUAUUGGAUACAUUGUAUUGAGCCUCAGGGAGCCGAUAUAUAUAGGAGUACAUUGGGGAAGAGAUAAGGAAGGAUUACAGAUAUGGAAGAAAUCCAAACAAACCAAUCAUAUCCUAAUAUGACUCUAGCUACCGUAUACUCUAGCACCGCGCUCGGUGGUGGUGGUCACGCCCGCAAACAAGGUCGCAUUGACGGUGCGCUGCUCCUGAAAUCACUGAAACAAGCAGCCAAGCAAACACCCAACAAUCUGAGCUAAAUCAAAUCAAGUUGGGAUGAGGAGAGAGAGCAAGCGAGCAUUAGAUCGAUCUCACUGGACAGCAGCAGCGCGGGCUGCGCGUGCACCGGAGACAUCCGGGUCGCAAAGCAUGGAGACCACCUUGUGCUCCUCCUUGUGCCCGUGCGACUCACCGCCGUGCCCCGCACCUGAGCUCCACCGCCAGAGGAUGGUUUUUUUUAGAGAAGAGUAUUUUCUACCCGGCCUCUAUAUCCAACCGGAUAUAUACGGCCAUUGAGAUAGGGAACUUAGCCCCGCAAAUAACCCAAUCUAAAAUUCGCUCCAUAGGAGAUUUGAACUCAGGACCUUGGGCCAGAGGAUGGAUGGUCCCGACUUCUCUCUGAUUUGGGGAAGCUGGCGGCUCGCUUCGCUCGGGCAGUCGUCGUGCUCGCCGGAGAGCUAGGAUGGGAGAAGGGCACGCUGCCGCUGCCGCUACUCCUCCCGCUCCCCGCGUGCACCGUGCCGCCGCCACCGCUGCUGCUGCCGCUGAAAUAUUUUUGAAGCGCUGUCGCCGCUGCUCCUCCAGCGUGAGGAUGAUGACGUAAGGGAGUAGGACGGAAACAUCCGACCAAUAACGUGAAUUGUAACGAUAUUUUUUAAUAUGCCAUAUUUGUAAUGGCAUGGAUCAAAUUAACCCUUACUAGUAGGAGUAAAAUGUGUAUUUGUAAGAGCGAGUGUGCUUGAGCAUGUAUGAGUGAAUCAGUUUGUUUGCGAUGUUAAAAAAACAAAAUUAAACAAAAGCCACCAACAUUUAAGUAAUUAGAUCACGUCCACUGUGUUUCUACUUUCUAAAAGAAUCUGAAUAAACCAAGAAAAAAGCAACUCCAAUGACAUAUCUUUUCAAUAUUCGUUACUCCGCUACUUCCUCCGUCCAAAGAAAAAUACAACCAAUACUAAAAUAUGACAUAUCGUAGUAUAAUAAAUUGGGACAUACUCUGUGUUUAGACUCAUUGUACUAAAAUGUAUCACAUUCUAAUAUUAGAUUGUCUUUUUUUUUUUAACAGAGCGAGUGAAGCAAUAAGAAUGGAUAUUAUGAACCGUGGAGCACUAGCAGCUACGAUUUCUCUGAUGAUGUCCUCAUGCGCGUGAACUACUUUGUAGGAGCAAUCAUAUUCAUACCUAGUGAGCGAUAAUUACACGGAAGUAGAUUAGUAAACUAAUCUGUGCCAAGAAGCAGGAACAUCUUGUGAUUCCUCUAAUAUUUGUACACAAAUGUUAAAUAAUUGCCCACACACUAGCUAAGAGGGCUAUGUUUGGGGAGCUUUAUGAAGCAGCUGUUUGGUAGCUAGCUUCUGAGAAUCUGGAAAAGCUCUGAAACCCAGUUUCUCCAACUUCUGGCUUCUUAGUUUAUUUUUCAGAAUCAGUAACUACAGAUUCUUAGAAACUGUGGAUUGUUUGGGGCUGCUUCUAGCAGAAGCAGCUUUUUCCAAAAGCUGCAGCUGGGAGAAACUCCCCAAACAGGGCCUAGGACCCAUUGUAGUACCUCGGAAAAUUACCUCGCGCACGUGUCGCGGCGCGCGUUUUCUGGGGAGCAGCUUGGCCUAGAUUAGUUCUAGAUAAUGAUGAUAUUUUCUGAAAGAUUUUUUUUUUACAGAUUGAAAACUUUUGAAAUAAAAUUUAAAAUUUUAACUUAAAUUUUGAAUACUUUCAACUCAAACUUUAAAAAUUUUCAACUUGUAAGACAAAUUUUAUAAACUUUCAACUCAGAUUUAAAAAUUUUCAACUUUAGAUUUGAAAACUAUCAAGUCAGAUAUUAGAAAACAUGUAUGCUAAGGAUUAAAAAAAAAGCAGAAAAAAGCAGAAAAAAAGGAAAAUCGCAAAAAAAAAAAAAUGGAGCGGGAGGGCGUGCUUGCUGGCGCGCGCCCUCCAAUUAGCCAUCCCCACUAUACAUUGGCCGCCUCUUCUUGUUAAGGCACUCACCAUGAUCCAAAUUCCCGCUCGGCUUUCUCCUCUCGAAUGGCCUCCUGCCGCCAGAAGCCACGACGAACUGCUGCGCUCUUCCCAUGUCGCACGUUGCUACGUAGCUGCAGUGCGGUGGUAUGGGAGAUCGCCACACCAGCACGUCGAAGCGCGGCGUGUCCACGCCGGGCACCACGCGGCCGCUGAGCAGGUCCUGCAUCGUCACCGUCGGUGUCGUGCUCGCCGCCGGCGUCCACGUCGUCAGCUUGCGCCUGCCGUAGAACAGGCAGUGCGGACCGUCCAUGGACGGCCUGUACAAGUAGUACGAGUCGUCCUCGUCCCUGACCGGGCCGUGCUCGCCGCGGCCGCCGUGGGCGUCGAUGGCCGCCCGCGCGAUCCGGCGCCACGAACGCGCGGUCAUGUCGGCGCGCAGCGCCGCGGCGUGCGCGUUCACGGCGGCGAUCAUCGCGAAGUGCUUGACGCCCUCGAAGAGCUCCGCGGCGAUGGCGACCAGCUCCGGCCGAUCCUCCGGGUCGGCGCCGCCGAACGCGAGGACGCGGAACAUGUACCAGAGCUCAGGCCGGCGCAGGUUGUCCAGUGUGACCGGCCGCGGCGCCGUGCCCAGGCGCGCCGCGUGCUCCGCCGUCCUGCAGAUGAUGACCACCUUGCCGUCCCCGUUCUCCCGGCGAACGGACGAGCACAACCUCCUCCAUGGCUCCUCUUCCACGUCGCCGACGACGUCGACCACGACAAGGGACCUUGCGCUAGGAUCGAUGCCGAAUCUCCGGUGCUCGUCGUCGUCGCCGGCCGCCAUCAGAUCAUCGCUGCUGAGACGGUGGAUCUUGGCGAAGUACUGCCUAAUCCGCUCGUCGAUGCAGACGUGUUCGACCAGCGUCCGCUUCCCGACCUCCGGACCACCGACGACGGGGAGGACGCCGGGAUUCGGGUCACCGGCCGACGAGCACGCCGGGCGCAGCAGGAAGUCGACGAUCUGCUCCUUCUCCAUCUGCCGCCCAAACAUGCACCGCUCCAUGAACAGGUAGGCGCUGUACGGCUGCCGGCUCAGGCGAGGGCAGCCGGCCAGGAGCACGACGAGCUCCUUGGCGCCGCCCAGCGCGGCCUCCAGGCUCUCCAUGACCGUGGCGUCGCCGUCGCCGCCCAAGCUGAGCAGCAGCGGCUGGCACCGGCGACGACGACGGCGGCUCGCCGCCGCCGCCGCGGCGUUCCGUAUCCUCAGCGCGUCGAGCGCGUACGCGGCGCGGCACAUCUCCCACCUCAGCUGCCUGCGCUGCCGCAGCAUGGCCGGGCUGGUGACCCGCCUCCCCUCGGCCUCCUCCAUGACGACGCGUGCUCGCAGCAGCGCUCGCUGCAGCCUGCUUGCGCCGUCGUCGUCGCCGGCGCGAUGCUCCUGCCACUUGCUGAUGAGGAAGGAGAUGAGCCGACCGACGAGGUCGCUGGCCGCCGCCGCGAGCAGAGCGUCCUUUGCUGCUGCGUGCGUCCUCUGCAACUUCGUCUCUCGGCUGUGAUUUGUUAAGGUUGGAGGGAGGAGAUUUUUGUUCUUCUAAACAAAUCGACGAGGGUACAGGAGAAAACUGUACAAAGAAAACAAAUUUAUAAGUAAACACCCGGAGACCUGUGGACUCGGUCUUGAGUCUUGACUAAAGGUAGCCAGUCCGCGAGCUUCCUUGCGCCCGCGAGGGCCUAGUUUUUGCUGAGGGACGAGAUUCUCAGGUGGUGUUUACGUCCAGGGACUCCCUGUCUCUAGACAUUAAUUUAGAGUAUUAAAUAUAGACUACUUACAAAACUAAUUACAUAAAUAAAAGAUAAUUCACGAGACAAAUUUUUUAAGCCUAAUUAAUCUAUAAUUAGAGAAUGUUUACUGUAGCAUCACAUAGGCUAAUCAUGGAUUAAUUAGGCUCAUUAGAUUCGUCUCGCAAAUUAGUCCAAGAUUAUGGAUGAGUUUUAUUAAUAGUCUACGUUUAAUAUUUAUAAUUAAUUUUCAAACAUCCGAUGUGAUAGGGACUUAAAAGUUUUAGUCCCAUCUAAACAGGGCCUCAGCAGCACACAAACGAGAUAACUCAUUAAGGGCUUGUUUAGUUCCAAACUUUUUUUUAAAACUUUUAACUUUUCCAUCACAUCAAAACUUUUCUACACACAUAAACUUUCAACUUUUCAAUCAUAUCGUUCCAAUUUCAACCAAACUUCCAAUUUUGACGUGAACUAAACACACCCAAACACAUAUUCGUUGAAAAAUUCAAAUUCUAAAAAUUGAAUUUAAACAUAUAAUUUAAAUCAUUUUGAGACGUAUGAUUAAUUAAUUUAAGUAUUGACUAUUACAAACCAGAAAAUUAGAUUUAUUUGAUUUUUUAAAGAAAUUUUUAUAUAAUUCUUUUCAAAUAGUUUGAAAAUGAUGCUAGAAAAAAAAAAGAGGAAUUUAUAGUUUGGAGUGGAAGAAAAAAACAUGCUCUCAGUGAGCACUUAUGAGUGGUACGCAUUUAUAUAUGAGAUGCAUUUUAAAAGAAUUUGAAAAUAAAAAAAAGGUGAAGAAUACCGUAUUACCGUAGAGCGUAGUUUAUGGUUUCUACACCGAGUUUCUUUCGCAUAUUUAACCAUGCGGCCCUCUUUCGGCUUCGCAAGCGUAACCACGAAGAGUUUGACCGUAAGACGAGCAUGUUUGUGUUGUUCUGUUAAAGUUUGUAAAUACGUAUGCUGACCGGCAUGUGGUUAAUUUGACUGUUUAGUACUUCAGUGGAAGCUAGGUAUUCGAAUAAAUCAAGCGAAGAAAAUUCAAUUCAAGCAUUGUUACAUUUUGCUAAUUGCAAGGACAGAGAGGACGCUGGCCUGGUUUUGCAAGUUGCCAUCGCAAUGCAGGUUUUGCAGGCUGGCCUAGAAAAAAAAAUAGUGGAGAAAAUAAAUACUCCCUCUGUUUUUUUUAUAGAUGAUGCCGUUGAUUUUUAACAUGUGUUUGGUCAUUCGUCUUAUUUAAAAAUUUUAUACAAAUGCAUAAGAUAUAAAGCAUGCUUAAAAUAUUUUUAGUGAUAAAACAACUCAUAAAUGAUACUUAUGUACUUCCUCCGUUUCACAAUAUAAGUCAUUCUAGCAUUUUCCACAUUCAUAUUGAUGUUAAUAAAUUAUUCUAGCAUUUCUCACAUUCAUAUUGAUGUUAACGAAUCGUGGGAAAUGAUAGAAUGACUUAUAUUGUGAAACAGAGGGAGUAAAUGUUUUGAAUAAGUUAACAACGGCGUCCAUUAAAAAAUACUAAAGAUAGUAUCACAAAGUUUGCUAGAAGUAGGCAUGUUUUGACAAUAACUAAUUGUUCACUGCUGCAUUUUUGGGAUUCAGCUAGUACAGCUCACCAAUUCCAUGCUAAUUAUGUUAUUGGCCAAUGCAAAGAAAUUUUUUCCCUACUAAUAUUAAGUAGCAUAAAAAAAAACCUUGUCCGUUUUUGGCAUAACUAAAUUUGAUAGCAAAUGAAACAUCAUGGGGUACUCUUGUUUGAAAUUUUUUAUGCAAAUUAAUAUGGUUUUAAUCCAAGCUAGUCCAGUAUGGUUCGAGAAUUCACCCAACAUUUAUCUUAAGAAAACGACCUUGAGUUUUUCUACAGAAUACUUAACGUAGACAAGAAGUAUAAUGACACUCUUGUGGAUGGGGCAUGGUUCCCCUAGCUUGGGAUGACGACUUCUUGGAAUGGUGACUAUCGUCUUGAAAGCAGAUGUACAAGUCAAGCAUGAAGUACUUGACAGUUGACAUGGAUGAUAAUCCUAAACACCUGAUUGAUACAAAAUGGACGUAAAGAACCCAACUACUCUACGAUCGCAGAGGAAUGGAGAACCUGGAACGAAGUAAGGGCCCUUUGAAUCAAAAGGAUUUAUAUUAAAAUUUUAUAUUAUUCAAAUUUUAUAAAAAAAAAUAUUAUUUGACACUAUGAUCUAAAGGAUUCAAGCUUUACAAAUCUUAUAAAAUUCCUAUGGAAUAACUCAUUGCAUGUAGAUUUUGGAGGAAACUUAGCAAAAGCUCCGAUCUCUUGGAAAAUUUUCUGAGCCUAUCUCUCCGAUCCAAUUCUUCUGUUUUUCCAAACGAUCAUUUCUAUGUUUUUCCUGUGUUUUGCAAUCAUCUGUUUUACACUUGUAUUCCUAUCAGAAUCCUAUAUUUUUUCUAUUCCUCCGUUUUUUUCAAUCUUAUGAUCCAAAGGCUAAUAGUUAGAGACUUAGAAGGCUAGAAUAGAGUGUAGAGACAUGGGGCAUGCAUUGGUCAUAAACUCAUAAUGUAAGAGUAAGACUACGAUGCAAGAUCUUUUAGUGCAUGACUAACUCCGUUGGGCGUCCAAUAGGGUUCGAGGACGUCAGCAAGCCGGGCGUCGUUGGCAACAAGUUGGAGUUAGCUUGACCACAAGAAUGACCGAAUCGACUCCAUGGUGUGGCGGAGGACGGUGAGGAAGCGGUGGGAAUGAGGCCAGAGAGGUGGAGUUUGUCGAAUCCUUCGCCACAUCCGGCGCCACCUACGGCGGAGUAGCUUGGUGAAGGUGCGGACCAGGUUGACCGCCUUCUGCUAUUGCUGAUGCGGCAGCGGAUGUACCGCGGUCGCCAUUUGUACGUCCAUCUAGUGGCCUCUCGUAGCUAGCGGGAGGAUUUCUCCUCCUCAACAUCCGACCGAAGGGGCAAUUCCGUCUCAUCAUCGGGUGGAGGAGCGAAAAUCUAUUUGGGAAUGAAUAAAACGGCGAAAAUGACAAAGUGACAGUAGGCACACGCUUCAUGUUGACAUUUUAUCGAAUCGUGUUCUGAGAAUAAUAUUCCAACGAAAUCACGUUUUAAGCGUGUCCAAAUGUCCAAUUUUUUCUCGACGACGGUAGCACUGCCCUAGAGACUGCCCAUUUUCGAGCUGGAACUGGAAGUGGAGGAAUUGGCUCGCCCUCCCCCCUUCCCCUUGAACCCCCACCCCCGCCGCGCCUGCACUCCGCUGGUACGCCCACGCCCACGGUCUCGUCUCCCCGACCACCACAAUCCCUACCCUUUUCAAAAAGAGGAGAGAGGGGAUCGGAGGAGAAUUUCUCCACUUCACCCCCAACAAGCAUCCCGACCACCACCACCCCCCGCUACCCCAGGAGAGAUUCACCCGCAAUGUCCGACGAGGCCACCAGGCGCUUGGCCGGGGGCGGCGGGGGCGGCGCGGCGCUGAGGGCCUCCUCCGACGUCGACCGCAAGCCGGCCGCCGCGGGCUCCCCGCCUCCUGGCGCCGCCGCCGCCGCGGGGCACAAGAUCCAGCUCAAGAGCGCCGACAUGAAGGAGGAGAUGCGCCAGGAGGCCUUCGACAUCGCCCGCGUCGUAACCACUCGAUCCCCCGCACCUCCCUCCUCUCGAUUCCCUUGUUCCCUGAUUCGGAUUGCUCGGUUUGCGAUGUGAAAUGGUUUUUGUGUUUUUUGGUUCGCUAGGCGUUCGAGAAGCACACCAUGGAGAAGGACAUCGCGGAGUACAUCAAGAAGGAGUUCGACAAGAACCACGGCCCUACCUGGCACUGCAUCGUCGGCCGCAACUUCGGUACUCCUCUCUCUCUCUCUCUCGCCUCCCCCUCUUCUUGCUGGAAAUUUCUUUGGUACCGCAUCAUCUGGUGAUUUAUGUCUUGUCCUCUCCUGUUGAUUGGGGUAUCCGCGGCACAAUUCCAUGUGCUCUAGAGCUUGUAGGCUACCGAAUGGUAUAGAAGUCGAUGUGUGUUUGGUCGAUAAUGACAAAGAAACAACCCUCGUGAAAUCUUCCUCCUUGUGUUUUGGUUAAGGCAAGCCAAGUUAGCACUAGGGCAUACAACAGUAGUGUGUGGACUGUAGAGAGUAGUGUGAUUCCUGGCUUAAAGGGCUCAAAUUUUAUUUUAAUGUUUAUUUUAAAAAGCAAUAUAAUAUUUCUCGAAGCUUGACUCGGUCUGUUUGUCAAAUGUCAACAGAUAAAGAGCAUGGUGGUAUUGAUUGAAUCCAAGUAUCCAACCUAGCAAUGCCAGUAGUCAACUUAUUGUGUUUUUUCAGCUCACAGAUUUCGAAUUAAUGUUCUACUUUUCCUGUGUAUAAAACUAAGCUGGAGUAAAUUGCACCUGGUUCCUUUGUUUAUUUAGUUAUUAAUCAAUAACGUGUGCUUCACUUUGCCAUACCGAUCAGGCUUAGAUCCACAAUACAAACACAGUAUGCCAUGUUAUGUAAAUAAACUCACUCGACAUACCAUGUCACCAAAAAAGUCAAGUGCCAUGUCACAUGGUAACAUAUCAUCUGGAAGGUUUACACUGCAUAUCCCAUUGUAGACAGUUUAAAGAUCUCUGAUGCAAUUAGCUCGGCCAAAUUGUGAACUUGGAUUUAGGAUAGGUGAAAAAAGAUUUAAUACCAUAUCCAAGAAGUGCAUUGACAUUCUCAGACAUAUCUGCCACUCUUCAGCACAUUUAUUAUAAUUUCUCUCUUGCACUUGAGUGGGUCCUGAAACAAGUAUCAUACCAUUUCAGUUCUGCUUCAGCACUAGUGUUCAUAUUUUUCCUGUAGUUGCACAUCUGGCGCUUGCAGCAUUCUUUUUUAGUUAUAGCUUGUGCUUAUUCAGUAUGUUAAAUAAUGCCAAACAAUUAUGGCAACCGGAAAUUUUCAAGAUCAUUCGUUCAAUGUGGUACACUGAUAGUCUGAUACACACUUUGUUUUAGGUACCAUCCACAUAAAUCUAUAACAGUUGGAAUUGGCACAGUAUAAUAGUGUUGUCACUAUAUCUUAACUGCUUCUCUUGUGCAAACUAGUUCAUUUUCUCAUAUUAGGUUUUCCCUCAUUUUUACCCCCUGUUAUUUUAACUGAAUCAGCACUUCAACUUUCUUUUUCUAACAAAAGGAUAUAGUGACCAAGAAGGUAACUAUGAAACUAUACCAUGAAUGAUUGACUUUUGUUAGCUUUCCUCGCAUCCGGAAAAGGGCUAAGUGUAUCAUGAAAACAUAGGACUUUAAUCCUGUUACUGCUUCGGUUAAUCUAGCAUUUUCGUAUAUAUUUUAUUUAGUUGUAAUAUUAUACUCCCUCCAUCCCAUAAUAUAAGGGAUUAUUCCUUUUUGGGUAAGAUUAAGGAUAGCAUGCAAAUACUAGAAUACCUCUAUUAAAUGAGGUUUGCUUAUGGUGAGUGGGUAGUGGGGGGUUAAAGUAGGUAGAAAUUUGAAUUGGAGUUGAUAGACAUGACAAGUAGUAUACCAAAAUCCCUUAUAUUGUGGGAUAACUAGAAGGGGCAAAUCCCUUAUAUUAUGGGACGAAGGGAGUAUGUACUGAUGAACCCAUGAUAGUCUUAUUGAACUCAACAUGAUAAUAGGUGGCAAAUCUCAAACUGAUGCCCAUCGGAGUAUUUGAACAUGACAUACUAGUUUAAUUUUACAAGCUGUGUUAAUUUUCAAGUGUUUCUACUUUCUAAUUGACUCCAGUAACAUGAGAGAAAUCCUACCUUCCAUCGCUUCUCAAACCUUGUAGGAGGUUAAAAUUUUCCCUUAGUAAAUUGGAUUUGUUAAAUAGAAGAGAGUUAGCAUCCAGCCAUCCGUAGACAUGACGGGUGGAAUUGUUCAUUAUAUUUUAUCUUUUAUCCUUAGCUGACACUUAUCUGCCAUCUUGUUUGCUAUUGUGGAGCGUGUACAUACCAUUUUUGUAAACCAUGGAUAGUUUUAGUCUUUGCCGACUAUCUAGAUGGCCUCAACUUCUCAAGGCUUGUGUGAUAUGAAAUACCACAGUGUAACUAGUCCGGUCUGUUAUGGAUUAGUUUGGUUCCUGUUGGUUAAUCUAUAAGAAAAAGAAAAGGUGGGGUCUCAGUUUCUAUGGCUCAUGAUCCGAGGGGUUAGCCUCCAAAGCUUGUAUUAUUCUCUGGAAUUCAUUGACCUUAUGGCUUAUGCUUGCUUGGUAAUGAAAAGCCAAGAUGAAAAACACUAUAAUGGAAUUGAAUUCACUUUUUAUCCUAUUCCUUUGGUUGGUUUAUGGGAGAUGUGAUCAUGGGAGUUGGCUGACUUCUCAGCAUGAUUGGGAAAACCUAAGUACCUAACUGCUGAAAUUGUAGAACACUUAACUUAAAACUGAGCUAUUUUUCCAUUCUUCCUAUUUCUAUUAUGUCAUUGUAUUAUAAGCCGUCUUCAGUAGGUUUGUGGUGCAUUCAGGUAUUUAAUGUUGCUAUGGUGUGUCGAUUUCUGAAAUGGUUGGCAAAUAUAAAUCUGUACUCAACUACUUUAUCUGAUCUCCUGGUUUCUCUGUUCUCUCUAAGAUGCUCUUGUAUGCAACCAAUUCCAAAAGGACAAAAUAUCCUUGAUCUGAAACAGCUCCAUUUCGCUGGUUACAUAAUCUACUUCACAACUUUAGUAAUGAAUUUAUGCCCUUGUUUCCAUUUGAUGCGUAUUGAAUGUUAUGCCCUGCAAUUUCACCCAAGCCUUUUUGCCUGGUGCAGGGUCCUACGUAACACACGAGACGAACUACUUUGUGUAUUUUUACAUCGAUUCUAAAGCCGUCUUGCUAUUCAAAUCUGGGUGAUUGGCGUAGCUAAUAUCCCCUGCGCUUGUUGUCUUGUAUGCCUCUUUCCUCCGCGUUGUCUGCAACCAAAGCUGGAAGCCUGGAAUUCUGAGAGCCUGCAUGUUGUUGAUGUAUCAGCCGCGGAUCUUUUCCAUAUUCCAGCAAAUGUGAGAUUAGAUUGUGUGUCUAUUUUACGUCUGAUACAUCUAGGUGGUGUCCUGACAUUGCCUUAUUGUAAUCUGAUUGCCGGAAAGUCAGACAGAGGUUGUCAUCAACAAGGUAAAACUUGUGCUGAUCUGCUUAUAUUAUGCAUUCUCUGGCCACCGGGUUGCAGAAAUUGCAAUGAUUUCAAUGAAUGAUACCCUACAUGAACUGCCUAUAUAUGAUAUGCCAAUGUGGAUUAAGUUACAAAAAGGGAAAAUACUUUUUGCAUUGUUGCAUCAUGUGAAAUUCUACUAGACCAUAACAUGGCCAUUUUUUGCUGAGCAAUCCCUGUGAAAAUCGUACUAAAUUAUUAUUGAUGGAUGCCUAUGAUAAAUCCAUGGUAUCACUUAAAUUUCUGGUUAAGCUUAAUUGUAUGUGUGAUUAUGGAUAGUAGGAAUUGAAUUUGGUGGGUGCACUAUACUGAUCUGCUUAAAUUAUGACUGUCUGGAAAGAGGUUUUCAUUCUCUGGCAUGGUUUCCAUGAAUGACAUGAACUGCCUACAUAUGAUUUGUCUCGUGGGUUAGGUUCCACAGAGGAAAAAAAAAAUACUACGUAUCCUUUUGGUUGCAUCAUUUGAAAUUGCUACAAUAAAUCUAUGAUGUCAGUAUUUUCUGCAAUUUAUGGGUAUCAGGAAUUGACCUAUACAAUCACGACUCUACCGCUACACUGUACUGUUUGUGUUAAAGUCAAGUUGUACUGUUCAUUCGUGUACAACCAGAAACAUAGCGCAUUCUCAGAAUUUUUAUUAUUUUUAAAACCUUUUUAAUUUCACAAAAUAAAUCAUCUUAAACUUAUUUCUGAAAUCUAAACUUUUUAGCCAUGCCCCGCAUGAUGUGGUAAAAUAAUAUAGCUAUGUCAACCAUGCUGGCAUGGCAAAAUAACACUGUUACGUUAGUCUAUGUCAGCAUUGUUUCGCCACAUAAAUUUGGCUGGUGUGGUUGAAAGGUUCAUAUUUGAAUAUAAAAAAUUUAAAAGUUUUAGAAAACUUAAAAAAGAUCGCAUUCUCAUCCUUGCAAAAGCCAAAGUUUGCGACUUUGCGUUCGUCUUACGACAAAGAAUACGGAAUUCCCUAGUACUUUCCACGAUUCCAUCCUCCAUCAAUUUUGUAGAGCAAGUAUCAUGUGCGCAUAUAUAAACAACCUGUCCCUGGAUUCUUUGCCUACAAUCAUAUCGUACUGACUCCUCUAGGGAAUUGAGCCCUCCCCCUACCCUAAAAUUAUUCAUGACCUACCCACACAAAAGAUGGCCGUCCCCAUCACCCGCGCGGAUGACGAUGGCCUUGUAAAGAGAAGAAAAAAAAAACGAAGCGAAGGUGAUAAGGCUCGUUCAUGGACGGCGACAGCUUGACCUAACUUCGCGCCGUGAUGCGCCCACAUGCUGGAGCCCUCCGCCGUCCACGUGUCCAGAUCACUAGCAACGUGGCACCAGGAUCACGCGCGAGGGUGCACUGGUUUACUAGUGGUUACUAGUGGCCCCGGCGGCCCAGCUGAGCCGAGAGAGAAGAAAACGAGUUCAAGUUUGCAGCUCGAAAUGAAAUCUCCUCGUGCCAAAGCUCAAGAUGGCGAUUGCGAAAUGUUACAUCGACACCGCAAAAUGUCCAGAUUCAGGCAUCGUUUGAUAUAUGCACAGUAAUGUCCGUAAUGUUUAAAAUGAUUCAACACAAAUUUGACGUGAAGCAGAUGAAAUUGAAAGGAAAUUAAACUGAUUUAUUACUUGUUCCAUUAAAACCAUCACACUCGGGUACGUGGUGAAACCGUGAAAGUUAAAAAACAAAAACAGUAGUAGUAGAGUGAGGCCCUGCUCGCUGUUACAUGAGAGGUGCACGAAGAACCAGCACACGAGCAGAGCAUCCAGCCCACACGCAGCAAGGAAACGGUAGGGAUGCCGCCGCCGCCGCCGGCCGAUCCGCCGCCCGGCGAUGAUGCGUCGUCGUCGUCGUUCAGGUGCACGCGGAGGCGGAGCGGCGUGCGGCGCGGCGCGGUCGAGAGGUGAUGAGUAGUUGACGCGGAGCAGAUAUAUAUGGAUGGAUGGCGUCGUCGUCGGUCGGACGACGGCGAGGUCGCGCGCAUCACGCGCGGGCGUAGCUGCGGGCGAGGUGGGCGGCGCGGAGGUCGGCGGCGUCGGCGCCGCCGGCGAAGUUGGAGGGCCGGUAGUGGCCCGUCACGGGGUCGGGCACCCACGACACCUCCCUCGCCGCCGACGACGACGACCCGUCCUUCGCCUGCGUCAUCCCCGCAGCGCCCUUCCCUUCCACCGCCGCCGCCGCCCGCCUCAUCGCCGACGACGCCGCCGACGCGGCGUAACCCCUCGUCGUCGUCACCCUCGCCGCGAGCGCCCGCGCCGCGGCGGCAGCGGCAGCAGCAGCAGAGGUGGAGAGAGCGAGAGCCAUCGGAUCACUCGAUCGGACGGCUGAUGGCGCUCCGCUCCUCUCCUUCUCUACUCUGCUUCGGUGCGACGCGACUUGGGCUUGUGAGCUCUGUGUGGGGAGGAGGGAGGCGGAGGCGGACGCGCAUUUAAAGAGGCGAGACCGGGGGGGAGGGGGCUCGAUUUUAUUAUUUUUUAUAAAAUAUUUUUUGGUGGGGUGCCACGUGGCGUGGGAAAGCACGUGACGGGUCGAGGGAAACGUCGCCGCGGGUUCGGGCUGUCGGCGACGCGACGCGCCGCGGAGACGGUGGACGGGUCGAGUCGUGGUCUGGCUAUGCAGCGGUUUGCGGGUCGGUGGACGUGGUCCACCACGCCAACGUGAGUAAACCGAUGAUGAUGAGCGUCUCUGGUUUGUCUUUGUCCACUGUGAGGAAGUGAGGGCAUCACAUUGUGAUCCAUAGGUAAAUUAUAAUAUUUUAUUCACGUUGUGUAAUUAGUUCCUAUAAAAAACAACCAAAGAUACCUAUAUACAUAUAUUGAAUAAAAAAAAUAGUAGUAUUAUCUAUGUCUACUUCUCUCUUCAGAUAAUAUUACUUCGUGUCUAUAUACAAUGUUGGGAUUGCUAUAGUUAAAAUCUAUUUACAUAGAUUCUGUCUAUAUUGAUCACAUUUGCCAUAUAAAUUGGUGAUGCCUUAUUAUUGGUGGCUUUUUAUAUAAGCUAACCGAUGAGUACAUUUACGUUUUUUAAGCUGCUAAACGAUACUCCCUUCAUCCCAAUAUAUAAGAGAUUUUAGAUGGAUGUGAUAUAUCCUAGUACCAUAUUCAGAUUCGUAUUACUAGUGUGUUUUACAUCCACCUAAAAUCUCUUAUAUUGUUGGACGGAAAGAAUAUAUUGCAACGUGAAAAUUUUCUGUGUAGAAGUUCUUUUAAAAUAUCAAAUAGUUUUAUUUAAGUUUGUAAUAAUUAAAAUUAGAUUAAUCAUGUGUUAAUGAUUUUUUUUCAUCGCUUUAUCUUCCCUAGAAAAACGAAGACCACGUAGCAUUUCUCUUUAUUCUCUCCAUUUCAAAUUACUUGUUUAAAAUACUAGUUAUUAUUAUAAUUUUAAAUUUCUAAGCACUUUUUACUAAAAUGUUUCCUGUUUGCUCCUCAUAAAUGCAUUAACACCUGUGACCGUAAUGUACAGGGGUUGUUUCUUUUGUUGCUUGAUUUAGAUCGGCGCAAAGUUUGGCUUUUGGUUGAAAUUAGAUAUAAUGUGACUGAAAAGUUAGGUGUGUAUGAUAGGUUGAUGUGAUAGAAAAUGACUGAAGUUUGGAUCCAAACUUUGGAUCUAAACACAGCCUUGCUAUAUCUCUGUGUUGUAUCUAAAAGUUGAUCGAAUGGUAGUACGCAGGAGUAACUAAAUUGAAACGGAGGGAGUUUAUGGUGGUGAGUCGCGUUUGCGUUGAAGGGGGGAAGUUGAGUUGGUGCUCUUGUUCGGUUUUGAUAGGUGAUGGGGGUGUUUAAUUAGUCUAUGUAAGGUAGAGAUUGAGUUGACUUGCGGCAUGAAUAAAAAUUCAAUCUUAUCUCCCUUGUUGUUUGCGUAUUUUAGCCGAAACAGCUCCUUCACGAUAACAUUAACUAUACUUCAGAUGAAUACAAUUUGGCCACCCCAUAACACUUAAAUAUCGAAAAUUAUCAACACUAAAUGAGCACUUUUUAUUAUGCAUUGUGACCAUCACCACCGCCCGCGUAAAAUAACCAGGAGAAAGGGCUUGUUUGUUUCGUUGCUAGAAUCAGCCUUAUCAAUUUUUUUUUAUAUAUAGAUGAAUGUGCAUUUAGUUUAAUAUCCUUUUAAACUUUACUAGUAGUGUCUUUAUGAGAGAAUCUAUGGAACCACUAAAUUUUGAUAACGCAUCAUUGGCAAACCUUACCUAAAAUAGGUGGGUUAAAAAGUGACAAUAAAAUGGACAUGUGGAUGUGGUAGGGUUAAAAGUGGUAAUAAUGUGAACAUAUCCAAAGUAGCAAUAAUGUUAUGAUAAUGGAAGUUCAACCAGUGACUGGGCAAGCUCCCGGCAGGUCGGGCAGCCACUCGGGCUCCAUUAUCGCCAUCUCCAUUGCUGAAUGCCAUCAAUGUUUGUAAAAAUCGGUCAAUCGCGGUAAAAAGUAUUAGUCACUUAUAGCUCGGUAACGCCAUCUCUUUCUCAACCAUCUCCAUCAUCUCAGCAAGACAGAAGUUGAUUUGCAGCAUUCAAGUGCUCCAUCGUUGAAGGUUGGCUACUCUUCGGAUUCACCCUUCCUAUUGUUCUCUAACAGAAGAAACCAUGCUGGAUUUAUCAUUCGGGUUGAGCUCGGACCACCUGCACAAUUUCGGUUGACAGGGUUGAUGUUAGAGCUCCUCAGAUUCAAUGAUGAGCCUCGUGGGGAUCCUUCGCUAAGUCCGGUGACGCACACACCAAAAUCUACAGCUCAACAACAAACCUCAGUCUUGUGCCGUUUCCGUGGAGGCAGCCGAUGGGGAUCAACGGUUUGUCAAGCGGAGUGCACAUCUUUUGAGGCCCAGGGUAGCGGUCGUCGCGGCUUCGUCGCAGAUCCCUGCCGACUUGCUCAUUUUUCUAAUGUUAGGUUAUUUCAGGAAGAUUGUUUCCGUAGUUCAGUUAACCCUCCCUUCUCAGGGGUGGCUCUUUUGCUUUCAGUUUUUAUCCUUGGUUAUGUAUUGGGGUUUAUCCUCUAAUUCUGCUCUUGCUUAAUAAAGUUGAUGUGUUUUUUUAAAAAAAAAAACCUCAACCUGUGCAGCUGGCCAUGUUAAGAUUAAGGCUGUGUUUUUUUUUCAAGUUUUCAACUCAUUUCCUCUUUUUCGCACGUCCAUUGCUGAGUGCCAUCGAUGUUUAAAUCGGUCAAUCGCGGUAAAAAGUAUUAGUCACUCAGGCUCGGUAAUGCCGCUAGCUUCGUCACUGAGUCCAACCUCAACCUGUGCAGCUGGCCAUAUUAAGGGCAAGUACAACGGGUCGGCGAGACCUAUAGGUGUCCAAACGGGCGGCACGGCCCGGCCCGGCACGGGCACGGUUCCGGCACGGGCACGGUUCCGGCACGGCCCGUUAGGCACGGCUGAUGAAACGGGCCGUGCCGUGCCGGCCCACGUGCCGAGCCGCCGGCCCAAGCACGGCCCGUGGAUGGCCGGGCCGUGCCCGUGCCGGCACGGCACGCCCGCGGCCCACGGGCCGUUCGGGGCACGGCGGCCCGUGAAGGCAGGCCGCCAGCCCGCCAGCCUGCAGUGCACAGUGUUUUUUUUUAAAAAAAAAAGCAAAGGAAAUGUAUAAGGAAAAAAAAAUUAAAAAUGGAAAUAAAAUGUUUAAAAAAAAGUAAUGAUUUACUAAUGUUAAAAAAUGAAAAAAUGGUAUUUAAAAAAUGGAAAUAAAAGUUUUUUAAAAAAGUAAUGAUUUGCUAAUGUUAAAAAAAAGAAAAAAUGGUAUUUUUUUGUUGUGUUGAAAAAUUUAAAAAUAUAGAUUGUGAUUCAUUAUUUUGAAAUAAUUUAAAGAUAAAUCCACACUUGCGAAAAUAUUGCAAAAGAAUUUGUUAAAAAUAGUAAUGACCUUUAUUGAUGUUUAUAUCAUUACAGGAUACAAUGAUACAUGCUGCCUCGUUAAAAACUUUGUCAUGUAAAAACUCAUAGGGGAAAAUGAGAAAACCAUGACAAAGAAAAGAGUACAGCUCAAAGGUCAGAACUACUUCUAACAAAAUUCUACUGGGGUUGGUCUGGAUCCAGGUAGAGUUGCUCGAACUGGGCGGCCAAUUCUUGGUUGUCCGCAGUGUAUUGGGCAUGUUGUCGAGCAAGCUCCCAGUCUUUAACGCUUAGUAGCAUUUCGACGUGGUCGCUGCGCAGAGUCGUCCUCCGGUCUUCGAUGAUUCGGCCGCAUAGACUGAAGGCCGAUUCGGAGGACACCGUCGACACGGGCACCGUCAACACAUCCCGUGCUAGUUUUGAAAGCACAGGAUAUGUUAUCUUGUGGUCAUUCCACCACCCGAGGACGUUGAAAUCUUGUGCUUCGUGGUGGAUGGCGUCGCUGUCCAAAUAACCGGACAACUCUUCGGCCACAACAUGCGAAGAGGCGUCUCCACUUGUAGCCGACGAACUGCCACCACCUUGGAUUGAACUUGAAGACGAUCCACCCCAAAUCCUACCCCACUGUAUCUUCUUCUUACCUGUAGUGGGGAUAGGAGGGGGUCUCUGCUGGCGAACUUCCUGAAACUUUACUUCAUAUCUUCCAAAAACCUCAUAUAAUUUACGUCUAACCUCAGUAUAAAAAGAACUAUAAUCUACACCUAUAGUAUCUCCAACAAGUGAUAAAAUAGCAGACAAUCCCCUUAAUUUACACCUAGGAUCUAAAACAAAAGCAAGAGCAUACAACAUAGGUAUAUUUUUCCAAUAUUUCAAAUAUUUUUGUUUCAUGUGAAAGACAGGUUCAGUUAGAACGUCAUCAUUUUCGUAUUCUUUAAAUAAAGUAGCAAUUUCAAGAAGGUUGUGCAAAAUUAUAUUAGCAGUUGGAUAAUAAACUUGUGACAAAGUUAGAGUACAAUCAUAAAAAGUUUCUAGAAAUUGGUAAAAUUUUUGGACAAUUGCCCAAACAUGCUCGUUCAGUACUGAAGACCCGUCACUGUUUCUUGGGCCACCACGUGACUGAACAAAAUCAGAAAGUAAACUACUAUAAGGUAAAACAACUUUUAACAUUAAAUACGUUGCAUUCCACCGAUGCUCUGCAUCGGUGGCAAACUUACGAGCUUUCACACCGGCCGCAUUGCAAAACCUCUUCCAUGCAGCAAUCCGCGGGUUAGAAGCAGUUAACCACGCGAUUGCUUGACGAACAGCAUCGAUGUGGUCACCUACCCUCUUCAUGCCAGUCUUAACAAUCAAAUUAAUUAUAUGACAUGCACAACGCUGAUGGAGUAGAAAAGAUUGAGCAUACACACAAAAUAAAGGUUGCAAUAUUUCAAUAGCCCUAGAAUUAGCAGAUGCAUUAUCUAGGGUGACAGCAAAUAUUUUAUCAGCAAGAUUAAAUUCAUUAAUUACUUCCCUAAUUCUUUCAGCUAUGUUUUCUCCUGUAUGUGAGACAUCUAUUAACCUAAGCCCUAAAACUCUCUUUUGUAAUUGCCAAUCAUCAUCAACAAAAUGAACAACUACGCUAAGAUAAUCCUCUCUAGCUCUACUACUCCAUAUAUCUGAAGUAACACUAACAGAGAAAGUACAUGUACUAAACAGUUCCUUAAGUGCAGUUGCUUCCUUGUGAUAAACAUUCUCUAAAUCUCUAGUUGAUGUUUGCCUACUCACAGCUUUAAACCUAGGGUUAUGAGAUUGCUGAAUGUAAUGUUCAAAAGCAAGGGACUCCCCAAAGUUCAGGGGUAAAUCUUGCCUGGCGAUUAACCGGACAAGAGAUUCCCGAGCAACCAUGGGAUCGUACUCCCAACUGUGUACCGUACCGUCUGGGUUUACCAUAAGUUGCUGCUGCCGGAGUUGUAUUCCUUGCUUCUUGGCACACGACUCCGCAUGGCGCUUGAGGUGACCUGUACCACCAGAAGAACGAGCAGAUAAAAUUUGCCUACAUAUUCUACAACGGGCUUUCGAUACCUCCCUUCCGUCGGGGCAUGUUUCCUUUAUCUCGUCGAAGCUUUGCCACACACCGGAGGUUCUCGAUCUCUUCGAGCCGGUGUGUGUCGAAACACUUCCGCUCGCGGUUCCGGAAAAUCCUUCCGAAGCUGUCUCCGCCUGAACCGGUACCUCCUCAACGACAGCCGUAUGAACCGGUACCUCCUCCACAGAUGGUGGAGUUGGAGCCGAUCCGGAGGUACCGUCAAACCCCGACAUGUAGUUGGGGUCGAAAUCACCCAAGGUGAACGACGGCGACUGGUAUGGAAAGUUCGGAUCCAUUCUGAAAAUUUAAACCGACAUAAACAAAUUUUCGAAUAUUUAUUGAAUUCACAAACACAAUACAAAUAAUACACAAAUUUAAAUAUUACUUACAUCUUUCCAACUGCGAGCUCUUCAAACCUCUGCGAUCAAACUGUUGAACUACGAAACUAAUUUUGAUUUUUGACAAAAUUUGAGCAAAUUUUGUCAAAAUCAAAAAAAAUGCACACUUGAGAACAAAGAGAGCACUUAAAACACUUGAGAGCACAAGAUGAGGAGUGUGGGAUGAGGAGAAAUGGCUGGGGUUCAUGCCCUAUUUAUAGGGCGAAAUUUGAGAUUUUUUGGAAUUUUUUCGAAAUUUUUAUGAAUUUUUUAGCCUCCCAACGGUUAUUUUCAAAUUUGAACGGUCAAAUAGCCGUUAGUGCCACGUGGCGCCUUCCCAUUCGACCGCCGCCCGCCCUGUCCGCGCCUGACGGGCCGCCGGCGUGCCGUGCCGUUGCGUGCCGCGGGCCGUGCCGUGCCGGCCCGCUACAGUAGCCGUGCCGUGCCGUGCCGGCCCGCGGGCUCGGCCAGCGGCCCAAGCACGGCACGGCUACUCGUGCCGUGCCGGCACGGCCCGUUACUGUAGCAGGCCGUGCCGGGCCGUGCCUGCUACAGGUUCGGCCGUGCCCCGGGCCGCCCGUUUGGCCCGGCCCAUUUGGCCACCUCUAGCGAGACCCGUCGACAUGCACUGCUUUUUUGCAAAAAACACCCCCCACGGUGCUAGCUUCGACCCAUCCGUCGUCUCGUUCGUCGACGAUGCCAGCGCGUGCUCCCAGGCGACGCGACGGCGAUGAAGCCCGUUGUACGACGCGAUGCGGGGAGGCGACGGAAGUGCGGGAUCAGCUGCGUGGGAUCAGCUCUCUCGCGCGCGGAAUAUUUAAAUGUACUAUGCAUUGUCUUAUGUAUGCAACAAAAUAACUACAAAGAUCAAUUAUACACUAGAUCAUCAUGAUUUGUGUGUCAAAGGAUGAAUUAAACACUCUACGGACAGCCAAACCAACAACCCAUUAUAUAAGCCGUCUGUUUAAGCUGUCUAUCUGUGUAAAAAGACAGCAAGCUGUCUACACGGUUGUACUUGCCCUAAGGCUGUGUUUUUCUUUUCCAAGUUCUCAACUCAUUUACUCGUUUUUCGUACGUACUUUUUCCAAACUGCUAAACGCUGUGUUUUUUUUUAAAAAAAGAAUUUUUGCGGAAAGUGCUUUAAAAAAUCAUAUUAAUUUAUCCUUUUAAAAAAUAACUCUUAAUUAGUUAAGUGCUAAUAAGUCGUUCUAUUUUAUGUGUGAGAGAUUAUUUUCCAACCGCAUGGAUUGAGAACAUAGCCUAAAGGAAUGUAGCAGACUAGCAGCAGUGGAAGUAAGAUCAGGUACAAUAACAGGCUAUAAGCCAACUAUAAACAUAAUUUAAAGAUAUAAAGGAAGAGAAAUAAGAUCAGCGGGCUACAGAUCUGUAGCCAGCUGCAGCACGGACUCCAAAGCGUACUAUGUGUAUGACAGGUAGGACCAGGUAUUAAUAGGAUAGUAAGCAACUAUUAUAUGAAUUGGCUAUUAUAUUGGUUAUAGAUGAUUUGGAGUUAGUAGUUGGCUACGCUAUUAAACUUGCUCUAAGGCCAUCUGAAGAUUAAGGAAUGUAGCAGCAGCGGAAGUAAAGGCCGUGGAUGUUAGGAAUGUAGCAGGCUAGCAGCACAGCGUUCCGCAGGAAAAUCCACGGCGCUAAUUGGUGACGCGCCGAGGGAAUGGAAAUCACGGCGGACGGCGAUCGAAUCGAAUCGAAUCGACGCGACGCGGGCGUUUUUGUCGGGUCGCCAUCGACGGGAGGACAGGACACAGCCGCGGGCCCGCGCCGGCGAAGACGCUGCUGCAUCUGCAUCUGGACAGGCCGCAACCGGCCGCCCCCUCGCCCGCCGACGGCCAUCGGAAAAAGGAAAAUGCUGAAGCGAAUCAAGUAGGGCCGCCGCGCGGCGCGUCUAGUGCAGGAAAUCGGGACGACGACGUGCGUGCGAUGCGACCGCGAUACCUCGCUUGGUUGUUGUUUUCGGCCAUUCAAAAACCUUUUACAGAAGAUGGGAGAAGAUGCCAAGCAGCGACGCAUGCCAAACUAAACGUGGCCAUGAAUUGUACUAAUACUAUUUCUCAUGUAUUUGCUUGCAACAUCGUCCAACUAAACGUGCCCAUUGGUUAUAAUGCUUCUUCUAUUCGCUCGCAACAUCAUUGGAAUAAUAAUUCAUUCCAAUCAUGUCCAUGCGGAAAACCAGCAAACGUGUCCUUGCCAACUAAAUGUUCACGCUCUCCGCCGCAGCAGCAACAACAACAAAAACGUUCAACCAGAAGCAGGCUCAGCUUUGCUUCUCAGAUGAGAACAUCACCAUCUUGUGCCAAUGGUUCAGUGACCGCUUCCUACCAAUGCACAUCAUCACAUGAAUUCGAACAUAUCAGAAUUAAGAUACAAAAGUCUCCGGUAUCAACAUCCAUAACACUAUUUGAUGAUAACAUUGAAAUUGAAUCGCAAGCUCCUUCGUAACACUAAAUGAUGAGUUGCUCCUACAUAUCUUUCAUGAUCCGUGCUCACUAAAUUGUAAGUACAACUUUGCCAAUAAUUACGAAAACUCUUUCAAGGGAGCAUAUGAGUAAAGUUACCGAUGAUAAAAUAACUUUUUUUUGUCCCAGUAGUCAAUAGUACAAAAUCCUUUAUUCACCAGGAACAUCUCCACAUAGGCCAUCUAGCCCUCAAUACCGAAAUGAAAAUUUCCUGUCUGAUCCGACAUCUUUCAGAUUUUGCCUGAGAUUCAGAGGAACAAGCUUGCAGAAAUUUUAAUAAAAGAUUCUACUGUUUUAGAGACUACAACAGCUUGACUCCAGCUUCUCUAACAGAGUCAAUGACAGCCCUGACCUUCCCAUGGUACUUCUGCUCUCUCUUCAUGUGGAUGCACACAGCGGGUAUGCCCUUCUGCAGCAGCCGCUCGCCGAGCAGCUUACCGAUCUUGGCAGCGGCAGCGACAUCGCGAGUGGACUCCAUGUUCGGCCUCAGCAGCUUCUCCUGCGAGCUCGCGGAACAGGCGACCGUCGCCGUUGGGGUGUGAACCACCUGAGCGGAUACAUACUUGUUCGAGAAAUGCAUCCUCAGAAGGUAGGGCUUCAGAAAGCGCGUGAUCCUAGCCGCCCUUUCCGGUGGAGGGAUCACCAUAGUUGCUAGGAUCUCUCUCUGCAGCAAAAUAACAAGCGAGACAGGGGACAAUUUCAGUUGGCGAAAAAUGCAUACAGGUAUUCACAUUAAGACAACACAAGUGAAUAAUGGUUUACCACUGAUUUGUAAACAAUUUGAAUUGUAAGCUGAAAUUCAAAACCAGGAGACAAACAAACAGUACAUAUGAAAAGGAACAGUGUUUAGUCCGGCCAUGCUGAUCGACGAUAAACAGUUAAGUAUUCCAAAAAGGUUCUACUUCAAUCAGCACUGCAAUUGCAUAUUUGAAUGGCCAUAUAGCAUCAGCAGCAGCAGCAGCAACUUAUGCUUACUAAAGCUCACAAAAAAAUGCAUCAAUUCCACCAUGGCGUUAUUAUCCAAGAUUAUUACAACAAAUUCAGGCCUGAACCAGCGCAUCAAAAACAGAUUCGGGCAUGUCCACCAGACGCAGGUGAAAGCUCACCUCGAGACUCAGAGGCUAACUUAACGUGCGGGCAUGGCCAUGGCGGAUCAGCCAAACUAAUCCCCCACCCGAAAAGAACCUCCUUGGAAACAAACAGCUAAUAGUAGUAGUUGGGUUAGGCAAAGAUUUAGCUUUUCCAGAUAUAGAAGAGAAGCUAGGGAUGGCAACACGUUCCCGCCCCUGCGAAAUGCAACGGGGCAUAGUUUUCUCCCAUCGCCCCCCAUGGAUUCUCCAUCCCCGCUGUCAGGAACAACAAACUCAAUAGGUACAUUUCACAUCUCAAAUAAUAACAAUAUUCAGUCAAGAGAUAUUAUUGCCAUCCAAAAGAAAAAAAAAACAAAAACUGCUAGUAUUUUCAGCCGGAGCAUGACCAUCAGUCCAAAAUCAACAAUACUAAUAAUCAACAUGAAGUAAGUUCACAUCUCACAUCUAGAUGAGUAAGUUCACAUCUCACAUGCAAGCAAGCAGCGGGAUCAAAUCUAGACAGGCGUACACACACGGUAGGAGCGACCAGCCGACGACGGAGAGGGGGGCGAGCAUGCGAGGAGAAAGGGAGCGAGGCGAGGCGAUGCCUGACGACUGCCGCCCGCGCCGCCCUGCUCGCCGCGUCGGCCCCUCCCUCGGCCGCUCGGCGGGUUAACGCGAGGAGAAAAAGGGGUAUGGGAGGAGAGGCAUGAGGAGGAGUAUGUGCGUACGUGCGUGUGCCCACCGGCGGCUGGGUGUGGGGAGCAGGACGACGCCGGCGCCGCUUGCCCGCCGGGGUGGGUGGGGAUCGGCGCUGCUCGGCGGCGGCGGCGGCGGCGCGAGGAGACGGGAGGGGAGUCGGAGGCCGAAGGGAUACACGGGGGAGAUCGAGAUCGACUAAUGCUGGGCUGUUUGAGGUCCAGCGAUAUGGGCUUUUUCUAUGGCCGGCCUGGGCCUGGCUGAAAAACAAUGGUGAAGAAAGCCCUUCAUCUUUUGAUCUAUCUAUAUGAGGGAAUAAGUUUACAUAAAGUCCUCACUUACCUCUCCCGAUUGAAUAAACUGAGCCCCAUCGUUUGGCCUAAACAGUCAAAGAAUAAGGAGUAAAUUCCUUGUGUGCCCCUGAAAAGUUACCCAAUCCCUUACAUGCCCCUGAAACUUACUCGAUUCCUUCUAUACCCCUGAAUUUUCGAUUGGAUCCCCUACAUACCCCUACCGUUUGGGUUCCGUCAGAUGUUUGUGUUCAUGUGUGUGUUAGCUUGUCAGUAUUUUCAUAAAAUGCGAAAAUGCCCCUGUCAACCCUAGGUAACACAGGGCCACAUCCGAUCCCCAAAUCCUCCAAAAUAGUUCCCACACGCACGGUGCCGCACAUCGCCAGCUUUCAGCCAUCGUUGCACGCGCAUCGCCGCCCUUCUCCCACAUCCCGGCGGCGGCAGCGGCUCUGCAUCCCGCCGCGGUCUCGGCUCUGCUUGCGGUCGGCGGCGGCGGCUGGGUCCGCAUCCCAUCGGUGGCGUGGCGGGGUCCGUAUCUGGUGGGCGGCGGCGGCUUUGCAUCCUGCCGCGGCGACGAGUCCGCAUCCCGCCGCGGCCUCGACUCUGCUUGCGGUCAUGGCGACGCCGUCUCCUCCCUGCCUCCUCCGCGCCCUCCCUCUUGUCACCUCACCCUCUUCUCGGGGGCUCCGACGCCGGCCUAUUACCUCCUUGCUCCGCUGCUCCUCGCCGUCGGUAAGAUACACCCUUGCGUUGAUUAGCAAAAUGCGAAUAGCUGCUGCUGCUAGUGUUUCUUCAUUAAUUUGUUUGACUUUAUGCAGGCAGAUGCCUUGAACUGUUAUGGGCUUGUGCCAUUAUGCUCAUGAUGUAAAAAGUAAUAUAUUUGUGUACUGCUGAUGGUGUAUGAAUGCUUUUAGAUGUAUUUUCAUUUUCUUCCUAUUAAAUGGUGCUACCGAUGCUCUUGAUAUGCUGAUGAAUUGCAAUGGUGUUUGAGUAAACGGGUAGGGGUACUGUCUUUUACCCCCAGGCUGUAUCGGUUAGUGGUCAUGAAAGAUCCAAUGUCAUGUUAUAUUUUUUUAUAAAAUACUGAAUGCUAUAACAAAAGAAAAUGAAAUUAAUUUUAUGCACUAUUUUUUUAGUCUCACGGAAUACAUACUGUGCAGUCAUGAAUGUUUCAAACCCAGCUGCCAAACAUGUUCUUAGUUUUCAGCUCCUCCAACCUCAAGGGUAUUAUAGACAUUUUCAACCAAACUAACCAGGGAAUGCUGCUAAAUCUAACGGUAGGGGUAUGUAGGGGAUCCAAUCAAAAAUUCAAGGGUAUAGAAGGAAUCGAGUAAGUUUCAGGGGCAUGUAAGAGAUUGAAUAACUUUUCAGGGGCACUCAAGGAAUUUACUCAAGAAUAAGCCAAAAUUUGAAUUUUUGAACUUGAUUUUGAAGUGAUUUUGAAAUGCUUUUAACGUAAUUUUUGUUAAUGUUGGCUUUUAAGUCGCUACGAACAAAUCUAUAAAAGUUUUACUUAUAAAUUAAUUUUAAUUUUCUAAUAAGCCAAAUAAGCCAUUUUGGCCAAAUGGGCAACCGAUGGGAGCCUGAGUAUAACAUAUUUUCCCUUUUUUUGAAAAGAGGAGCAAAUUGACUGGUUUCGAAAGCUGUUUAUGAUGACGUGCCAAGUUUAACAUGGUUGAUUUGUUGAGUCAACAGGUUGGACCCACGUAUGAGUCACCUCUCUUCCCGUCUUUCCAUCCCUCCCGGUGAUAUCCAGGAUGGCCACCGGGGGAAGAGGAGCAGGCAUGGAAGCAUCAGCCACAGUUUCAAUGGCCACCACCAUAGCCUGAUGCUACAACUCGCCCGACUAUUCGCCAUCACUGCGCGUCCUCUGCACCACAUAAAACUAGGGGUGCUAGUGGGCAAGGUUACCCACUUAUUUGUACUAUAGGUGGUUUCGUGUACCUGCCCGUUUUUACCCCUACAUACAAUAUAAACACGCUGGACCCGGCGGCGCACCCCGGAGUUGGUGUUCGUCGCCUUGCCGUCCUACACCAUCGAAGUGUCCGGGUGCGCCCCCGACGCGCUCGCGGAGUCGGAGCCAGCAGCGUUGGUCGGCGGCAUGCAUGGUCAUCCUCAGUGCGCACAAGGCUGAGCUUUGCCUCGGCCUGGGGUUGGAAAUUUCGGACCGAAAUUUCCGAAAUUUCGGAAAUUCCGGUCAUUUCGGUCACCUCCGAUACGAUAUUAUUUUGGCCGAAAAUUUUCAUUUUUUUCAUGAAUUUGGAUAAUAUUUGUUCAAAUUCAACUAAAGUUUACUCAAAAUUUCGGAUAUUUCAGACCGAAAUUUUAGAAUUUCGGUGACCCCCUAUACAAACGCCUCUACCGAUAGAGUAAACCCUGGCUGCACGUACGAUAUGGCUCAGCGAUACAGAUGCCACCACUGUCCACUGUGAGUAUCAGGCGUACAUGUUCAACCCAGCCAAUUAAGUACGCUCCACUUCAUCAACGAGUAAAAUGGCCAACAAAAGUGUACUGGCUCUCUCAGUAGAAACCUAAACAAACUCCUCUGGCACAGUGGUCAACACGUUCGAUGCUCGCUAGCAGCAGCAACAGCCGCCGUCUGGCCCUUUCUCCGUCGCCCAUCGGUAAGAGCGAUGGAUGGAAAAAAAAAAGAAAAGAAAGGAAAAUAGAGAGGAAGGGGAGGGAAGUGGAUCCUACAGAUUUUUUUUUUUCGUUGAGAGGCUUACACGCGAGUCUUUGAUGUGUGGGUCCAGCUUGCUGAUUUAACGAAUCAAUUGUGAUUAACUUACCACGUCAGUAGAAACCGCUUUAAAAAUAACUGAAGGAGUUUAAUUUGCACUGGUUUUUAAAAAUGGGCGAGAAGUUAUACCCAGUUUUAUGGUUGAGAGAGGCGAUUCGAUCGGGAGCAGUAGCUAAGGGAAGCAAAAUUGACUUAUUUCAUCUAUGUGAAGCCAUAGAAAAAAUGAACAAAGUAACUAAAAAUAAUUUAAUUUAGAGCACAUUUCAUAGCAUACACAAAGUAACUAAAAAUAAUUUAAUUUCAUAGCAUACACAUUUCAUAGCAUAUAACCAACCCCAGAUAUUAUGUUUUUAAAGUUUUACAAAAUCUCACCCUUGAGUAUGAAUUUACUUAAAAUUUUAAAACAUAAAGCGUAUAUAGUUUCACUCUGCACUACUUUUAAAAAGUAUUGUUUCAAAUAUGCUGAAAUUAAUUGAGAUUUGAAUAAAGAUAGUUUUAUGUAUAAUAAAGUUAUAUAAUGAAGUCUGAUCGUAAUCAUUAGACUAAGUUGUGGGGCCCUGUCCGCACCUUCAGUAUCAUCAGACUGUCCUUCAAUUUUGUUUUAAUCCCUGGCUGACAUAUUAUCAGACGAAACUUUUCUCAUUAGAAUAUGACCAUGAGGUCAAUAAACCAAAUCCAUGAGGUCAAAGAAACAUAUCCACAUCAGUGCCACGUUUGAUGAUACAGUUGAGGAUGAAAAAAAGUUAAGUUACUGAUGUUACGGAAUGAUAAGGGAUUGCACAUUAACAUAACAAGCUUUCAGUUCAGGAAAUUUGGCAUCAAUUUAAGUUCGGAACCAACAUUUAAAACAGCAUCCCUUCAGUUAAAGUUCCCUAGUGAAUUCUAAUUCAGAUAGCACUCAAGUAAGCCUUACACUUCUGUAAAAGCUGAACUGACCAAAAAAUUACAGUUCGCAAAAUGGCUUGACCAAAGCUAUUCACAUGUGGAAAUAACCUAUAAUGGUCUAACUAGUUGCUGUAUAAAACUUUGCGCAGUUCUGAUGCGUAAUCACCAAACUGAAUGCCAGUAGGAGGAUGCAUGCUAAAGAUGUAAGCAACUGGUGCUGAUACUUGCAUCCCUCUCGGGUAAUUAGGGGUAUCCGAGAACCAUCCAAGAGUUGCUUCAUCAAACAUAAAUGAUUCACCCAGAAAUAAGAAGCACUCUCUUGCCAAUCUUUCGACCUAGAGAAACAAGCAGAAAAAGGAUUACAUCUGGAAAUUUACAGUUAAUUCACACUUGAAACCUACAGCAGCAAUUUGGACGCUUUCAUUCUCAAAUAUUAAACAGGGAUAUAUAUACCAGCCAAAAGAAGCAGUCUAACUUGAAACAUGUAUUACACAUUAAAUAGGAAGUUGUUUUUAGCUGAAUAGUGUGAGUGAAGGGAAUUUGAAUUUGUAAUAGAACUUGAGAAUUUACCUGUAACUGAACAAAUUUUGCGUUAUUCAUGAUCACGAUGACCUGCAAAUCUGACAUCUUUUCUGACAAGGUCUUGAUGGCAAUAUGCUGGAAAAACUUCUGCAAGACAACUUGCUCGCUAAUUGAUUCGUUGGAAUCAAUAUCAGCAAACCAAAAUACUCGACUCAAUUUUGUCCAUGGAACUGAUAGUUUAUGUUCACCUCCAAUGAAUAGAUAAGAGGGAUCAGCCAAAUUCUGUAGAAUCUUGAGGCCCUUAGUCACUGAAUCAGACUCGAAUGAAUGAGGACCAGGUGUACAGGCAAUAAUCUUAGUGGGGUCAUAAUAGUUACAAAGUUUACAAGCGAACUGUAAACUUUUAUCAUUCAUGACAAGAAUAUGCCCAUCACCAGCAGCAGGCAGCAACCUUUUACAACAUACUGAAGUAGCUCUGUUUUCCUGAGAGCAGAUUCCAGAUGUGAUAGAUGAAGAAACCAAAGAGCCAGAGUCAUGUGAAAAUGAACACGAGUUACCAUUUCGACAACCCUGAUCAAAAUAAACAACAUGUCAGAAAUAGAAAAGAGGAUAAAAAAUACCACACAAGCGCUUUAGGGUUCGAAAGUUAUAGCAACUCUUUUUGUUUCUAAAAGUCGACAUUUGUACCUGUAAUGUGAGGAAGAACUUGCAUAUUGGUCUUGGAGCACGAGAAGAAUGAGAAAAAUGGCAUGUAUCACCUCGAUUACAAGAUCCAUUAAGAAAGAACACACACAUCUCAUUUUCCAACGCUGGUUGAACAUAACCAUGAACUAGUUCUCUAUAAGUUACCCUGUCUGCCGCAGAUUGUGUCUUCAUCUGUGAAGAAAACAGGAACCAUUAUUGAUGGUUGCAUAUAUAAUGUAUUUCAUAUAUAUAAGAAUAAUCAUAUGCAUAAAACUUAUACCGCACCUCCUUGAUAAGUGUCUUCAGUGUUUUAACAACAGUAGUGGUUCCAAAAUCAGCUGGAGAAACAUAAGGGGUUGCAGCACACCUGCGAUGUGAAUCCAAGUGAGAAUUCUCAGCUUCUAAUGGAAGUGAAUUCACAUUCUCUAGUUCCAGCACUUCAUGGCGAAGACACAUGUGGUGGAAUUCGGAAGGCUGAAGGUACAUUGGAGGAUUUAUUUUCACAAGAAAACUAGGUCUAAAUCGGUGAAGUGUGCCCAUAAUAUCAUCAUCUGUUCAAAAGGAAGGGUUAGCAACACAUAUAUCAUAUUGGAAACACAAUAGGACACAUGCCUCAUACUAGGUAUGUUUCUUUACACAAAGCACAUUUAUACAUAACUGCAAGGUGCACCCUUUCUACUAUGUCUUGUACAUUUUCAAAAUCAUAUUGGAAAACCUUACAUGGAAAGUAAGAAAGGUAAUCAGCAUAUAUUUAAAAAAUGUGAACAUAUGUGCAACCAAAAUAUACAGCAGAUGAAGAGUGAGAUUACCUACUGCUACAAGAGUGCAAUUCACUUCAUAAAAUUUUUAUAAUGAGGUACAGGUAAAGGACGUACAAAUUUCAGAGAUGUAGUUAAGUGCUGUUGGCACAAGGUUAUGAAAUGCACACCACUCAUCUUCAGGUUUAGCAACAAAACCAUUAGAUGCCUUCGGUUCAUGAGUGUUCACCACAUUUAUCAGACAAUCCAGACGAUACUUGUCCUGCAACAUAUGAAGACAUCACUUUACUAAUGUAAUAAACAUUUCCAAAAGCAGAUAAACAAAAAUAAUUGCCCUGAGUCUUAUAUAAUAAUGUUUUCUGGAAAAGAGUCCCGCACCAAUUAAUAGAUAUUUACUGGAAAAGGAACUAAUAGAGAACUGUUUUAACUACUAAAAGAAGGAAUAUGAUGUUAAUACAUGGCAAUUGACAUGCGCCUGAAACAUAAAUGUUGAAUCAAUUAUUAACUGCAUAAGGCCUGUAAAUAUGCACAAGGAACAUGAUUAUUACAGAUAUGAUAUACCUUAAACAUACGCUGCCAGAAUUGAAAUGCACAAAGAUUUCCAACAAGUGCAGCUUCCUUCUUGCCAGUUUGCAGGUCGAUACCCUCCUCCUCAAAGUAAUUGUUUCUAUACAUUUUGCACUGUAAAACAAAACGUACAACAUAUAACUACUACAACAUGAUGAUGCAAGCAUUAGUCAUGAUGCAACAAAAACACAUACCAAUUGUUGGUGACCAAAAGGUUGGACGAUAGGCAGGGGUUGGAUGUCCAGCAUGAUGCUUAUCAGAAUUCCUUCACAGAUGGAGCCAGUAUCACCAAAUUUAAGGGCUAGAACAGAAGCGUCAAAUGAGAGUGGCAAACUAUUAAGCAAACAUCCAUAAAAGGUUGGCUCAUGGCGCCCUCUAGGAGAGGUUGGCUUAUCUAAAGCACGAAUUUGAACAAGAGAUUCCAAUGCAUCUUCAACAACAUCCGAAUCUGGCGGGUCAAGAACUUUUUGCAGCAGGACUGUCAGAAAUAAAUGCCUGAUAGUGAGAAUUUUAACUUAAUAUGAACAAAAAGGACCAAUUAUUAAUAAUUGCGAUAAAUAAUGCUCCCUCCAACCCAUAAGUUUCAUUUAAUAAAGAUGUAUAUUAUAAAAAUUCAAAUAGUCACUAAUUUACACUGAAGUAUUUUGAAUUAGUCACAUGGCCAUUGUGAUAGUAAAUUUAUCAAAAAUAUUAAAAGAUGCUUGCAUGGUAUUAUAUUUUUCUAUACUUUCAUAAAUAUAAUGCAAUUGAAUCGUAACAAAAUUGGCUUGAUUUUUAAGUGAAGUGAUCAAAUUUGUGUAUGGAAGGCCAUUGAAAGUUAAAAAGGAACAAUUAAGUACACCAAAUAUAAACAAUACAAUGUAAAGUUUUAAUAUGAUGAGAAAGUAAUAUGGAAUCCUGAAAAUUAAAUAAAAGGGAAAAUGUACAAAUACAGAAAGAAUAGUAAUUUCUAAUUACUAUAAAUUAACCUUGACAUGUUAUGCCAAAACACCAGAAACUACUUGCACUCAGUUUUUUAGAAUAAAAUAGUGCAACAGUGGCUAAGAUACUUAUGUACGGUUCACCAGAUUUGUGUUUGUAGAACAAAUAUACUAUCAUUUACAUGUGUCCAGAGUCCAGACUAAAUGCAAGAUAACCAAGUUUAGAUGCAAACCCUUAACUUCCUAGAACUGGCUGCAUAGACACUAGAACUAUUUUCACUGGAAAGUAUCGAAUGCAUGAUACAAACAAUUAUCAUUGAAAGAAAAAUAGUUAACCAACUGUACAGUGCUUAAUUAUACUACAGGACAUGAUUUUAUCAUAACUUAGUAUCCUGCAUUUACAAAAAGAUGCUGUUCUAAAAUGCAUGCAGGCAAACCUUCAUCUUAAAUCACUAAUAUAUGCAAAACAAAUAUAUAUUAAAUAUGUACAUGAUAUUAGUAGAUUUUUCAUGAAAAAUACUUCAUUUAGCUAUAGUAUCGAUAUUUUUUAUAAACACUCAAUUAGAAAAAAAAAGUAUUAAACUAAUGAUAAAAACAUGUGCUAAGACUAUCGAUAUCCUAGAUGACAAGUAAAAAAGAGUGGACAGAACCUUAGUAAAUAAAAGAAGGAAAAUCAAUUGUAGCUUCUCAAGAAUAUAAAUAAUGCUAAUGGUGCUCCAUCACAAAACAUUAAAAAACAUGGAGCAUAAAUUUAUGCAAAUGUAACAAAGGCUGAACUUGUCAGAAAAAAGACACGAAUGAAAUAUAUGCAUGAAAAGAAUUACCAUGAGGAUCGUUCAUAGCUCUGGACUCUGCACAACAAAUCAUGAGUACUUGCUCUCUUAAGGACAAUCUUAAAAUGGCAGGAUACUCAUGAUCAGUUAAACUGUUAUAAAAUGGCCCAGUUACCAAGCGAUAAAUUUGACCAUCACAGGUUCGCCCUGUCCUGCCUUUCCGCUGUUCAGCCUAGAAAUAAUUACAAAAAAAUUGUAACGUACAAUCUUUAGGGUCAAACUUUAGUUGCAAACGAAAAACAUCAGUAUAUUUGUGAGAUAUACCUGAGAUUUGGAAACCCAUACAAGCUCAGCUGAGUCUGUUUUCCUGAUUGGAUCCCAAUAAACUUGCAGUGAUCUACAGGAGUCAAUAACAUAAGCAACUCCUGGAAUAGUGACUGAUGAUUCUGCAAUGUUUGUUGCCAGUAUAACCUGCAACAAAGAUACAAACAAGAAGAUUAUAGUUCAAUCGCAUUUGAGUGAGUUCAAUCGAAACCAAUUAGACAGAGGAGAAUAUUCAAUCAUGUAAAUUUUGAACAUUACAGGCCAAAUCAAUGUUACAUUAUUUUUAAGUGCAAAUUAUAUGAUUAUCAGGGUCACUUGGUACUCCUGGUCUCUGGAUCUGUUGCUGUGGGAGGAUGCAGUGGACAGAGCCCCUGUAGCCGGGGACUGAAUCCUGUGUUCUAAAGCUAGUGCUAGUGGAAAACAAUGUUGGAAAGGAAAAUAAAUCAGAACUUGCUUUUUGCAGAUGAUGGCAAAGUGGCAAACCUCAUUAAUAUAUUCAGAACACAACUUUAAAGGUAAUUAAAAACAUGCAAUGGGUUUUAAAUAAAUUUGCAAUUUAUGCUGAAGAGUAUUGCAGGCUUGCAGCUAUGUACCUGCAAGUAGAAAACAAGGAUAGUGAUAACAGGACAGCAAUAAUUCUAUGCACUGUCUAUAUAAUGUCUAUCAUUGUGUCUGUUCAUAGGAGAAAAUCUUAACAGUUCAGAAACAUUUAACUAAAACACAAAGCUGAAUUUCAAUGCAGAAAAUUGUACCUUACGACAGGACUUUGAGACCUUCAUAGUUUGAAGAGCUUCAUCGGUGUCAAUGCUGCGAUGGAGAAUGUGUACUUUGAACAUUGAACUAGCAGAUAGCAGACGAAUCCAUUGCUGCUCCAAAGCAUAGUAUGUAGGAAGGAACACCAAAAUACUCUUCCCAAUGUCUGGCUCAUUUUGGUGUAUAUGCAACAAUAACCUAUGAAUAAGUUCAUACACAUCUGGUUUUAGACCAGCAUCAGCUGCAGUGUUGGGUCCAGAGCAGUAUUUUGUUGAUAGUGAUUCCGAGUCCAUCUUGAGAAUAUCAACAAUCUGUCCAGCAUUUCAUAGCAUUACGUACUAAACAUGUGAGCGAUAAGCUAUACAGUAGAUUACAUUAAAAUAGAAAACAACUAGCAGCGACAGGUAAAGGAACAUACUUCUAAUGAUGACGAUAAUAGUAAAACUCAUGUUGUUUCGGCCUUGCAAACCGUGCGAGAAGCUGUCAUUUCGAGUCUACAUCGCCUGAUCUCCACUUCCUUUGUCCGUUUUAGUAUCCAGUUAGUGAACGUAAGUUCCCGUGCAUUUUGUUUAAGAAAAGUAGAGUUGUUUAAAGGCCCUUAUUUAGCAAGCUUAGCAUAGCCCCUUUAUGUCUGUACCUUCAACUCGAAAACCAAAGGAGUGCCUUCGAGAGAGAGCUCUAACACCACUCGGCAUUUUUAGAGACAUGCUCUUUUUUGAAGAAAGUACUUUUUUGAAAGAAAGGAAUAAAAUAAAUAUACUCGAUUUCAGAAAUAUCAAUAAGUUGGCCUAAACUAGGAACAGACAGUAGUACUGUUAAAAGUUCAAAAUCAUAAUUUUAAGUUGCUGUAUUUAAGAAAUACAGCUUAAAAAGUAGAUUAUUAUGAUAGGUCAAUGAUAGAAUAGUAAAAUCCAUGCUACAAAACCGAGCCUGUAGAAAAUACAGGAAUAAACUGCUGUAUGUGUGGUAAAUUGUUAAUUACAUACCAUGGAGGAAAAAUAAGGUACAAUAUGCAACUUAAACUAGAAAUUAAUUUGUUUUCUUAUUGAAGUUUAAUGGUAAUUGAGAACAAUAAACAUGGAUAGCUGACUUUCUAAAGUCAGAUGUAACAUUUACCUGCUCAAGGUAUAGGACUUUUCUCUGAAAAAUGCUACUGCGUGGACUGCUAGGAAUGGCAAUCACCUCAACCCUUUCACCCCUUCCAAGAUCUCUGAAGUAAUCCUUAUAUCUUGUGAUAUCAGCAGUCGCAGACAUCAAAAUCAACCUAUGUCAAGAGAGGAAUGACACACGUCUUAUCAAUCAGCAGGAAGAAAGUAAGGCAGUCAGUUUUUAAGGUGGAUUGGAAUCAUCACUACUAAAAGAUGGUUUAAUGGAAAGCAUUAAAGCAGGUCACUGCAGCAAUUACCUCAAGUCAUUCUUUUUCAUCAUAAACUGCUUGACACAGGCGAGGACAAGGUCAGAUUCCACUGACCUUUCAUGUAUUUCAUCGAGAAUAAUAACCUUAUAGUUCAAUGCAGCAAUGCCCUUGUCACGCAUUUGCUCCAAUACAACACCAGCUGUUUUGAAAACAAUUCUUGACCUGAUUCGUGCGUCGAACAGGUUUGAAAGUUAGAAGUCAAUCGACAAGUGGGUAAGGACAUAUGAUACAAGUAUGCAACUGAGGUGGAUAAGAUACUAGAGAGAAUGUGUAGCACUGUUUUAUAUGAUAUAUCCAGAUUUCAAUCGCACUAGCAAUGUGGAUAUAAAUGGGCCUGCAUGUUAUGUCGUUCUAUGACAUGGACUGGCCAGCCAGGAUAAAGCAAAUUUGCUUGAAUGCCCUUCUCUAUAUACUAAAAUUCUCACAAAAAAAAAGUUAUAUACUACAAGAACUUAAUCUUUCAAUAUGCUCAAUAUCCUUUGCUACAAAAGGUAUCAUGCAUAAUAAUUUUAAUUGAGAUCAGCAGAAUUUGUAGAAGAAAUCCAACUGCCUAAUAUCAGCAAAUACGGUGCCAAUGAGGUCAAUGUCUUGUCACUGUAGUUCAAUUACAAUUAGUGAUAUCAUUUUCACUGUGCUUGUAUAGAUACAAAUUACAAUUAGUGGUAGUAUUUUCACUGCGGUUGUAUAGAUACAAAUUAAAUGUGUCUCAGCUCGUUCAUUGCUUGUGUCCUUAUUAAGGUUAUUAUGAAAGCUCACUAAUCAUGGAUCACAGAGGAAUCACCUUUUUGAAUUGAGAUUGGACACAUUCGAGUGUCCUAUGUGAUAUCCGACCUCUUCUCCUACCUGACAAUUGCGAGAUUCGGCAAUCAUUUGAGCAAUGGCUACUACUGCAAACCUCCUUGGCUGCGUGCAUAGAAUGGGUUCCAUGUUUUCUUCCAGGAGGAACUGUGGAACCAUAGAACUCUUUCCUGCAAUGAAACAACAUAUCGAUCCGUUAGUAGGUCCAAAUUAGGCAGAAAUUUACAUCCCAGAUAAUGAUUUAAAAAACAUGGCAAUGUUACCCAUCAUUGGUUCAACAAGCUGAACGUGCAACAGAAAAAAAACAGAGAAUAAAUGCAAUGUGACCUAAAUUUGUAGAAAAAAAUGCAAAAAAAAAGGGGCUAGUUGUGGCACUGAGUUCGUAACAAUGCAACACUCAGAUCAGAAACCUCUGGGAUGCAAAUCUAGUUAUAGUAAAGUUAGACUCCCUAAAGCAGGAUUUUUAGAAGAUAAAUCCACACUAUUGUCAGAAGAAGAAACAUAAACAAAGUGAAAGGAAACAUCUCUCGUAGAUCAUUCAUUAUCUUAUCAAAUUUGAAGAACAUCACUUUUACCAAAACCCUUGCAAUAAAGAUGCAAAAACACUAUCCAAGGUUGAAAACUCGCUAAAACCUCCAGCACUCAAGCCUGAAACCCACUAAAAAAACCCCUCCUUUUUCAGUAUCCCGCAUUUCCGCGGCACGGCAGAAAUUCCAAUCCAAAACUGAAACCACCCCCCCCCCCCAAUACCAUGCCAUCCUACCAUAGGCCGGAAAACCCAACGAGGUAGGAGAAAAACAUAGAUGAACGAACCAAGCACCAACUUUUCACAGAUGAAAAAAAAAUCCGUCAAAAAAUGCGCACCCAUAACCAAACGCGAAAACCUCCCCCCAAACCCCCACCGACCAUGGGAGCCAAUCGCACAUUCGGCGCGAGCGGAUGGAGUCGAAACUAGAACACACACACACAGGGGGAGGGAGAGAGCAAUCAGUGCGGUUACCGCAUCCGGUGUCCCCCACGAUGAGAGUGACGCGGUUCCCCUUCACCUUCUCCACGAUCUUCCCCCGGAGCGCCUCCACGGCGAGCGGCGCCCGCGCCUCCCCCACCCCCACCCGCUUCUCCUCCGCCUCCGCCAUGCUCCGGUCUCCGCCCCCACCGACGGCGGCAGAUGCGGAUGCGGAUGCCUUCUCCUGCAAGCUUUUGCCCUCCUCCUCCUCCUCCUCGCCUCGCGCCCUCUUCCGUUGCUUGCCUUUUUUGAAGGGGAGGUGAGGUGGCUGCUACUACUGGGGCGUAGACCCGGUGCAUGGACCCGGGCCCACUGGAGUGUGAAUGGGUGGUGGGGCCCAGUGGGAGGGUGCACCAACACCGGGUCCACGGAUCCACGCGCUCCCCACCGGGGGGUCCUCCUUUCUCGCGUUCGCAGCUGGCGACAAAACCGUCUUGCCAAUGGGGGGAGAGCCCAGCGCCAGCCGGUCAACCACGAGUGACUCGGUUGACGGUCUCGUGAGAGGCUGACAGGUGGGGCCAGAUGGUCAAGUCGAGUUGACUGGAGGGCCCACCUGUGUACAGUGUAUACGUAGUAGGUGCAUUGGUUGAUCCACGCUUCCACCUAUGCAGACGCAUAAUCCUCAUGUAAUCUGUUACUCCUAAAUAAAAGAAUAUACGGAGUAUUCAUCUCUUUCGUUAAUGGUGGUUAUUAGUAUCUCUUUUUUUUUCCUUCUCGACGCAAUUUUUUCGAAGCUGUUUGAUUCGUGAAGAAAAUGGAGAGAAAUUACCGGAACGUCUGCUUAGGCUGAGUUUUAGGGGAGAAUAUUGAGAGAAAAAGUGCCUCGUUGCUAAGCGUUGCAUUUUUUUAAAAAAAAAUCUAUACAAAAGUUACUUAAAAAUAUAUUAAUCUAUUUUUUAAAAAAUAAAAUAAUUCUUACAAUCUAUUUUUAAAAAAAUUAAAAUAAUUCUUACUUAUAAUUAGUUAUAUGUAAAUGCAUUCGGGCUGGCCGUUCCGUUUAUCAGGGCAGCAGUUGCGAGAGUGGUCUACAGCAAGCAAGGUGUGACCAUCACACGACAUAAUUUGUGCGGAUCGAAUUAAAAUGACGCGCUGCUGUGAAACCAAUUAUAUGAAAAACGUCUGCGCAAACACACCACCAUUUUAUGGUAAAAUGGUGCGACUGUCUGAGACUUAAUUCCUCCCUCCAAAAAAAAAACAAAUCUAAAACAUGUUAGACAUUCUAGUACAACUAAUCUGGAUAGAGGUAAUGUCUAGAUUAGUAGUCCUAGAUUGUGUAGGUUGGUUUUGUAUGGUACUGAAGGAGUAUCACUCAAUAGUGAGAACAUUGAAGCAGAGAGAAUAUUGAAGCAGAGAGAAUAUUGAAGCAGAGAGAAUGCUCGUGGUCGGCAUAUGCGCCUAGGUAAAAGAGCACUCCAAGCAGCACAAUAUAGAUAUACUAUUGCUGAACAAUCAAGAACAUUACCUGGCUCUCUGCGAUGAACAGGUCAAAGUAAUAACCACAAUAAUAUUCAAUAUAGUCGAGGGUCCAGACAUCAAACAAAUUGUUUCGAGACAGGCCAACCGCUGCCUCUUCACUGGUAACUACUGAACCCAUGAAACAUUUUUCGGUCAUACCACAAAAUGAUAAAGCAAAGCAAUGCUUACUCCACCAGUCCAUUCUUCACCCUCCUAAAGCAAUCUAUGUGACACAAAGCCUUAAAAAAGCGGCAUUCCCACAAGUGACCUUCCCUCUCACCCACGUCCGCGGCCCCCACCUGCCAUAGAGUACAAGCAGAUUGGUUAUCCCCUCAAAACAAAAUACAAACUACUUUGGCGGUAUAGUAGAGUCUAAAUUCAAGCAAGAAGCAUACCUUUGAUGCCACCUUUACCUCCAAUUCCUCCCCUUCCACGGCCACCACCGCCUUUGCUGCCACCAUCAUCCUGGCCACGCCCAAUGCCUCUGCCUCCAGGCUUAGUACCUAUAUCACCUCUUCCUCUUCCGCGGCCUACACCUGGUGGCCUCCUAUCUGCAUUUAGAAGAGCAUAGGCAAUUCAGCGUUGAACUUAACUUCAAAAGAUGUUCAAAAAGGUGAAAUUCUCUAGUAAUCAGAAAAUCAGAAUAACCAUAAUACACCAAAUAUAAGAAAAGAGGAACACGAGGGUUUCAUGAAUGACAUCAACAACACUAUAGAUGUAGGAUACUGCCUGUAUCAAUGUGCAUUUACAGAUUGAUUUGAUACUAUUUACACUGUAAAGCGUAAACAUGCAAUUCAUCGCUAAUUUUUGAAGUAUAAGUUACGUUAUGUUUGUUGAAAAUUAAGAACCAGCCCAAGAAAAGAACUGCAGUCGCAUUACUACUUGCACGCAUAAACGCAUUUGCACUGCCACAUACAUUCAACUGAUAGCACUGCCGCAUAUAAUGUACUUCUUACUAAUAAAAAUUAUGGGUUAUGACAAAAUACAUCUCUUGGAAACUGAAUAAGGUCAAUUUUUUCUCCAAUAAUGAACUGGAAUAAGGUUCAAGCAAAGGCAACUAAUAGCACAAAAUUAUGAUUUAAAUAUUUCAUCAAGUUCACAGAAAAUAUUAAAACAUCUAAAUAAUUACAGAGACAAAUGUGAUUUAUAACAGCUGGAACCAUUGGGUACAUACCUGAUCUGCUCUUUGAAGUCUCUUCCUGGACCUUGUCAAUCACCUGUCAUAGAAAUAAAUUCAUGCAUUUAGGAUUGGAAAGCACAGGUAACAAUGACAACGCUGGUGUAUCAUCAUCAUCAUCAUGAAGGUAAAACAGAAGUACAUAACAUAUGCUGGAAUGUCAUGAAAAGACAAAAAUAAUCAAUCGAAAUCAAUCAAUCACAACCUUUCCCCAUUUGAUUCCACCAACUUUCUUAAUACCCGUGCCCAACCCUAAAACUCAUACUUUGGGAUGGAGGUAGUAUCAAGAACAUCCAAUUAGCUAUUUGACCUCUAAAAAUAAAAAUAAAGAGUAAUACAACAAAAUGAACACAAGAGAUAUCUAACAAGAGAUGAACUGAUGGCCCUGUUCUAUUUCAGGAAUUAGUUGGUGAAUGAACCAUACGAUCCUAACUCUGAACUUAACUAUUUGGUUGGGAAUGUUAAUGGGUUGGUCCACUCCAUCUCAUCCCUCAAAAGUAUCAAGUUUUGUAGAAAAAUAAGGAAACCAACUAAAUUGUGGGAUGGUCCCACAAUUGACCAACUCAUCGUAGGAUUGUUUGAUUACUCAAACCAGCACAUGAGGAAAAUGCAAUCUAAAUCUCAGUGGUACAAUAGUCCUAUUUAUGUCUGUUUCUUAAUCUUAAUCUCAGUGGUAAAAUAUGCAGCUUAAGAUUAAGAAUAAGGAUAAAAGGCUGUCUAACUCCAGAAGAUCGGGUAAAAAGUAUUCUACCUCUACCAUAUCAAUUUUCGAUUGUACUUCCAGAAUAGGGAUUGAAAGGCUGGUUAAAUUCAGAAUUGAUAACAAGUGUGGGCAUAUCCUGGCUCAAUACAUUCCCAUUUGUGCUUUGCUUAUAGAUUUAUGGGUUAAAAGUACUAAUAACAUUUAUAUCCAUAUGAUGUAAAGUCAGCUACAUCUAUAUGAUGUGACCUAGGAGACAUAUAUACUUAGGCCUACUAUCCAGGUCACGGUUAUGUGAUAUUUACUUCUCCAUUAUCUGAAGUUCUGAACUAUUUUCAAUGUUCCUUGGCUGUGGGAAAGUAGCUUUGCGUACAGCAGAGUUGGAACAUAAGUUUUGUCACUAUUCAUAGCAGGAGAAUUGUUUGGUGUCAUAUAUCAGUGAUUUGAAAUCAAGAAAAUUUAUCAGCCCCUCGUGGAUAGUUAACAGAUAAAAUGCAGAGUGAUUUGCACGUAAUCAUAUUAAAAUGCUCUGCUUAGCUUAAGAGAGGUCCUCAUCUGCUCAAAUCACUUAAAAACACCAUAAGGCAGAUAUCUUAAAUGGCAUCAAAUAACUUACAUAUAUCUAACGUGAGAGAUUACUCAGACAAAACAAGAGACACACUGGCACCCAUAAAGAUCUAAAAGGGAAAACAAAACUUGAAACUGAAAGCUGACCACAAAAAAAUUGCACACGACAUAGUGAUUUUGCUAGCAAUUAUGGUGAUGAAUGCUAACAGGGAAAAAAAAAGGCUGAUUAUGCAGAUGGAGAACAUACAUGUCUAAACAUACAACCAGCAAACCACAAGCACAUAGUAAACAAGGUUUAACAUGUUAAAAAUCCAUACCUCAUCAGGAACCCGAAGAUACUUGAUGGUGUUCCCACGGAUGUAACAUUCUGGCAUCCUCCAAAACUUAUCACCAUCCUGCAAUGACAACCAUAAACAAUGAGGAAACAGCAUUCAUCACAAACUAAACGAUCAAACCAAUUGGAACCAAAUGACCCAAAAGAGAACACACAAUUCGAACUAUAAGUUCCUACUAUCUGUCUAUCUCCACGUCAAAUUCCAAAAAAAAUAUGAAGACUACUUUAACAAAUGGCUACUCCCUAUUUUCCCCAAAUCCAAACAAUGCCACUAAUCUUUUGUCCCCACUAAAAUCUACAAGCGAAGUGGGUCGGGGAUGCGAGAUUUCACCUUUGAGGUGCAAAUAACCUCCCGGAGGUGGAUGUUCAUCCACGUGUCGCAGUUCACCAAGUGCCCGUUGUACGUCUCGCCGUUCUUAAGCUCCACGAGCUAAAAAAAAACCACACAAAAGUUUCAAACCCUAGCCGAUCAGAAACCAAACCAAACAACCACCACGCACAGCGCGAAGCGGCGGAUCUUCUCUUACCAUGGGAUGCCCCUGGGCGGUCUUGAGGAGCGAGAGCGGAAGCUGCAACCACAACACAAACACAGAAUCAGACACGGCCGCAUUAAUUUGGGGAUCGAGAGGGUACAGAUUGAGAAAUAGAGAGAGAGACGAACCAUCUUGCGCUAGAUCCGGAAACAGCGAUGCCGGCGGGGGAGGAGGAGCAGAUCGUCGCCGGCGCGGGGAGGAAGGCGGCGGCGGCGGAGGCGGAGGCGGCGAGAGGAGGGGGGAUUCCGGGGGGUCAAAACCCUAGUCGCCGCCGCGGGCUUGUUGGGUGGGGAGGCGAGGCGAGGGGGGAAGAGCUCGCGAGCAACGAAGAAAAACAAGAGAGGGUCCCGGACCGAAAGAGUUAUGUACACGUGUCCCAAAUAAAAGUUCAAGUUGUUAUAAACCGCCUAUAUAUACGAGUAGAGACUAUAAAGAAAACUGCCGUAAUUUUAAAGGAUAAACUUUCAAAUCUUGUAAUUGUAAUAUAAUUUUACUCUAACUAUAAUAUAACUUAUAUAUAAGUAUUGAAAUAAUAUAUAUAAUUUUUUGUCUAACUUAUAUGGUGGUUAUAAUGUAGUUAGUGCAGUUACAUUUUACAAUGUACUUUAUACAGAGAUUACGAUAUAGUUUCUUAUAGUGUAACAAUAUUGUAGUUACACUAUAAUUAUACUAUAGAUAUUUUUUUUCCAAAAAAACUUGCGACAGUAUUUUAGUAAUUCUGAUACCCGGUAUACGACUCCUUUAUCCUUUUCAAAAUUAGGCAUAUAUGGUCUAUUUCCUAGAGGAGAAAAACUAAAGUCCCUCAAAAUAAUUUUUUAAGGAAAUUGUAAAAAAUACUAGUACUACAUUUCCAAAAUAUAAUUUUAUUUGUACAUAGAGAUUAUAAUUGUUAUCAAGUCAUACGACUAGUCACGAUUUUAGUGAUAGAUUAGUUGUAAAGUUGGUCAAGCUAAUCGACUAGAGAACCACGUCUCGUCCAAACAGCAAGUCGUGGUUCAUCGUAAAGUCGGUUGCGAAUUAUUAAUUCGCCAUGCUAAUUAGCUUGUUGUGUUUAAUACUUUAGUUUUAUUUCUUGUUGAUUUAUUGUCUUGCUACUAUAGAUCAUAAUUUAUACUUUAUACAAUGCUUAGUAUAGUAUAAUAUUAGUAAAGACUAUAUGUUGCAUCCCUGUUUUUGCAUGGGCAAGUCAUCAGCUAGUGAUGGACUAGUUGACCAAUCGGUCCAGGGUACCUCGACUUGAUUUUACGAGUUGGAAACCAUGGAGAUUAAGGUUAAAGAGAAAAGAUUUCGAUGUCCAAUAUCAAGGCCUAGUUUGAAUCUUCAACUUAGUUUAGCUUUUUGGUGGCACUCAAAACAGGUAAGCCAAUAUCAUAUAAUUAAUUGAGUAUUAAUUACCGUAAAAUUUAAACUUAAACUUAUUUGAUUUUUUUAAAUAACUUCUAUAUAAUAAGUUUUUGUAAAAGAAAACAUUUAACAGUUUGAAAAACAUGUUAAAAAAGAUAAAGUUGCAUUUUAGAGUUGAAUAAACGAAUGCGGCUUAAAUAAGAUAUGGUUAGGGGCAAGAAAGUGGUUAAGGAAGAGAUGGAAAGAAAUUUUAAUGGGAAACAAUUAAAAUAAGUAGUACUUUAUACUUUAUAGUGCUAGGAGUGUUUAUAUUUUAGUGCAAACUACAAAUGUUGGUGGUUCUUAUAUUUUGAAACAAAGAGAUAGUUCAAAAUAUAUCAUUUCGGUUUAUCAAAAUUAUAAAAGUUGGUUCUCUUGAUCAUAAAUAUUUGACGUUUGUUAUAAGAUUUUGUUGAUCAUCACAUAAAGACAGGAGUCAAAAAUUUGUGUCUCGUCUCCUCCCCCUUCAACAUCAGCAAAUAAAUGUCUAGGUGAUAUCACACUACUUUAUACUACAUGUCAUGGGUUGUUGACACUGCAUUCUGACCACCAAAGCCCAUUCAAAAAUUCCCUUUGAUUCAGAAUGCAGUAUCAGGUGUGAGCCAACUCAAAAGGUAGCACAAUCUUGAUGGCGCAUACGUGUGAACCAACUCAAACAGAGGCACAGCACAAUCUUAGCAUUGCACUCGUUGGGACAAUCAAGUAAUUGAACUAGCCAAAAUUCAUAUAGCUAGCCAUUGAUUGUGCAAAUAAUGAAAUAUGGUGCAUGGCGGUUGUAACUUUUACUGUGUAAUCCACUCACUAAACUAUGAGAAGUGAGAACACAUGAAAAGAAAGUAAUGACACCAAGUUAAGUAGUAAACUGCAAACCGUGUAACAUUUGAUAUGACUUAAUUACAAAAUCAAAACAACAGUACUCCAGUUAGGACUCUAAAAGAAAACAUAUUCAUAUUUUUCAAGGGACCAUUUUGUACAGUGUGUGGUCCUAGCUUCAAAGACUUUCCCUAUCCUCUCUUAAAAAGGGGAACUAAUCAUGUCCCCUUUCCUUGGUGCAUAAAGUUCCUAGGUACAUUGACUACACACAAAGAUGAAAAAUGACAGCCCAACCACAGUUUGGUGGCAUUACCAAAUGACUAUUUUACUAAUUGCACAUAACAUGUGUUGUUAUAGGUAGCUAAAGACCACUUCCAUUAACCCACCUUGAAUUGAUCCUCUCAAACAUGGGUCAUUUUCACCAAAUAUGCAAUCUUUUAUUUUUGGGCCCAAAAAUGUUCUUUUUUUCAAAGUAACACUGAUUAAAAACUGUCCACCAUAUAGUGCCUGAUCUGACCCAAAUAAAAUGAAAUAAAAUAAAAUCAACUCGGAAAUGACAGCUCAACUCGAUAGACGCCGAUGUUUCUUUUCUUACAAGCUGGAGUAGCUUGUAUGCAUGAAUUUGGCCUAGAUCAUAGCUAGUACUAAAUUCUUUUCCACAACCUAAUUAAUCAAAGAAAAAAAAUUUCCCUUAAAAUUAAUGAUCAUCUGCCUCCGCCCACAGAAACUAUACCCAAGCUAAAAAAUCUAUCAAACAUAUCUGCUUAUCCUAAUUGGAAUAUUCAAACAAAAAUCAUUAAUCAUGCAGAUAAGCAGAUAAACAAAAAACUGAAGCAAAAUUGCAAGCGCCAGUUAAUUUGCAUGCAUAUAGAUACAAAAAAACAUAAUCUUGAUCACUUUAAUUUCACCCAAGCAGCAUAGCAAACAACACCAUCCAUCCAUUAGGACCAUUACACAUCUAAUCAAUCAAGCAUGAGAGGCAUGCAAGGACAACACUGAGAUCUUGACAGCUAUAGCAUAUAAGCUCAGCUAUGAUCAAGGGGACACUGUGCGUGUGUUCUUGCUGCGAACUACAUGGCAUUGGAUUUAAUUUCAUUAAUUAGCUAGCUCGGUCGAUCGAUCGAUCGAUCAUCCCCUGCACUGGGUGAUGGCGGAGCAGCCGCGGGAGUAAGGGUUGGCCUCGGCGCCGGGCUGGCAGUUGUAGUAGGACGCGCCGCGCUGCGAGCACGGCACGCUGUCGCGCCGCAGCGCGUCGUACCCGAUGUACCCCGACCCGCCCUGCAGCACCCGCCGCUUGCCCGUCGCCGCCGCCGCCAGCUCGUCCUCCCCCUCGCCGUCGACGCCGAGGAACUCCAUGCACUCCCCCACCGUGCCACGGCACGUCCUCCCUCCCCGCCUCAUCACCACCGCCGCGCGCCCCACCACGCCGCCCUCCACCAGCGUCGCCGCCGCCGCCGACGCCGACGACGCCGCUGACGCCGCGGCGAGGAGGAACGCGAGCAACGCUACUGCCGCCGCCGCCAUGCCGAUGAUCUCGUCGACGAGGAAGAAAGGUGGAGAUUGGUGUGAGGUGUGAGGAGGAGGAGGUGGGGGUUUAUAUCAAUGGCGGGAGAGGGGAGGAGGACGAGGCAGUAGGUGAGAGGCGAGGCGAUGGCGCGUCGGCGUCGGUGAGGUGACGUGGCGUAACAGCGACCGUUGGUUGGGCUGGAUCGAGAUCAAGAUCAAGAUCGAGGUCGCUCUCUCUCUCUCUCUCUCUCUCUCUUGCCGUCGAUGAUCUUUUGCGGUCGUAUGCGAAUACUAAUGAUUGAGCGAGGUAGCAGCAGUAUUAUUCUUCACUCAUUGGGAGUGUGACAUCAGAUGAUGGGGGUUUCUCUGUGCUAACUAUAUAUUUUCGUCUCCUACUAACUCCUACUGUGUUAAGGAAAUUUAUUUUGUAGAGAAGAAAUCAAAGGCUAAAUUUAAUAUAUAGGGUUGGUUAUAAGGUGAUUUCCAUGCAAUGCAUAUGGCGCCUUGUAUGCAUGGUGGCAAGAAAUAGUUUUAAAAUGAAAAUAGCAAUAUAGAUCGGGUACUGUCCACCAAAUAAAUAUAGUUAAUGUCAUUUCUCUAUUUUUUCAGGAAGCCACGCUACCUUGCUUAUUUUAAACCCUUCGAUGAAUAAUUUAUAUAUGGCCUAAUUAGCUCUCUUAUUUCUCUCCGGCCUGUUUCCUCACAAAGAAAUAUCAUCUCAAUUAUUUCUUACCUUCCAAGUUCAGAUGGAUGGUUAAUGCUUUGUUCGGAUUAUAUAUCUCACUUCUCUCCAAACUGCAUCAUCUCAAUUGUUAUGGUAUUUUUGAACUAUUGAUCAAUGGUGCAUACACAAAUCAAGAACAUCGUUUAGCUACAAAGCAAUCCAUCUUGUAACUAAUUUCUACCAUUGUCACAUAAUCCUACAGAAAUGCCAAAGGUUUCAUCUCGUGUAACAUGAUAGGCACAUGCUCUUCAAUAUUGCACUACAGUUUUCCCUUUUUUUUUUCCCUUCAAGGACAAAACUAGCUCCGGUACUGUUGAUAACUUGGUCAUAAGGCUUUACUCCAGCAAUAUAAUGUUCACUAUACCUAAUUAAUUGGGCGUGAUGGUACAUUAUCGACCGGUACUGUCAGACCUACUAAUUAAACGACCUCCAAUCCUACGGUUUACUUGAAUUCUACGAUAGUACAUUAGUACUCCACUAUAAGAUAAGUGAUGGAAUUGAUAUGACCUUAAUUUGGUUACUAUUUUCUCCGUUUUCAUAUUAAAAGACUUUCUAGUAUUGUUAAUAUUCAACAUCUCUAUGAAUAUAGACAAUGCUAGAAAGCCUUAUAAUAUGAAACGGAGGGAGUAUCAAUUAUCAAAAUAAUUAAUGAUCUCACAUAGGAAAUAAUAUAAUUAAUUUUGCUCAGUUUAGUUUACAUAAUUAGCUUGACAACAGUAUAUCAAAUUAAAGUAUGCAUGUGGUACACGUACGCACCCACUGUUCUGUGGCACUUUGCUUGUCUUGCACAUAUCUGCUGUUUGCCAACACACACUUAAAAACUCUAGAUACGAUGCAGCCUUGGCUACCCACACGCUUAAUUACCAGUUAUUAACUUAUUAUAUAUUGAUCCAACCGUGUUGCUGAGUUAUUAAAAAAAAUUCGUGUUGCUGAUGAUGCAUGUGUCGUGGGCUUUGUGUGUGAUCUCCUUCUUUCUAAUGCAUAAGCUUGCUCUGUAUUUCACCGGUUGCUUGCAUCCUGGAUUUGUGGUCGCCUUUUUACAAGAAACGACGUGCAGAUUAUUGCAUACAACAAUUACCAUCACUUUAAAAAAUCAUCCUCGAUAGUCCAUCUUUAUCGAUUCACGUCGAAUUUAUGUCUAAACUAGUUAGUGAAUAAAUAGUGAAUCGUCCGGCCAAUUCUCCUUAUCUAAAUCCCACGGGCCCAAUAAUCCCCCUUCCCUAACAUUCUCUGUCUUUAUCUCUCACUCAUCCUUUCUACUGUCUCGCACUAUAGACCUCCAUUUUGAUAAAUAAUUUGUAGCUAAAUAUAGUUUAAUAACCAAUUAUGUUAAAUUCGACUGAACGUUCACUCGUAGGUAAAUUGUACCGGAACAAGUGAUAUGUCAGUUCGUACUAUUCCAUUCAAUAUUUGUUGGCAUUUGACCGGAAUGAACAGUACCGCCGCUAGUUACGUAACGUUUUUAAGGGGUCGAAUGGUACGUACCAGCCAUUCCAGCUGAUACCAGAACAUAAUUGAUAACCUUGGUCAUGUUCUCUCAUCCCAAAAUAAAAUUAUUUCUACCAUGCAUUUAAUCCAUGUUCCAGAAUAAAACUAUUUCUACACCUAUCUUUUCAAUCUCUAUUUAAUUUUUUUCACCUACUUAAUCUUUUUUUUACCAAUCACAAACUUCUCUUGAUUAUUCUCACACAUUAUCUUAAUAUCCAUAUUUAAUUUUAGAAAUGGUUAUAUUUUAGAACAGAUCGAAUAUGAUCCAAGCUUAGCCGCUAAACCCUAGGGCUUGGCUGGCACAGGUACUUAACGUCCUACUGAACUUUUAAUGGCACGCACCACGCAGUUAUCGGCACAACAUUAGCUAGCUUAUCUUCAUCGAUAGGUUUUGCUUAGUAACUGUCACGCAAUGCACAGCAAAGCGUGAGCUACGAAUUGAUGGGUCAAUUGACACUACUACUCCUACUAACACGGCUCAACAAGUCAAGAUUAUCGUACACAAGGCAUUGUAGUAGUCUUAAGGGGAAAAAAAAUGAAAGCAGAGAAUAAGAAAAGAGCAGCUAAAGAGAGCUACCAAUAAUUAAUCAAUCAAGUAUAGUGAAUGUUGCAUGGAAGCAGAGCAGGACGCCGGCCGGCCGCUGGCAAUUAAAAACCAACAUCAUAUAUUCAUUUAUGUAACACACGUACAUAUAUACUUGGUGCGUGAAUUUAAUCAUUUUCAAUGUGGAACUACAGCGCUGGCCUAAACUACAUAUUUUUUCGAACGUGUAAAAGAAUUGCACGUUAACAUAUUAGUAGAAGGAACUGGCUUGAACUAUAUUAGUUGUUUUGCACAAAAAAAAUAACUGUUUCAAAGGAGAAAGGAAGUGUGAAACAGUUGCGAAUGCUAGAAAGAUUUUUGAGUCUGGACAAACUUUAAUAGAAGUAGUAUUUACUAUAGAAAUUUUAUCAUCAAUUUACUUAUCAAUAUUAAAAUUUAAUGGAGUUUUUGCAGACGAGCCUAGGCGGCUCCUGGGCUAGCCGGUCGGUGACUCCGCCACUGGUGUGAAAUAAUUAACUACUCAAUCAGAUAAAAAGCAUUUGACAUUUUACGGUAAUAAUUGUCAAACUUUUAAACUUUGACGUUGAUUUUAGAUGAGAAUAGAUUUAUAAUGUACUCCCUCUGUCCUAAAAUAAGCGCAGUCAUGAGUUUUCGUAUCUAAUUUUGAUCAUCCGUCUUAUUGUUAUUAGAUUAUAAAACAUAAAUAGUAUUUUAUACGUAGCUUAUGUUUUUUAGUUUUUUUCAAAAAAAUCAAAUAAAACGGACGAUUAAAGUUGAAUGCAUAAACUUAUGGUUGGGCUUAUUUUAGGACCCGGGCGGGGGGGGGGGGGGGUAUAUAAUAAGUUACCAUGCAUACUUUAAAAUUUGAACCGAGCACUCGAGAAUAUGCCGAUGGUCAGAAGUCUAGAAUUUUGAUCAAAUCUUGUUAUACACAUCAAAUAUUUACAACCGAAGAAAUACUCAAAGAAAAUUUAUAUAUGCGUGCUAUAGGCGAUGGAUUGAAACGAGAAAAUUGUAGUGCUUACACCAACAGAUUUAGAGGUGAGUAUAUACUUUAUUUGGAAAAAGAAAAGAAUUACAAUGUACUGUACGAAAUGGUUGGUACGUGCCAUCUAUCCGACGCGUCAAAUUUAUUUUAUUCGUCUUCACAAAGAAAAAUUAAAAGAAAAACUGUAGUAUACCCCACCGUACGUGCUGCGCUGGUAGAAGCCAAAGGGACGCUUUGAACACAUCCCUGUCUUCACUUUGGCCGACAAGCCGACCCCACCGUAGUAGCUACAAACUUGUCCUCUAGCGAUCGAAAUCGAGGUUAAUUUGGGGUGUGUUAUUCCUGAGAAAAGUUAAAAGUUUAAAAAAGUUAGGAGUUUAGAAAAAAAGUUGGAAGUUAAUAUGUGUAGGAAAGUUUUUGAUGUGAUAUGAUGUGAUGGAAAGUUGGAAAUAUGGGAACUAAACAUGGCCUUGUAGUAGUAUGAUUUUUACCUGAAAUAUUUACCGUGUUUCAAAGUGCAUUUGCUAGAGAUAGAUGAUUGUUGAUUUCGGAUGGUUUCAAUUUUGAGGAGCCCAUUAAAUCUUGCCAACUUUGCAAAAGAUAAAAGAAUAUGACCACAUUUUGUUUAAUCUUAUACUAUACAGUUGAAGUCAUGGUUCGAGAUCUUGUAUUUUAUCUAUCUGCGUACCUAUCUGCAAAUAGCUCUACGUUCACUUUAAAUGCUGAUAAUUUUUUUUUAUAAUUUGACAUGUAUAUAACUUUAUCGUUAGAUCACGAUGAAUCCAGGUUACAGUGGUGUAGUUUGAUUGAUAAAUUCUUCACAAAAUACAGUAAUAUAUAUGAAAUCAAAAGUAAGAGCUGUAUAUGAAAUUUUACAUUAUUUUCAGUAUCAUAAAAAUUCAUAAUUUCAAUUUUAUCUAGCAUGAGCAAAAUUCCUCUAGUUCACGAGGAAAAAAGAGAGAGGGGCACAUGCACACCAAUUCUAGGAUUCGAAUCAAAAUAUGUAAAACAACUUAUUCCUUUCACCGUCUGGCUAUGGGCAUGGUUUUCCACCGCCUCUAUACCAUACAGUAAUAUAUAAGAUAUAUGGACUGUCUAACAGUUGCUUGAAAAUUUUUAAAAUUCAAUUAAUUUUUGGACGACUAGAAUUACAACGAGAUUCGUGCGCUCUUUUUCUCUGUCCUCCACCCGGCCAGUACUAGGACGACGCCCGACCAUGCUAUCUACGCAACCGCACAGUCCCUAGCCUCGCCGGCUAGCCAAAAGGCAUCAAUGGCACCGGCAAGGCCCUUAUCUCCAGGGCCUCCCUCGCC